rnacentral:lncRNA from 1 species
AGCCCACUCCGAGAUCUAAUUCAUGGUUAAGAGUUGGAAAAGAUGAGGGGCAGCAAGAGGGAGGUAGGAGAGAAAGGUGCGAUGUGAAAGGAGGAGAGGGUUGGCGGUGAGUGGCAGUUGAGUGAGAAGAGGGUACAAAAUUGAGACAUAAGCUCUAAUAGUUGAGACAAAAUUCGGAGGAAUGCAUACAUAAAGAAAAAGGGGGGAAGAGGAUAAGGAAAAGUAGAAGGAAGCAAGGAAAGAUUUGAGGGCUGCCACCAACCCUAAAGCCCGACUGAGCAAGGUUUUCCCUUUGGGGGUUUUCUUUGAGAGAGGGAGGUAGUAUAUGUACAUGUAUGCUUCUUUUGGGACAUAUUCUUAUUUGAGGACUUACUGUAUAGUUCGAGAAAUGAACGAUAAAUGUUGAUUUAAAAAAAGAUUUCUUCAUUUUUCACCGUUUAUUUUCCUGAUUUCUCAACACGAAGAAGUCAAGAUUGAAUUAUGUUAUAGCAUAUUUACUUAGAGUACGAGAAACCAUAAUGAGGGGAGAGAUUCUAAUUCUUGAAUUUUCAGGUAUUAAUGUGUUUCAAUACGAAUAUAGCAUAACAUGUAUUUGUUGCUAAACGCAAGAAAAGUCAUGAAUUAGAGUAAAAUACUCAUUAAGCAACACAAUAAAAGUUGUGAAUUAGAGUAAAAUACUCAUUCCAAUAUUUUCUAAGUAAAUAAGUAUGUCGUUAAUUUCAAGUUUAUUUUAAAAUGCUAGUAUGUGAAACGUUUUAGUUUAGAUACCCUUUUAUUAUAAACAUGUAGCAUGUAGAAUACCUAAAGUUACUUCUUAGAAGAUUAAGUUCACAUAAAAUGGUAAAGCCAGACAAUAUGAGAUGGAACGCCACUUUUUUCCUUUGGAUACAGUUGAUUCAUAAUUUCAGACGCAUAAAUGAAUAUUCUUAAUCGACUUAGUUAUUAAACCUCUUGCAAAUUGCAGUAACGUUGUCUCUCUCACUUUUUGUCCAAAAGCGAUGUUAGCUCAAAGUGAUGAAAGUGAGAAGGAAAAUAGGUUAGGAUUAGGCUAAUGCAAAUGCAAAGAGUAGCGUUCUCCCUUCGUGUUCCCUGUUCUCACUCUGUUCUCAGCAUGAGAGCCAUCCCUGUCUCCAAGUUGAAAUGCAAAGCACUGCAACCAUUUUCACGUCCUUGCUCUCACAUGCCCAACGUGGCAGAAUCACCACCCUCCACUCUGGUCCAACAGUUCACCAAAUUCUGCUACCAGAGAGACCUCCCGAGAGCCAUGAUAGCCAUGGAAGCCAUGCAAAGGCGCGGACUUUGGGCCGACUCCGUCGUCUACUCCGAGCUCGUCAAGUGCUGCUUGGCUCGGCGAGCUGUUCAGCAGGGUAAGCUCGUCCACAAACACGUUUUCUCAAAUGGGUACCAGCCCAAGACCUUCUUAAUCAACGUUUUCAUCAACAUGUACGUUAAAUUUGCUCUCUUGGAGGAAGCGCAGGAACUGUUCGACGAAAUGCCUGAGCGAAACGUUGUUUCCUGGACGACUAUGAUAUCGGCAUACUCGAAUGUCAAAUUCAACCGCAAGGCCUUGGAGUUUUUGGUUUUGAUGCUUAGAGAAGGUGUUUCGCCUAACCGUUUCACGUAUUCUUCGGUUUUGAGAGCUUGCAAUGGGUUGUCAAAUCUCAAGCAGCUUCAUUGUUGUAUUUUUAAAGCUGGGUUGGAAUCUGACGUCUUUGUUCGGAGUGCUCUCAUUGACGUUUACUCGAAAUUGGGUGAGUUGCAUAAUGCGCGGGGCGUUUUCAAUGAAAUGGUGUCCGGAGAUUUGGUCGUUUGGAACUCUAUCAUUGGAGCGUUUGCUCAGAACAGCGAUGGUGAUGAGGCUCUGAACCUUUUCAAGAGGAUGAAAAGGGCUGGUUUUUCAGCUGAAGAGGCCACGCUAACGAGCGUUUUGAGAGCUUGCACGGUGUUGGUGCUUUUAGAAUUGGGAAGGCAGGUUCAUGUUCAUGCUGUGAAGUAUGGUCAAGAUCUAAUUCUGAACAAUGCACUUCUAGAUAUGUAUUGCAAGUGUGGGAGUUUGGAAGAUGCAAACACUGUUUUUACCAGGAUGGAGAAGAAGGAUGUAAUCUCUUGGAGCACCAUGAUUGCAGGGCUAGCGCAAAAUGGUUUCAGCCAAGAGGCCCUGAGAUUGUUCGAGCAGAUGAAAGUUUCCGGGGUGAAACCAAAUUACAUCACACUUCUUGGGGUUCUGUUUGCUUGUAGUCAUGCUGGGCUUUUAGAAGAUGGGUGGUACUACUUCCAGAAUAUGAAGCAGCUUUUUGGAAUUGAUCCUGGAAGAGAGCACUAUGGUUGCGUAAUUGAUCUUCUUGGAAGGGCAGGGAAACUUGAUGAGGCAGCAAGGCUAAUACAAGAAAUGGAAGGUGAACCAGAUGCAGUGACAUGGAGGACGUUGCUUGGCGCCUGCAGGGUUCACCGGAAUGUAGAUCUAGCAGCAUAUGCUGCCAAGCAAAUUCUUAAAACGGACCCUGAUGAUGCCGGAACCUACAUUUUACUAUCGAACAUAUAUGCCAAUUCUCAGAGAUGGGAAGAUGUGACUGAAGUAAGAAAGAGCAUGAAAGCUAGAGGGGUUACUAAAGAACCCGGGUGCAGUUGGAUUGAAGUGAACAAACAGAUUCAUGCUUUUAUCUUGGGAGAUGACUCACAUCCACAAAUAGACGAGAUCAAUAGGCAGCUGAGCUUGUUGAUUGAUAGACUAAUGGCAGUGGGUUACAUUCCUGACACGAAUUUUGUUUUGCAAGAUCUUGAGGGAGAACAGAGGGAAGUUUCACUUCUAUCCCACAGCGAGAAAUUGGCGAUUGUCUUUGGUUUAAUGAGCUUGUCAAAGGGGAAGACUUAGGAUCAGGAAAAACCUAAGGAUUUGCGGAGACUGUCAUGUAUUUGCAAAACUUGUAGCGAAGAUUGAGGAGAGAAGUAUUGUGAUAAGAGAUCCCAUCCGGUACCAUCACUUUCAAGACGGAGUGUGCUCGUGUGGGGAUUAUUGGUAGAAGAAGAUGAAGUUUCAUAACUUCGAGAAAUGAUGAACUUCAGUCUUCUCAUUCAUCAUCAAUGCAAGCCCUGAAGCUCUACCUGCAGGUGAAUUGCAAAGUGCUUCUCUCUUUUUAUCAUAUUCGUUUUGUUCAGUUGGGUGGGAAUUCAAACGGUUCAGUUGGGCGCCACGUCAUCAGUUAACAGAAAUUCUAACGGAAAACUUAACGGAUGUAUGAAACUGUCCCAAAAGUAAGACUUGAUGUAUGACUCUGGGAUGAAAAAAAACUUCAUGUACCAAAUGUUGAAAAUCACGAAACUUCAGGAUAGUAAACUGAGAUUAACCCAAAACAUAACAUAUCUAAUGAUGAGAUGGAGAAGUUCCUCGUUCAGAAGGAUUGGAUUCGUCUUUGGUUUAUUGAUCUUGAAGGGAUGGUAAAUGGUGUAGGGAGGUGCGCACUGCGCAUGCCAUUGGGGUUGAUCAUGUGUAAAUCGACGGCACAUUCGACCAAUGCACACGGUGGUUUGUGUGUCCCUUAGUCCUCCAGCGUCGCCAAUGUUCGUACUAAAGAGAUAUAUGAAGAACUUCUCAAAUGCAAUGACUUCUACAUAUUUUGAUCCAAAUAUAAGUUGAUUAAUGUAACAUUGGUUUGGCGUGUCAUAUUUAGGCCCAUAAUAUAUAGAUUUGAAGAGAACAAAAAUUACAAGACUCGUUGAAAGCAAUGAGCCCGGUCAGAAUUUGGCAGCUUAACAUUGUUUAAUUAAUCAAAAUGGGGUUUUAAUAUUUUAACGCCCUCGAUUUUUUUAUUAUUUGUUUAUAUUUUUUCCCUAUAAGAGUCUUAAAGGUUUAUAAAUAGGUCAUCUUGGGUUUUGGUUUGUAGUCUAACUCAUAUUAUCAAUUAAAUUUUAGAGAUUUUUUUAGGAAUAGUUUAGUUGCAGUCUCUGAUUCCCAACCGUUAUAAACUCAAAUCUUAUGUAUUUUAGAUUUUUUAUUGAAGUCCAUCACGUGCUACAUAAAUGACAUAUUAAUAAAAAAGAUUAUAUAUAUAUAUAUAUAUAAAAAGAUUUUAGUUGCUUAUGGGUGCAUUCUAGAUUAUAAAAAAAAGGGAUUUUAUUUUAUUUUAUUUUUAUAAAAUGAGUACAUUUAUAUAAUAAAAUUUGGCUACAUUAUAUAUAUAUAUAUAUAUAUAUAUAAUUGGUACAUUUACAUAAAAACGUGGGUGCAUUUUAUAUAGAAAACAAUGGAUACAUUUUAUAUUAAAAAAGACAAUGGUACAUUUUAGAUUAAAAAAUAAAUAGAUUUUACAUUAAAAAAUGGUACUUACAAAAAAAAAUAGGGAUACAUUUUACAUGUAACAAAGUGAUACAUUUGUAAAAAAAAAAAAAGGUACAUUAUAAAUAUAUUAUGGGUACAAAUAAAAGGUUAAAAAAAUUAUAAGUACAAAUAAAAGUUUAAAAAAUAAGGGACAAAAAUAUAUUAAUAUAUGGGUACAAAUUAACAUUUAAAAGAAAAUUGGUACAAUUUAAAAAAGGAAACUUUAACGAAAAGCUUUCGGUACUGUUUACUUUAACGAAAAACCACAUUUUUACACUAAAAAGUCAAUCAUUGUACUAUUCACUUUACCUUUUAUUUUGUUCUUAUCGUUAAAACUCAAAGUUUUCAAGUCAUUUUCAUUAGUUUUCCUUUUAAAAGGAAUGAUUGCAAAUUAAAAAUGGGUACAAACUAGAAAUAGAAAUAUAUGAUAAAAAGUUUAGCCAUAAAUAUAAUAUAUCAAAUGUAACGUUUCUAACACUAAAUGAAUAUAUUUAAAAAUAAAACUUGAUUAUCUUGACAUGUAAAUAUUUUGUUUUUGAAUAAUUAAUGGCGUUUAUUAAAACCGAAGAACUUUGAUCAAAAUUUGAAAAGAAAUAAGGUUUUAAUCAAUGGAGUAAAAAAAAAUAAGGAUGAUAACCUAAUUUCUUCUAUUUCUCAGUGCAUUUUAAAUUGUUGAUGAAGUUCAGCUCAUGUUACAUAAAAUUGGCCUUUCAUUUGUAGUAACAUUGCUAAGCCUUAAGCAGCUCAUAUAACCACAUUAUGUUAUGUAACAAUGCUUUUUAUUCAUCGUAAGUUGAGAUUUGAGCGAAGAUUCAAGCAUUUGUAUGUUGCUUAUUACGGAAAGAUUGCCAUAUGAGAGCAUCAAGGGAUGGCCACAGAGCGAAUUACCGGUCGAAUAGUACUUAGAAAAGAUGUGAAUGUGAUUGUGUUUGCACUUUGAAUUUGACUUCUACCAAUAAUUGUACGGCCAAGCCAGUAACCUUUUCUCGACCUAGGUUAUUACUCUAGCAUGAAGGCAAGGCUUUGAAUGGACAACCAAAUGGUGAAGGUGAAGAUCAAAUGAAAAAGUGAAGGGAAUUGAAAAUAAACAAGAUUGAAAUUAAUCUAGUCAUGAAAAAAUAAAUUAAAUUAAAGACAAGGCGUAGAAACAUGAAUGCAAAUGAAUGGAGCACGCAAUAACGGAAAUGAAUAAACAAAAGUAAAAAAUUGGAUGAAUUAAAUGUUGUAAAACUAAAAGAAUUGGAAAACAGUGAGCAAUCUAAAUUGCAUAUAGUAACGAAAUUUGAAUUCAUCUUAACAAACAUGUUUAUUCAAACUUGCAGUUUGUAAAUGAACGAAGAGAGAGCGCAAGACACAGUGAUUCAUGACCUGUUAAUUUAACCAUGUAGUUCUUAGAUUUAAUUUAUUUUUUCUUUUUAAAAUUACUAAAUAUUAUUUCUUUUUCUUUUUUUUUCAAAUUUGACCACAAAGUCCGUCCCACUCUAGCAUUGCUAUCAUAAGAAGACUUUGAGGAGAAUUUAUUAAUAAACAAGAAAAAUACAAUAUGUCAAGAGGGACAUAAGGCCAAACCCAAACCAUUAAAGAAUUCAUAACAAUUCAAAACCUCUUUUAGCAAAACUUAUAACAAGGAAGCUUAGAAAGGUUGUGAGAAUAAGCAGUUGCAGAACAAGGAGGGCAUGAGUCCCACCAAUGGACACCGGGGUGAUCAACACCAUAAUUGGCCAAACAAUCAGCAACUUGAUUACCCUCUCUAAAAAUAUGAGAAAUCUGAACCUGCAUGGAGAAUAGUAAAACUUGACAGUUAUGCCAACUGACCAAAAGCCUCCAUGGGAUAGAUGUCACGGAAGGUGAGGAUGAAGAAAGAAGAACCAGUGAGGAGUCGCAUUUAAUCCACAAGGAAUGUCAACCUUUAUCCCAAGCUAAGAUACAACAUGAAUAACAGAGCGUAGUUCGGCAUCCAAAGAAGAGGCCAAGCCUAUUGAACCCGCAAAACAACCAAGAGAAUUACCUGUAAAAUCCCAAAAGAUACCACCAAAUGUAACCACACUAGGGGAACAUCUUGCUGCACCAUCAGUAUUCACUUUGAUCCAAGACUAAGAAGGCGGGCGCCACAACACCUCAAUAAUUUUUAGAGCCUUAGCAGGACGUCCACGAACACCAAUAGAAUGGAGAAUGCAAAGCUCUUCCACAUAAUUCUUCAUACAGCGGGAAAUGAGAGAAUCAAUUUCAAGGAGUUUACAUUUAAUAGACCUUACAACAUAAUUGAUGGGAACAACCUCCUCAUGAAAACGAACAGCGUUGCGAGCAUGCCAAAUAGAAUAAAAACCAACUCCAAUCAUACCCCACCAAAGCAGUUGCACUUGGGUACCAAAAACUUGUUGUAAAGGAUAAUGGAAAAAGCUAAAAAUAUCUUGAAAUAAAUAUUGAAUAAUUCCAAAACAGUAUAUCAAAUUUGACAUGCAAAAGAGCACUCAAAGAAAAUAUGUGAAACAGUUUCCAUACCUUCACAACAAAGAGAGCACAUAGAUGCUACAACAAAACCUCUUCGCUGCAAGAGAUCAUCAGUUAACAGCUUACCAUGUAGAUACUUCCACAAUGUAACCGAAUUACGAGGGCGAAAGCAAGAUUGCCAAACCCAUCGAUCCCAUUGAACCACUGGUUGUUUAUUACGCUUAAAAUCAUAAGCCAAAGAUAAAGAAAGGUCACCAUUUGAAGCAGACAACCAAACCAUUUUGUCAUCAAUCCCAUACUUUGAAGGAAGCCCAAUAGAAGAAAUAUCAUCCCAAAUGAGCGCUAGCCAUGAAAGUAAAGUAGAUGGGGGAAUCCAACAACCAUCCACAACAAAAUAAAAAACUUUAGCUCGAAAAGCCUUGCAUAAUCUGGUGGAAUACCAAGCCUAUCAACUAUUGGAAAAUCUAACCAUCUCGCAUGCCAUAAAUUAAUAUUUUGACCAUUACGUAUCACUCAUUUUGAUCCAUGAAAAAUAUCUAAAAAAAAGGGCGUAAACCAGACCAAAUUGAGGAACAUUUGUAUGUAAAACUUAGCUGUCCAAGACAAUUAAAAAACCGACCUUGAAAAAACCGUGGAGCCAUAGAUGAGGUAACAAAAAUAUCCCAAAAUUUUUUCAACAAAAAUGCCUUAUUUAAAGCUGAAAAAUUACGAAUGCCAAGGCCUCCUUCAUUUAAAGGAACACAACAUUUUUUCCAUUCCACAAUAGAAAAUCCACAUGAAUCAGCACAUUCCGUCCAAAUGAAAUUUCAAGCCCAACUACAAACCUGAUUUAAUACCGUAGGUGGCCAAGAAUAAACCGAGAAAGUAUGAGACAAAAUGCUUACCACAAUUGACUUGACUAAAGUAACUCGACCAGCUAUUGAGAGAGAGUGACCUUGCCAUCGAGAAAGACAAGAACGUAUUCUAUCUACUAAUGCUUGAAAAUAUGCCCUCUUAGGUUUGCCUUUAAAAAUAGGAACCCCCAAAUAAGUAAAGGGAAGCACACCUUCAGAGACAUUGAGCCAGGAUAAAAUACGCAAACGAUGCACAAAAACCGAUUUCCCAAUAUAAAUACGAGAUUUAACUUUAUUAAUACGUUGACCAGAAUUCACACCAUAUUCGUCAAUAAAAAAAUUACAAUAUUACUAAAAAAUUACAAUAUUAUGGAAUUUGGUGAAAUAUUGGAGGAAACUAAUUAAAAAAUUGGAUUUCAAGAUAAGAGACAAAAUUUAUAUAAAUAUAAGUGAGCCAAAUUUCCACGAGUUUCUAUUUUUUAUUUCGCCUUUCCAACUUCGAAAUGGUGUUGUUACUUCUAAACGAGGGCGAAUGCUUCGAAAAAACAAAAGCUUAGAUUUGUGUAUUUUUGUCUUCGAAAAGUGUGUGGAACAGAUUUUGCUUGGCUUUGUAUAUAAUACAUAUUUAUGUUUUUGCAGCACCGUUUGGGAUUAAUGGUUGCAAAAAAUUAUCACCAGUCGGUGAUCCAUGGACAUGGAGUUCCACUUAUCAUCUCAAAUCCAGCAAUAGCACUACCAGCUAGAACAGCUAUAACGUAAGCGAUGAAAUUUUUAGACUUGGAUCAAAUGCCCUUGAUAUUAAUUAUUAUAGAGAAAAUUAGAAUCUCCUACAAUAUAUAUAUAUAUAUAUAUAUAUAUAUAUAUAUAUAUAUAUAUAUAUAUUUUAUAUCUACCGACGCGAAAAUUAAUCCACAAAUACUUAAUGUUAGCAUCUUCAAUCAAAUUCUACUUAACCCAAGAUUAAUCCAAUCCUAAUUAGCCAACAUGACUUGAAAAUUUGCUAGCUUCAUUUAUUGUAUGGCAAAUAGACAGCAAGCAAAUGCUUAAACCUGGGAUGUGUAGCCACUGGUAUUCUCCAUGUGUAUCACUCCCGAAACACGUUAAAAACUUUGGCAAGUAAGCAAACUACAACCUCAAUACAAUGACAAACAGAACUUCAAUUACACAAUGAUACUUUGAAUAUUAAAUAAUUUAACUAUAUUCAUCAUUGCGUAAUUGAAGUUCUGUUUGUCAUUGUAUCGAGGUUGCAGUUUGCUUACUUGCCAAAGCUUUCAACGUGUUUCGGGAGUGAUACACAUGGAGAAUACCAGUGGCUACACAUCCCAGGUUUAAGCAUUCGCUUGCUGUCUAUUUGUCAUACAUGACGAUAAAGGAAGCCAAGCUAACAUUAAGUAUUUGUGGAUUAAUUUUCGCGUCAGUAGAUAUUAAAAUAUAUAUAUAUAUAUUUAUUGUAGGAGAUUUUAAUUUUCUCUAUAAUAAUUAAUAUCAGGGGCAUUUGAUCCAAGUCUAAAAAAUUCAUCACUUACUUUAUAGUUGUUCUAGCUGGUAGUGCUAUUCCUGGAUUCAAGAUCCAUGUCCAUGGAUCACCGACUGGUGAUAAUUUUAUGCAGCCGUUAAUUCCAAACGGUGCUGCAAAAACAUAAAUAUGUAUUAUAUACAAAGCCAAGCAAAAUGUAGAAACUCGUGGACAUUUGGCUCACUUAUAUUUAUAUAAAUUUUGUCUCUUAUCUUGAAAUCCAAUUUUAUAAUUAGUUUCCUCCAAUAUUUCAUCGAAUUCCAUAAUAUUGUAAUUUUUCAAUAAAUAUAUUAUGGUGGUUAAAACCUAGUUUACUCCUCUCAUAGGUGAAGAAAAGCGUAGGCACAACAAAAUUUUAAUUCAAACUUACAAACAAAAUGAACGAGAUAUGCACAAGCCAGAAUCAUUCUAAUAACAUGUAACAUGUCACACACACAAAUAUGCUGCACACCAACACCAUCACUAUCCUCGUGACCUUUUAUACAUAUUUUAACCUAAAUUUUAAUAUUUGCCUUGUUGAAAUUGUUAUUAGCAUUUUAAAUUAUUAAUUACGUCUGUCUUUUGUUUUUGACACUAAAUAGUAAAAUAUUACUAUUUUGAAGCAAUGAUAACAGCCUUAUUUUAUUAGAAAAACUAAUGAAAAUAGUUUAAAAACUUUGAAUUUUAACGAUAAUGACAAAAUAAAGAGUAAAGUGAAUAGUAACAUGAUUGACUUUUUAGUGUAAAAAUGUGAUUUUUCGUUAAAGUAAACAGUACCGGUAUCGGUACUUUUCGUUAAAGUUUCCUAUUUUAUUUUGGCAACAACAUUAUGGUUUGGGUGAAUUUUAUUGUUCUUUUGUCUUUUCUUCUGCACAUGUUCUUUUGUGUACAAACAAAAUAACAUUGAAAUUGCUAUUCAUGCAUUUGAUUUUACCUCCCACACAUCUUUGUCAAUUUUUUGUUAUUGAUCUUCAAUUCAUUCAAUCUGACGAUCGAAAAUUGAAAAAAGUGUGUAAGAAGUUUAAGUACUAGUAACGGUGCCCGCGCGGUGCUGCAGGUAUAAAAUUCAACAUGCUGAAAUGCAUUUACAACCAGCAUUAAUUCGUAUGAAAUUUAUGAAAUCAUAGGUUAGAGCAUAUCUUGUAAUUUGUGCAAGACGGAAUCCAUUUUUUAUAGGGUGCUGGAAAAACUAAGUUGGAACCUGAUAUGGAAGAACAUUUCAAUCAGAUGAAGCAAAGUAUAAAUGAUGAAACAAAUGAGUAACAUAAAGUAUGCAUGAAUUGGUUCAAUUAUGUUUAUUUGUUUAUAUAAUUGUUUUUCAUCGUCCUCACUUUUCAGUUGCUUAAGGUGUAAUAAAAGAUUAACAAACUAUAUCCGUAUAUGAUUAAGGUUUAGAUGUCAGUGCUGAACUAAUGAAUAUAAAUUAGGCUUCACUCUGCAAGUUGACACAGGUUGUAUAAGUUUGUUUGUUAAAAUUAUCUGAACGAUAGAUAUGCAGAUGAUGAGGGGUGACAACAUACCUUGUAAUCUUUGUAAGGUAGUCAUGUAGGAUAACAACAGCAAUGUAAAAUUUAUCUUAGGAAUCGGAAAAAUUAUAACAAAAGUUAAAAUCACAUGAUACCAUAAGCAAAUGACAGAAAAUUUAUAACAAUAACUGAAAAUUGAAAUUAUGAACAGAAAAGUAAGCAAAAAUCUGUUUUGUGCAAUACAGAUUUGUUCAUAAAUCAUGCUUGAAUAACGCUGCAUCUCGUAUUUAACAAUAAGUUAACAGUUUUUUUAGUGUAAAGCUUUGCUACAAUGGGAAAAAUGUAUAACAAAAUAAAUAUGAUAAAAAAAGCAAGGAAUCUGAACAGUACAAUUCACAACGGUUUAAAAAACGCAUGAAACGCUAGCUAGAGAUUGGCUGAAACCACAAUCACCAAGAUUUUUUCAAAACCUGUUUAAAACAAUAUUAUCAACUACAAUGAACCCAGAGAAAUAUAUUGGAUUUUACAUAUUCAAUUAUAGGACUCAGAGAAAUCAUAAAAUUGAAUAAACUGUUAUUUCCAAAUCACAAUGAAACAUGACAUCUGAGAAAAACAGGACACUAAAAAAAACAGACAGGGAGACAAAGAUGGAAACAACGCAGAUUAGUAAAGGAACACAAUGAAAAUCAAAGGUGAAUUAAAGAAGAAGACACCCAAAGUAGAGAGAAUCAGAAUGGAAAAUCGCACAACCAUUACAGGCAACCACAACUAUACAAUAAAUAAAGUUGAUGGAGCAUGUAAUCCUUUUAAAAUAACCAUAAGCAAAACAAUUAGUUGAAGGAUGAGUGACAGAAAUGUUUGACAGAAAAAAAUACAGACAAAGCUCUUCCAACUAUAAUCAUGCAUAAACCAGUAAAAAAACCAAAGCAUAUUAACAUAGCUACAAAGUUCACCAGUAGACACUACAUUCUGCAUAUAUAAAUUCAUUGAAAUAAAAUUAAAAAAGGACCACAAAAAGAUCCUUACCAUUGAGAUUCACAAAUAUACAUCAACAACAACACCAACAACAACAACAAAGCCUUUUCCCACUAAGUGGGGUCGGCUCUAUGAAUCCUAGAACGCCAUUGCGCUCGGUUUUGUGUCAUGUCAUCCGUUAGAUCCAAGUACUCUAAGUCUUUUCUUAGAGUCUCUUCCAAAGUUUUCCUAGGUCUUCCUCUACCCCUUCGGCCCUGAACCUCUGUCCCGUAGUCACAUCUUCGAACCGGAGCGUCAGUAGGCCUUCUUUGCACAUGUCCAAAUCACCGGAACCGAUUUUCUCUCAUCUUUCCUUCAAUUUCGACUACUCCUACUUUAUCUCGGAUAUCCUCAUUCUCAAUCUUAUCCUUUCUCGUGUGCCUACACAUCCCACGAAGCAUCCUCAUCUCCGCUACACCCAUUUUGUGUACGUGUUGAUGCUUCACCGCCCAACAUUCUGUGCCAUACAACAUCGCUGGCCUUAUUGCCGUCCUAUAAAAUUUUCCCUUGAGCUUCAGUGGCCUACGACGAUCACACAACACGCCGGAUGCACUCUUACACUUCAUCCAUCCAGCUUGUAUUCUAUGGUUUAGAUCUCCAUCUAAUUCUCUGUUCUCUUGCAAGAUAGAUCCUAGGUAGCGAAAACGGUCGCUUUUUGUGAUCUUCGCUAGAUUGCUCCGGUCAUUAGUGUGGAUAAGUAUAUAAAUGGAUAGAGAUAGGAAAGCAAACACAAGAUGUACGUGGUUCACCCAGAUUGGCUACGUCCACGGAAUAGAGGAGUUCUCAUUAAUUGUGAAGAGUUUACACAAGUACAUAGGUUCAAGCUCUCAUUUAGUGAGUACAAGUGAAUGAUUUAGUACAAAUGACAUUUAGGAAAUAUUGUGGAAGAAUGAUCUCGUAAUCACGAAACUUCUAAGUAUCGGAGUGUGGUAUUGUCUUGAAUUGCCUUAUCUGUCUCAUAGGUAGAUGUGGCAUCUUCUCUGGAACUACUCUUCCUCCAUCCAGGGGUGGUAUCUUUAACUGGUGAAGAUGCACAAGGUAAUGUAUCAAUUUCACUUGAAGCUUACUUGUAGUUUCAGGCUUGGUCAAGCGCGAUACAAACCAUGUAGUAGGAGUCCCUCAAGUCGCCGAGUUAGGGAAUCUGCUGAAAGAGGUGACAGACAAGGUAAGCAAUUAGAGCUCCGGCUGAUUGUUCACAUUCUCCCUAUCUUGCAGACAGCAUGAAGGAUAAAGAGAAGAAAAAUGAGAAGAGAUGAUAUGGGAUACUUUUGCUUUUGAAGAAGUAACUUUCCAUAUGCUUAUUCUUGAACUGAGCUGGAGAGUUUUCUGGUUUCCUCCAGAGUAUAAGGCCGACUGAAGAAUUUGAGGGUCAAAACAAGUCCAUCAAAUCUAGAGUACGUUCGACCCUGCUGAUAUGGGAUACUUUUUCUUUUGACAGAGUAGUGGAUGUAUCGGCACGUGUGGUGUUAUGCUUGUCUCCACAUGCUUCCUUGUAUCCUUUUCACAUGCCCUAUUUGUUCCUCAGGCAGAUGCGGUAUCUUCCCUGGAAGCAUAAGAUGUUGAAGAUGAGUACUCGAAAGCAAUGCCAGGUAAGUAAUCAGGUAAGGGGUUCCAGGCAGUCAGUUCCUGCUGGAACCUUGAUUCCAAGUGUUGACUGAUUGCUCUCUUUCUCCUUGUCUUGCAGGUAAGAACAAGGCCAAAGGAAAAGGCAGGGAAAAAGCAUGAUAUGAGAUACUCUUGCUUUUAACCCCUGAUGAUAUGAGAUAUUCUUGCUCUAGUAUAGCUUGUUUGCAGAGGUAUUAUCGGGGGGAAAGAAAGCUGAAUAUUUCGAAAGGCUUCGUUGGGAGUGUCCUCUCAGAUAUGAGGAAGGGUUGAGCAUUUUUGCAGGUCUGCCUGUCCGUUGGGGAUGGAGGUCGACAUAUAUAAGAGUCUCCCUAACAACAAGUAGUAAUGCUAUUCCUUUACCCUGCUUGGUCAUAGCACGGUAGUGGGAGCUGCCAGCUUCACCUGUUUUAACUCUGUCAGAGCACUUUGAAAAAAUGGUCUGUGGUAUCUGGAAAGCUGAUGUUGCGUGUGAAGAUUACAGACAAGCUUUAUCCAAGGAGAUCCGGCUCUUGAAGUUGGGAAAGUGGUGCCUCUUCGGUUUUCGAACAAGCAAUCCUAUCGGGCAUCUGGCUCUCGAGAUUCGGAGAACGAUGCCUCUUCGAUUUUUGAGAGAGCAAUCAUGCUGGGGGUUUGGCUCUCGAGAUUCGGAGAGCGGUGUCUCUUCGAUUUUUGAGAAAGUAAUCAUGUUGGGAGUCUGACUCUCAAGAUUCGGAGGGCGGUGCCUCUUCGAUUUUGGAGCAAGCAAUCUUGUUGGGAGUGUUAUCUCGAAUGUGAGUAAAGGUUGGGCAUGUUUGCUAGUCUACCUUGCCACGAAGCACAGAGGUUGACACACAAGGACUUUCCAAUUAUCGAGCAAUGGUACUGUUCCUUUACCAUCUCUUCGAUUUUUGAGAAAGUAGUCAUGUUGGGAGUCUGGCUCUCCAGAUUCGGAGGACGGUGCCUCUUCGAUUUUGGAGCAAGCAAUCUUGUUGGGAGUGUUUUCUCGAAUGUGAGCAAAGGUUGGGCAUGUUUGCUAGUCUACCUUGCCACGAAGCACAGAGGUUGACACACAGGGGCUUUCCAAUUAUCCAGCAGUGGUACUGUUCCUUUACCCUUGUGGGUAAUAAUAUGGUAGCUAGACCUUCAAAAUUUAUGUGUCUAAACUUUGUUAGUGCUGUUUCUUUGCUAUUCUUUUACCCUUCUUGGUCAGAGCGAUGUAGUGGGAGCUGCAAGCUUCACGUGUCUCAACUUUGGCAGAGAACUUUGGCAAAGUUAUUUGUGGUACCCAUGAGCUACUGUUGCGUGUGGGAAGUGGGUGAUUGAACAGUAAGAUUCAUGUGCUUUCUACUUCACCAAAAGUCUUCGACAGAAUGCCCAUAAUUUCUGCAAAGCUGAGUGUGCGUGUGACAGGUGCUGACAAGGCUGGAAAAGUAGGUGCUUCUUCGAUUUCUGAGAUCGGCCCUCGUGGUCUCUGAGCAGCCCAACUUUUGAGAAAGCAAGCGCCUCUUCGAUUUCUGAGAUCGGCCUUCGUGGUCUUUGAGCAGCCCAGCUUUUGAGAAAGCAAACGCCUCUUCGAUUUCUGAGAUCGACCCUCGUGGUCUCUGAGCAGCCCAGCUUUUGAGAAAGCAAACGCCUCUUCGAUUUCUGAGCAGGCGCCUCUUCGAUUUCUGAAGCUCCGUCGAGUGCAGAUUUUUAUAAGGGCUGGCAUUAAGUUCCAAAGCACACUUGAAUCUCCACCAGUAGAAGCUCCAUUCUUGCACUUCUAAGAUCUUGAUUUGUCCGACCUCUUCUCUCUUCAACACCUUUGAAAAUGUCUGGCCCAUCCGACCGUCGUUUUGACUUGAACCUUGUUGAAGAGGCAGCCCCGCCUUCUCCAGACAACAUAUGGUGCCCAUCCUUCGUCUCCCCUACUAAUCCUCUUACCGUUGGGGAUUCCGUGAUGAAUAAUGAUAUGACCGCUGCGGUGGUGGCCAGGAACCUUCUCACUCCCAAAGAUAACAGACUACUUUCCAAACGGUCUGAUGAGUUAGCUGUUAAAGAUUCUCUGGGUCUUAGUGUUCAGUGUGCAGGUUAUGUGUCUAAUAUGGCCCAACGCCUAUUUGCUCGAACCCGCCAAGUUGAAUCAUUGGCGGCUGAAGUGAUGAGUCUCAAACAGGAGAUUAGAGGGCUCAAGCAUGAGAAUAAACAGUUGCACCGGCUCGCACAUGACUAUGCUACAAACAUGAAGAGGAAGCUUGACUAGAUGAAGGAAUCUGAUGGUCAGGUUUUACUUGAUCAUCAGAGAUUUGUGGGUUUGUUCCAAAGGCAUUUAUUGCCUUCGUCUUCUGGGGCUGUACCACGUAAUGAAGCUCCAAAUGAUCAACCUCUGAUGCCUCAUCCUUCUAGGGUCCUGUCCAGUACUGAGGCUCCGAAUGAUCCCCCUCUGGUGCCUUCUCUUUCUAGGGCUCUACCGACUGCUGAGACUUCUCCUAAGCAACCUUUGUGAAGGCUCCCUUUUGUUUGUUUAUUUUGACUCAUGUAUAUGUACAUAUUUGUAACUUAUCAGGGAUAUCAAUAAAUAAGCUUUCCUUCAUUUCAACGUAUUGUGUUAAAUACACCAAAGCCUUCUUCGCUAAGUUCUUUGAAUUUUCUUUUGUUGAAACUUGUAUGUUGAAGCUUUGUGAGUGGAGCAUGUAGGUUGAGGUAGUGUUCCCUUAAUUUCCCGAGUGAGGAAAACUUCUCGGUUGGAGACUUGGAAAAUCCAAGUCACUGAGUGAGAUCGGCUAUAUGAAUCUUAGAACGCCAUUGUGCUCGGUCCUGUGUCAUGUCCUCCGUUAGAUCCAAGUACUCUAAGUCUUUUCUUAAAGUCUCUUCCAAAGUUUUCCUAGGUCUUCCUCUACCCCUUCGGCCUUGAACCUCUGUCCCAUAGUCGCAUCUUCUAAUCGGAGCGUCAGUAGGCCUUCUUUGCACAUGUCCAAACCACCGUAACCGAUUUUCUCUCAUCUUUCCUUCAAUUUCGGCUACUCCUACUUUACCCCGGAUAUCCUCAUUCCUAAUCUUAUCAUUUCUCGUGUGCCCACACAUCCAACGAAGCAUCCUCAUCUCCGCUACACCCAUUUUGUGUACGUGUUGAUGCUUCACCGCCCAACAUUCUGUGCCAUACAGCAUCGCCGGCCUUAUUGCCGUCCUAUAAAAUUUUCCCUUGAGCUUCAGUGGCAUACGGCGGUCACACAACACGCCGGAUGCACUCUUCCACUUCAUCUAUCCAGCUUGUAUUCUAUGGUUGAGAUCUCCAUCUAAUUCUCCGUUCUUUUGCAAGAUAGAUCCUAGGUAACGAAAACGGUCGCUCUUUGGUAUUUCUUGAUCUCCGAUCCUCACCCCUAACUCGUUUUGGCCUCCAUUUGCACUGAACUUGCACUCCAUAUAUUCUGUCUUUGAUCGGCUUAGGCGAAGACCUUUAGAUUCCAACACUUCUCUCCAAAGGUUAAGCUUUGCAUUUACCCCUUCCUGAGUUUCAUCUAUCAACACUAUAUCGUCUGCGAAAAGCAUACACCAAGGAAUAUCAUCUUGAAUAUGUCCUGUUAACUCAUCCAUUACCAACGCAAAAAGGUAAGGACUUAAGGAUGAGCCUUGAUGUAAUCCUACAGUUAUGAGAAAGCUUUCGGUUUGUCCUUCAUGAGUUCUUACGGCAGUCUUUGCUCCUUCAUAUCCUUUAUAGCUUGGAUAUAUGCUACUCGUACUCCUUUCUUCUCUAGAAUCCUUCAUAUUCUUUAAUUUUCUUUCGUAUGUAUAUGUAAUUCACACAUAUACAUACGAAAGAAAAUUAAGUUUAAAGCACAUCAACCAAUACGUAGAUUACUAAUGGAACAAAACGAUAACCAAAGGUGAAUUAAAGAAUAAAACACCCGAAGUAGAGAGAAUCAGACUGAAAAACACAUGACCAUUACAGGCAACCACAACUAUACAAUAAAUAUAGUUGAUAAAGCAUAUAAUCCUUUUAAAAUAACCAUACUUAUACAUAUGCAAAAGCAAUCAGUAACACAUCCAAAAUAAAUCCUUAAACCAGAAAUCUGAUAUUAUUUAACAACUCACCUUUCCUCUUUUUUUUUUCUUCUUUAACUUAUCCACAGCAGAUUCGAGACCAUAUAAAAUGUUUUGAUAGCAAUCUGCACCAAAAAGUGAAAUUACAAAUUAAAUACACAAAACAGCAAAAAAAAAAAAAAACUUUUUUAAGAAAGCAGAGUCAAAAACCGUGUCAUGAGCUCAAAGAAAAAAUAGUUCCAUCUCCAAUUUAAACAAUUUGUAAAGGCCACCAAUAAUUUUUUUGUUUGACCAAUAGUUUCUCAACCAAACACAUUUUAUGCCAAAGCCAAACCAAACAUAACAUAACUGACAAAACGAAAGGUAACAAUGUCCAUAGCAACUUAAUUAUAUGUGGAAAAAAAGACUAGCAAAGAUUACUUUUAAAGAUGAAAACAUGCAUUAAACUAAACAAUUAAAAGCAAAAACCUAAUAAUGUAACCCCAUAGUCCCCAGGACCUUUCUCAAAGAACCACAUAAAAAUGCCAUUUCAAAUCUGGGCAAGAAGCUAGAACAACACUAAAUGUCACUAAAUGUCAUGGUUUUCAUAUAUAUAAAACCUGCAUAAGCUUUAAAAAAGCUAAUAAACCUAUAACCUAUUAUAAAUUUUAACAUUUUAUAUUAAUUUAAACUGAAAUACAAAUCUUACUUAAAUUAAAAAAUAAGAGAUUAAAUGGUAGCAGAGAAAAGAUAGCAAACACAAUUAAAAUUGGUAAAGCGGGCAGUCAAUUAGGGAGUAACAAUGAGAAUGGAUAAAUUGACUCUCUUUACAAGCAACACUUUGGUUUUUUUUUUUUUUUUAAAAUAAAAAACGGUGAAACUAUUAGACUCCCAUGACCCUUGAGAUAGAAACACACUAUUUGGUUAAAAGUAUUUUUUUUUCCCUUUUGAUUUUGGCCAAAACAAACGGUUCUGUUUAAACUAAGUGUUAGUGAUCUUCUUCCUCUGGUUUGGAACUUUGCAAAAUACCACAAUGGUGCAACACCACUGCUCAAGCGUGAUUUCCGAAUGGGUAAUGCACAGCAGACUAAAAUUACAAAGAAAUUUUAACCUAAAAUCAAAUCUACCCAAACUCCAAUCAUAUCUCUAAUCUAACACUUAUCAACGGGUUCCCAGAUGUACAAAAAAACGAUGACAAAAACUCACCCAAAAAUUAAGCUACCAAUCUCUCAAGUACGUGCUUGAUAAAAGUGAAGCAUAUACAUAUGUAAAAUAUGAACGAAAUAUGCAACAAUUGUAUAAAAACAUGCAUAAAUGAUAAACCAAUCCUACAAACAUGUUAAAUAAACAUAAGAUAUAUAAUAAUAAAAAAGCAGAAGGAGAACGAAGUGCUAAAAAUAGCAAGGAAAUUGUUUUUGGCGCAAGGAGAUUUACCCAAUAAAUAAGAGGACCGCCGGAGACACUGCCAAACUUGCGAUUGAUCAACGAAGGAACAAAAAUGCAAAAUAUUCUCUCAGCGAGGAAAACCCAGUACAUGAUCAGAACCGACCCAAAACAAAAUGUUUACAAUUUCAUCCAAAUCAAGCAAAACUCAAAAGAAAAACCAAACACAACACAUACCUAAGUCGCCAAAAAUAGAUUUCCCAGUGAUGCGAAAACGGCCGGCCCUCAAAGGAAAUACAAAACCGGAAAUAGAUCCAACCAAAAUCGGUGAAGAAUAGAGGGAAACAAACGCAAACACCGCAAAAUAUUCACCGUCGAUCGCAACCCCAAAAAUUUUGCGAAACAAUUUUACGACGGAGGACAAAACACCCCAAACCCUAGGUUUAAACAAAUGGAAAACCUCCCUCAAAUCAGAGACCACAAACACGAUCCCCUAAACCACAAAAAUCAGAAACUUGGUCCAAUAUAUUCCAAACCAAAGAUAGCGAAGAACAACAAAGAACCCGAGAGGAAGAGUGAGGAUAAAGUAGAGAUGAGAGAAAAACCAAAACAGAGAAUGGGCUAAAGAAAAAAGAAAAAUCUGGAAGCAGAGAGAGCGAGGAUCACAAACACGUGGAAAGAACGGGUAAAACCGUCUUUCCACUAGGGGUGGGUUCAAAAAACCGAAAACCGAAAAAAAUCGAAAACCGAACUGGAUCGAGGUCGAAAAAAACCGAACCGAAACUGUCAAACCGAACCGAACCGAAUUUGGUCAGUUCGGUUUCGGUUUUUAAGGUUUGGAAACCGAACUGAACCGAACAGAUAUAUAUAUAUUUAAUUAUUUUUUCAAUAUUAUAAAUAGUUUAGUCAUACAAUCAUAACAAAACAUAACUUGUUACCAGGUUGGUUUGCUUGAAGCUUUUCAAGCCCCUGCGCAUGGGUUUGAAUCCUCAUGCCUCCAGGGUUUCAUAAAAGUUUUUUUGUUUUUUUGAGAAAUCAACAAACCCUUUAACCCUAACCGCACCUUUUAUUUUUUUUCAUUCCUCUCUUCUCUCUCUCAUUCCCUGCCUCCAGUGUAACCCUAGCCCAGUAACCCUCUCACGCAGCCGAGCCUCAUCUCUCUCUCGUUUUCCAGUUCGCGCAACCUCUGAGCCUCCCCUCUCUCUCUCUCGGUCUUCAAUCACUUUCUCACUCUCUUUGUCUCUCUAUGAAGAGCUUCAUCGAAGCCAAGCGCAAGGAACGCGAGGCUCGCGAGAAGGACGAGUAGUAAUGGUGCGAGGUGGAGGGCAGCAAAUCCCCCGAGGUCAAGAAGAGCGAGGAAGAAGCCGAGAAGUGGGCGGAGGCUGCCACGCAAAAGUCCGAGGCCCGCCGAUUGGCGGAUCUGGAGGAGAAGGAGCUCGAGAAGGAGCAGCAGGAGGCGUUGGAGAAGAAAUCGGAUGAGGUGAAAAAGAAGCAGAGCCGUACGGUCGAGAAGGAGGAGUAUGAAAGGAUGGUGGUUGUGGAGAAUAAGAAUCGGGAUGAUUCGUUUAGGAGGCUCAAGGCUUCGUUUAAGGUAAGUUUUUUUUUUUUUUUGUUAUUGGGAGAAUUUAGGGUUUGUUGGGUUAGGGGUAUUGGAUUACAUUGGUUUCAAUUUCGUUUUGGAUAGUAAUGCAUUCAGAUUCAGAAUAGAAUUGUUCUAGUUUGUAUUGAAUAACUGAGCUUUAGAAAUUAGGAAUGGUACUGUACUAGUUUGAAGCUCUGGGAAUUAUUUGAGUAAGGAAUCCGACUCGGCAUUGAAAACAUGCGACUCGGUGUGUAUGAGUGUGCUUGAUUGCUUGUGUUGGCUCUGAAUCGUUGGUAGAACACCUCUUUUAGACAUAUGGGUUGCCUAUCCAGUCCUGAGCACUUUCUGUUUCAUCAUGGAGCUCUGAAAUCUCACGGAUUUUUUUUGCUGUUGAAUAAAAAAUAAAAAACCGAACCGGGCCGAAACCGAACCAAAAAAAAAUCGAACCGAAAAAAAUUUGAACCGAACCGAAAUUUCGGUUCGGUUUCGAUUUUGGCAAAAAACCGAACCGUUUUGAACCGAACCCAACCCUACUUUCCACUGCACCAAGCAAGCCACACAAAGGAAGAAACAUGAAAAACAAAGUGGCAAAAGAGUCCACAUACUGGUCAUCCACAGUGCCCCGGGGGAUUGGGUUUUAGUAUAUAAGACUAGAAAUUAUUGCCCGCAUGUUGUUGCGGGAUUAAAAAUUGUAAAAAUCCUUGUGUUUGAAAGAUAUAAAAGAUUGUGUCAUAGAAAAUCAAUACAAUUCUUUGCUAUAUUUAAUUGAUACUCCACACAAAAAUCGUAGAAGUUUUGGCUAUCUAUGUAUAUAAAAUAUUAGAUCAACACAUUCCACUUAGGUAGUUUUUGUGAUUUUCAAUCGACAGUAGUACUUAUAUACAAAAGAUUAUGAAACUUUGGGCUAUUUACAUGCAAAAAAUGUUAAGAAAUAUUAUGUCAUUUACAUUGAUAAAAUAUGACAAGAAUUGUUCAAUGGAACACCAAAAGUUCCCUCCAGUACUCUUGAUUGUCAACAAAGUAGUUUAAACCAAUCCAAAUACCAAAACUCUUUCAAAGUUCCAUGUGUCUUCAGUUUCUGUAAAUCAACCAACUUCUCCAUUCCAAACUAUCGAACAAAUAUUUAACAGCAAUACAACCAACCACCAACCCAUCCACAGACCAAAACCCUUUCAAAUUUCUGUGUAUUAAUGAUUAUCAACUAAAUUAUUUGGAGAUGGAGACACACAGAGCUAGCAUAGGAACCAAAGAAGAUCUACAAAAGCAAGUUAAGAGAUCAUCGUAUUACAGAAGCAAAUUACAUAAUAAAAUUAAGAAAGCAUCAUAUUACAAAAGCAUAAUAAUGUUCAUUUCCAAAUGUAUUACAAAAACCUAUGGUUUCAUUCCACAUCACAUAAUUCCCAAGGUUUUUUUUUUUUUUUUUUUUAAACCACAAAAUUUACAGCCUAGUUCAAAGAAUUUGAUCUGAUUAUUAAUAUUCACAUGGAAAAGAUAAAGACUCAAAUGAACUGGGCAUUUGAAAUCACUUUCUUAUGUCUUAUAACCACAUUAGUAUCAUACAUAUACAAACGUAGCAAAAGAGAAUAGCAAGUGCAAGCACAGAUCUUGUGAUAGUAUACAAAAAAAUGACUAAACCCGAAAUUCCCAACACAUACACCAAUCUUAUACAUAAAUCGAUAUCUUAUCGAGAAGAAAUUAGAAUAUCAAAAUCCUAAACAAAACAUGAGGCACAAUUAUCACAAUUAGAAAAAUAUUUCAAAUAAGAGCCAAACCAAAAAUGCACAUAAAGGUAAGUUAUGAACUCAAAUAAAACUCACUCUGAUGCUCAUUUCUAAUUAUGAAUGCUCUCGAGACUCCAAUCUUCUCAUCCCAGUCGAAAAUUAUCUAUACUAAAGUAGGGGGAGGGCAGGCACUAUUCACGUUUGUUUUGAUUUUGCUUUAUUUACAACAAUACCAGCCGCAUGUGGCUGGGUUGGGAGGGUGAUUCUAAAAAAUUCAGAGGGUACUAAAGUAGAGGAGAGGGCAGGCACUAUUCACGUUUCUUUUGAUUUUGCUUUAUUUACAACAAUAUCAGCCGCAUGUGGCUGGGGGGAGGGUGAUUCUAAAAAAUUCAGAGGGUAAUUUUAUCCAAAUGGUUUAGCAGGGAGCCACUCACUUUCAUGCUAUUUACAACAAAACCGUCAGGUUUGGGCUGAUAUAUGGGCUGGGUUGGAAGGGCAAUUUUGUCCUGUGCGUUUGAGACCGAUUGGGGUGGGUUUAGGUUUGCUGUCAUUCGACAGGAGGCCAUGCCGUUUCUGAGAUAGAGGGAGAGAGAGAGAGGGGGACAGAGCGAGAGAGAGGGAUUUCAGGGAUUUGCAAAUCCUUCUCCUUCACACAGAAGCUCUGCAAAUCAGUAGGCCCAACCUCUAACUCUCAUCCCCAGAUCCCCUUCAUACUGCAAAUGAGUUCCUCCCCCUUCAGUUCCUCCGCUCUCAAACCUCACUUUCUUCCUUUCACAAAUACCAACGAAGAACAUGAUCAAGGACACACAGGCGCACCAACGCCUCCAUUUUCCGGCGAAACAUCACCACAUAACCACUCAUUCCCUCCAUUCUGCUCAGGACACACAGGCGAUUGCCUUUCACUGUGCAGUGGCUACUGCCACUGUUCAUCGGCUUCUCCUACGAGACAGCAGGGGUAUGCAGAGAUCAUAAUAGAUGGGCUUUUAUAUAUAUAUAUAUAUAUAUAUAUAUAUAUAUAUAUAUAUAUAUAUAUAUAUAUAUAUUAUACCAUUAGUUUCUGAAUACUCUGUUUUUACUUUUAGAUUUAUUCAGUCUCUUUAUAGUUGGUCUUUUCAGUUUAACCUUCUUAGUGUUUUCUGAUCUCCAUAAGGUCUGAGCAGUAAGGCGUCACCCAAAUAGUAAGUCCCGGAGGAUAGGGCCUGAGCGGCGCGCAUGACCCAGAGAGCUUGGCGUUUAGAGUCACUAGUAAGAUUUUCUGUUAAGGUUUCUGUAUUUUGAUUGUUUGAAUUUAUUGGUAUGAGUAGAUUGUUUAGAUCUAAUUCUAUGGCCAGCACUAGCUCUAGAUCAAAUUUAGGAACAAUACCUGAUAUUGUCAAUGAAGAACAAAAAUUUGAAUUUCAAACAGACAGUAGUCUAGAUUUUGCUGAAUGGAAUAUUCCAAAAAUAUCUUCAAAAAAUAUUUAUAAAAAGAAAUGGGCAUUCGCCUCUUUUAAAACUGAACAUCAUGUUAAAACAGUUGAACAAGCUUAUGCUCUUAGUAAAGAUCAUGAAACCUGUCAACUAUUUACCCCAGAACAAAUUAAUUCCCAUAGGAAAGAUGGUCAUAAUUAUAUUCAUAUAGGUUUAGUGCAAAUUGCAGCCAAACCUUUAACACGUAGAGGUCUUAAUACCUCUAUCCUCUUAUGUCUUCGAGAUGCUAGAUUCAAUGACUUUAGUGAUAGCAUACUUGGUAUGGUUGAAUCCAGCCUCUGUAAUGGACCUAUCCACUUUGAUUGCUUUCCAGAUCUUACCAUAAGUCUAUCAGACCCACAUAUGUUACCCUACUUCCGCACCCAUUUGGUAUCAGAGCCAAGUGGUUGGUUAUACCAUUAGUUUCUGAAUACUCUGUUUUUACUUUUAGAUUUAUUCAGUCUCUUUAUAGUUGGUCUUUUCAGUUUAACCUUCUUAGUGUUUUCUGAUCUCCAUAAGGUCUGAGCAGUAAGGCGUCACCCAAACAGUAAGUCCCGGAGGAUAGGGCCUGAGCGGCGCGCAUGACCCAGAGAGCUUGGCGUUUAGAGUCACUAGUAAGAUUUUCUGUUAAGGUUUCUGUAUUUUGAUUGUUUGAAUUUAUUGGUAUGAGUAGAUUGUUUAGAUCUAAUUCUAUGGCCAGCACUAGCUCUAGAUCAAAUUUAGGAACAAUACCUGAUAUUGUCAAUGAAGAACAAAAAUUUGAAUUUCAAACAGACAGUAGUCUAGAUUUUGCUGAAUGGAAUAUUCCAAAAAUAUCUUCAAAAAAUAUUUAUAAAAAGAAAUGGGCAUUCGCCUCUUUUAAAACUGAACAUCAUGUUAAAACAGUUGAACAAGCUUAUGCUCUUAGUAAAGAUCAUGAAACCUGUCAACUAUUUACCCCAGAACAAAUUAAUUCCCAUAGGAAAGAUGGUCAUAAUUAUAUUCAUAUAGGUUUAGUGCAAAUUGCAGCCAAACCUUUAACACGUAGAGGUCUUAAUACCUCUAUCCUCUUAUGUCUUCGAGAUGCUAGAUUCACUGACUUUAGUGAUAGCAUACUUGGUAUGGUUGAAUCCAGCCUCUGUAAUGGACCUAUCCACUUUAAUUGCUUUCCAGAUCUUACCAUAAGUCUAUUAGACCCACAUAUGUUAAAAGCACUUACAUUAAAUAUCAAAACUUCAGGAUACAAAGUCCUUGAAGGAACACAGCCUAUAGACGAAACUUCUGUAAGUCUCGUUUAAUUUUCAAUAAAUAUUUUCAAUCGAAUAUCAGCAUCAUUAAUUUAAUCAUGAAUACUAAAUCUAUUUUAAAUUUAGUUUUGUUUAUAUAUGCUCUUGUUAUUAAUCCUAAAAAUUUUACAUUGAUAUUAAUCAAAUUCUUUGAAUUCCCAAAUACAUAUAUCGGAUAUUUCCGGCUUCCUAUGUUACCCUACUUCCGCACCCAUUUGGUAUCAGAGCCCAAAUGGGUGCGGAAGUAGGGUAACAUAUGUGGGUCUGAUAGACUUAUGGUAAGAUCUGGAAAGCAAUCAAAGUGGAUAGGUCCAUUACAGAGGCUGGAUUCAACCAUACCAAGUAUGCUAUCACUAAAGUCAGUGAAUCUAGCAUCUCGAAGACAUAAGAGGAUAGAGGUAUUAAGACCUCUACGUGUUAAAGGUUUGGCUGCAAUUUGCACUAAACCUAUAUGAAUAUAAUUAUGACCAUCUUUCCUAUGGGAAUUAAUUUGUUCUGGGGUAAAUAGUUGACAGGUUUCAUGAUCUUUACUAAGAGCAUAAGCUUGUUCAACUGUUUUAACAUGAUGUUCAGUUUUAAAAGAGGCGAAUGCCCAUUUCUUUUUAUAAAUAUUUUUUGAAGAUAUUUUUGGAAUAUUCCAUUCAGCAAAAUCUAGACUACUGUCUGUUUGAAAUUCAAAUUUUUGUUCUUCAUUGACAAUAUCAGGUAUUGUUCCUAAAUUUGAUCUAGAGCUAGUGCUGGCCAUAGAAUUAGAUCUAAACAAUCUACUCAUACCAAUAAAUUCAAACAAUCAAAAUACAGAAACCUUAACAGAAAAUCUUACUAGUGACUCUAAACGCCAAGCUCUCUGGGUCAUGCGCCGCUCAGGCCCUAUCCUCCGGGACUUACUGUUUGGGUGACGCCUUACUGCUCAGACCUUAUGGAGAUCAGAAAACACUAAGAAGGUUAAACUGAAAAGACCAACUAUAAAGAGACUGAAUAAAUCUAAAAGUAAAAACAGAGUAUUCAGAAACUAAUGGUAUAACCAACCACUUGGCUCUGAUACCAAAUGGGUACGGGCUAUCAAAACUUCAGGAUACAAAGUCCUUGAAGGAACACAGCCUUUGGCCUUAAUUUACAGGAUUUAUUAUAAAGUCACUGGCACAAAUAUGAACUUCCAGGCUUUAACCAAAAGUCCGAAGGAUCACACUCUCCUGAUCCAGACUGAUCAAGAGAAUGCCAAUAUAAAAAUACCUCGAACCAUUAGGUGGUCAGAAAUCAAUCUCCCUUCAGAUUGGUGUCUGAUAAACGAGAGUCGGCCAGUAGCCAUUCAAAAUAGUCUAGUUAAUUUAGACAACGUAGAACAAUACUUUGACGGUACGGUUAAAAUUAAUUUUGAUCGUCCUGCUAGGAAAUCCUGUGAUUCUAAUAGAUCACUUAAAUCCUUUACUUCCAAUAGGAAUUCUUUCUCUGGAUCUAUGCCAAACGAUAGGCAAGGUCGAGACCAAGAAUUAAUCAAUUCCCUAGCUAAUAGGAAAUUAAAAUCAGUAGACACAGGCUCAUCUGUCACCCAACAAGAAUUAAUAAAUGACCUUUUAAAUUUCAAACUCCAAUCACUUGAGACAAACGCUCAAGUAGUCCAGCCUACCUAUCAUACCCCAUCCAUUCCUCCUAAGGAUGAACAAACAUCCCCAACUGCUUCUGAUUUUGAUGCAGAUCCAGUCCAUCACCAAUUAUUGGUUUUAACCCGACAAGAACCUUUUAAAUAUGAUCGUAAAAAACUCUGUAGAGACAUAGAAGCCCUAGAAAAUGUCCCUCGACGAAAUAUCUUCAGAAGUAAAUAUACUACUGAAGAAAAAUUAGAAAUCCAUAAAGCAUGGAAAGACUUCAUGCAAACCAACAGACUUGAAAUCUUUUUCUUCGACUUCGUAGAAAAACAUUAUGAGUCUGAACACCAACUAAAGGUAAUCACCAAAGAAAACUGGCUUAAGGAAGACAAGUCCAUUGUCUCCUCUAGUCACCCUCCACAAGAAACUAUUCUUAUUAGUACUGCGAAUACGCAGGUCUCAGCUUCGCCAUUCAAACUUCCGAAGGAAGAUGCAGGUGUCAAACCUGUUAUUGAACAAAACAAUUUUACCAACCAAAGCCUACAUAUCAUAGGAAACAGUUGGAUAAGAUUGAAACCAAGGUUGACAACUUGUCAAUUAAACCACUUAGUAAAGAAAUACCUUUAACUAGUUUUAGAGAGUCACCCUCUUUAAAAACCUCAACAUCCAUUAAGAUAGAACAGAUGCUUAAUAAGCUAGAAAAGGAUAAAUCAGUUCGUGUGAUUAAUAAUCCACAUGAUUCUGAAACACCUCCCUCAAUUCCGGAUUCAGAAGAUGAAAGUGUUGAUUCCAUCCAUCAAAUGGAACAAGCCUUUCAGAGUCUUGAAUUAAAACGUCUUAAUGUCAAAAGAACUAAUCCUACAUCCUUAACCAAAAACUGGUAUCCCAGACCAACACCUCCUGAUCUUCAAUUCGAAGAAAGGAAUUUCCAAUCCCAAUUUACCGUCUCAUCUGAUAAACUCUAUGAAUGGAAUAUAGAUGGUUUAUCAGAACAAGAGUUAUUAAACAAACUCCAACACAUCUCCAUGGUAGCAAAUAGCUAUAUCACUAAUCAUGACCUUAGUCAAACUCAAAUCGUCGACAUCCUUGUCUCUGGAUUCACAUGAAUGCUUCAUUCCUGGUGGGAAAAACAUCUCACUGAAGAUUCCAGAAAUCUAAUAAGAAAUGCGGUAAAACAAGAUGAAGAAGGAAUACCUAUCUUCGAUGAACAUCUAGGACGUGGUGUCCCAGAUGCAGUUAAUACCUUGCUCUACACAAUCAUACAACAUUUUAUAGGAAUCCCCUCCAACAUCACAUCUAGAAUCCAUGACCAACUAAGUAACUUAAGGUGUCCAACCCUAAGUGAUUUUAGAUGGUAUAAAGAUAUAUUUAUGUCAAGAGUUAUGCUUAGAGAUGAUAGUAAUCAACCAUUUUGGAAAGAAAAAUUUAUAAAUGGAUUACCAAACCUUUUUGCACACAAAAUAAGGAAUACCUUAAUUAAUGAAGAUGGUAUUAUACCAUAUAAUGAUCUUACUUAUGGACAUAUCAUAAGUACUAUCCAAAAAGAAGGCCUAAAAAUGUGCAUAGAUAUGAAAAUAUCUAGACAUGCACAAUCUGAUAAGGCAAUAGCCAAAUACGAAUUAGGAACAUUCUGUGAGCAAUAUGGUCUGCCACCUAUAGCUCCUUCCAAUAUUAAAAAGAGAUCGACUACCUUCAAUAGAUCUAAGAUCUCCAGACCACGGACCAACUACUCCAAAUAUCAUAAAGGCAAGUAUGCCAAACCAAACCCAUUUUAUGAAAACCCCAGACAGAAAAGAUGGAAAGGAAAGAGAAAAUCCUCUGGAAAAUUCCAUUCUAAAGACAAUAGUCAUAAGGGAAAAUGCUACAAAUGUGGCAAAGAAGGGCAUUAUGCCAAUAAGUGUAAAGUUAAGAAAACCAUAAGUCAGUUGAAGAUUUCUGAGGAAGAAAAGCUUCAACUUAUCCAAGCCCUAGAACUCCAAAAUACCGACAGUAGUCAUUCAUCUGAAGAUGAUCUAGGAUCUACCCCAUCAUCCUCGUAUCAAUCUGCCUCUAGUAAGCACUCUACUCCAAACAUCAAGCUCGGAUGUCCUGAUGCUUGUUGUAAAAACAUAUCAGUAUUAACUAAACAAGAAAAACAAGAAGAAUUACUCUUAGAGUUAAUAAGCAAUGUUGAGGAUACUGAACUCAAAAGGUUCUACCUCAAAAAACUUAAGAACUUAGUUUCUCACGAAGAAUUAGGCACUAGCCAAUCUCAAAUUCAAAAACCACAAAUCUCUCUUAGUUCUACACUAGCAAAGUUUAGUAAGACUAAGAAGGAAAUUACGGUCAGUGACCUCCAAAAAGAAAUCAACCAGAUAAAAGAAGAAAUUAAACUUCUAAAAUCUGAUAAUUACGAGAUUCAUACUCAACUCACUAAAAUUAAUACUCCUCUAAAAGAAGAACUAUUCAGUUCCUCUUCUUCCAGUAGUCACCAUGAAUCAGAAUCUGAUACACAUUCAGAACACUUAGUUCUGAAUCUUCUUCACAAAAUUAGAAUCCAAAAAUGGUAUUCUAAAGUAACAAUAGUAAUUGAAGAUUUUCACUUCGAAGCCAUUGCUUUGAUUGAUUCAGGUGCAGACUUGAAUUGUAUUCAGGAAGGACUAAUCCCCACUAGGUAUUUCCACAAAUCAAAGGAAAUCCUUAGUGCUGCUAAUGAAUCUCCAAUGGAAAUCAAAUAUGAACUUCCUAAAGCGCAUGUUUGCCAGAAUGAAGUUUGUUUCAAAACACCUUUCGUCCUAAUUAAGAACUUAUUUGACCCUGUCAUACUAGGACUACCCUUUAUAGCACUCCUCUAUCCUUUUAACACAUCAUAAUAGGAUUACCUCAAAGGUCUUAGGACAGAAAGUCAAUUUUGAGUUCUGCCUGGAAACAGACCUCAAAAAACUUAGGCAUCUCCAAAAGGAUAACACUUCGCGAUCCUUAAACAUAAUCUCUAAUAAGACUAAACAUCUUCAAUUCUUGAAAGAUGAUAUUCAUCACAAGAAGACUGAAGAACAACUCAAACAAGAGAUUGUAUCUCAAAAAAUCCUUAAAUUUGAAGAGCAACUUGUUAAAGAAGUAUGUUCUGAUAUUCCCAAUGCCUUUUGGCACCGCAAAAAACAUAUCGUUAAAUUACCUUAUAUCAAGGAAUUUAAUGAGUCAAAAAUCCCUACUAAGGCCAGACCUAUUCAAAUGAGUCAAGAAGUAAUGAAUUUCUGUAAAGCAGAAAUACAAGACCUUCUUAAUAAAGGAAUUAUCCGUAAUAGCAAGUCACCUUGGUCGUGUCCUGCAUUUUAUGUUCAGAAAAGUGCAGAACUUGAAAGGGGAUCUCCCCGAUUAGUUAUUAACUACAAACCUUUGAAUGAAGUUUUGGAAUGGAUUAGAUAUCCAAUCCCCAACAAAAGAGAUUUAAUAAAAAGGCUUAGUAAAGCAACUAUCUUCUCAAAGUUUGAUAUGAAAUCAGGUUUUUGGCAAAUCCAAAUUCAUGAAUCUGACAAAUAUAAAACUGCUUUUGUAACGCCUUUCGGCCAUUAUGAAUGGAAUGUUAUGCCUUUUGGUUUGAAAAAUGCACCAUCUGAAUUCCAGAAUAUUAUGAAUGAGAUUUUUAAUCAGUAUAGUCAUUUUACGAUUGUUUAUAUUGAUGAUGUUCUUAUUUACUCCAGAUCUAUAGAUGAACACUGGAAACAUUUACAUUUGUUUGUUAGGAUCAUUAGAUCAAAUGGAUUGGUUGUGUCAGCCCCUAAGAUUAAAUUAUUUCAACUUAAGGUUAGAUUCUUAGGUUAUAAUAUCCAUAGAUCUACCAUCCAACCAAUUGACCGUGUCAUCCAAUUUGCAGAUAAGUUUCCUGAUCAGAUUACUGAAAAACCCCAGCUUCAAAGAUUCUUAGGUUCUUUGAAUUAUGUUUCUGAAUUUUAUCCACAUUUGCGUCAGCAAUGUAAACCUUUGUUUGAUCGCCUUAAGGAAAAUCCUCCUGCUUGGUCUACCAUUCAUACUUCUAUUGUCAAACAGAUUAAAAAUCAUGUUAAGACUUUGCCCUGUCUUGGCAUUCCAACUCCCAACUCUUUUAAGAUUGUUGAAACUGACGCCUCUGACGUUGGUUAUGGAGGUAUCCUCAAACAGCAAACUUCCUCCGGAUCACCUGAACAAAUUGUUCGUUUCCAUUCAGGUGUAUGGAAUCCUGCUCAAACUAAUUAUAGUACUAUUAAAAAAGAAAUACUAUCUAUAGUUUUAUGCAUUAGUAAAUUUCAAGAUGAUUUAUUAAAUCAAAAAUUUCUUGUUAGAGUUGAUUGCAAAUCUGCAAAACAUGUUUUACAAAAAGAUGUUCAAAACAUUGCAUCAAAACAGAUUUUUGCACGAUGGCAAGCCAUAUUAUCAAUCUUUGAUUUUGAAAUAGAAUACAUUAAAGGCAGCCAUAACUGCAUUCCAGAUUUCCUAACCAGAGAAUUUUUGCAGGGGAAGAAUGUCUAAUAAAAACACAGCUUCUCCACAAGGCAGUAGCCAACUAAGGAGGCUUCCCGCCUCAUUACCACCACCAAAACAGGAACCUAUUCCCGGUUCCUCGGCCCUAGCCAUUACCAAUAGAUUUACUCCAUUAGGAUCAACUCUAGGAAGUAUCCGACCAAAUUACCAAACAGCGUUAGUAAACCAGUAUGAUCCUUUCUCCUCCACCUACAGGCAAUCGCCAUCUCCCUCAGUAAGUUAUACUAAAACAUCCCCUUAUAUUAUUAAACCCUCCAAAGAGUAUCUCUUCAGUAUCCCUUUCAACUUCAAACAUCUGAAAACACCUGAGGUAAUAGCCAAAAAGAUGUUUCCAACCAAUUCCCAUUUUCAGCCAAGUGAAUUUCACAAAACCCUCAAGUAUUAUACUACUAUUCUCAAUGAGACUUCCUCCAUCACCAUAAAACCCAUCUUUGAUAAAACCUCUGGCAAUCAAAACAGAAUCCUGUAUCAUUCCCUUACCAUCAAUAAAUUCUUAUUAGAGUCAGAAUGGCAAGUGCCUCUUUUUCAGCCCAAACCUUUUAAAAGCAGUAGCUUUCCCAGUCACUCAAACCAUUAUACCUAUUUUGAUUACAUUCAAGCUUGGACUAACAUCUUCCUACACCAAUCCGAAGAUUUUAGUCAUUCAUGGUUCAUAACCUUUGAUCGAAGUUUCAGAUUGAAUUUUCCUGCAUGGUUUCCCAGAUGGUGGUCAGAACAUGGCCUUAUCUCUGACCUCAUGCCAGAUGAAUUCAAGCAAGUCUUAUCAGGCACCUUCCAGAAGAAGUUCGAUAGAACGCGUUUCGAUGAAGGAAUCCCUUUGUUCGCCCUGUUGGCAAAAUACAAGACCCCCUGGAUUCUCCGCUGGAAUUACGAGAUUGAAUCCAAUCAAGUCUUCCGACAGAGAAUGAUCAAAUGGUGGGAUAAGUUCAACUACCAGAAGAUCAUUGAAGUCGUGCUCAAGGACUUCCCCAUGGGUCCUGAUUCAGUACCUGCAGUAGCGGCUCCUCCGGCAACAGCCUUACCAGAACCAACCAAGGAAGAAAUCGAUUCAUUAUCGGACAUUAGUCCUUCUUCCUCUCUCAAAGGCAAAACCAAGUCAUCCAAAUCUUCGAGCAGUUCGAAGAAAAAGAAAUCAUCAAAACUCAAGGCUCUAGCCAAAAUUCUCAUGAAGGAACUGCAAGAAGAAAAUGAAGAUAGUUCGGACUCCGACAACUCUUCGGAUGCUUCAUCACAGUGUGCAGUAGCCAAACAAGGGAAUAUCUUCCCGCCUGAUUCUCAAGAUCCAUACGAAUUUUAAACUUGUAAUAGCAUGUAUAGGAAUUUCUAAAUUCGUAUAAUUGUAGUCUCAGUAGGAUACAUUGUAUUUAGAUUCGAUAGAGUAUUUUGUAAUAACUGCAUAUGAUGACAAAGCCAGCCGCAUGUGAAAGCAGCAGUAGCAGACAAGGUACUAUUCAUGAAUAGUAAAAUCACUUUUACUAUUCAUCCACAGUAUUCACCCUCGUGAAAGUCACAGUCCCCGACAGCAUCUUCUGCUUUCGGCCUCUUUACAGCAGUAGCACAUGGAGAACGGGAAUCCCGCUUCCAUCCCUCAAUCUUGUCGGCCUUCCUCAUCAAUAAAAGGAACUCUCCAGCUAUCGGAGAAGGGGGCUUCAAUUUUUGAAGAAACAGAAAACUCUGCGUAUUCAUAUCGAACAGAGUCUACAGCUUCUCAGCAAAAAUAUUGUACUACAUAUAUAUAUUACAAUUUAGAUCAGGGAUGCCUGCGAGCUCCAAGAUCAGUCUUUAAAUUUUCAAAUCGUCAAUAGACGAAACUUCUGUAAGUCUCGUUUAAUUUUCAAUAAAUAUUUUCAAUCGAAUAUCAGCAUCAUUAAUUUAAUCAUGAAUACUAAAUCUAUUUUAAAUUUAGUUUUGUUUAUAUAUGCUCUUGUUAUUAAUCCUAAAAAUUUUACAUUGAUAUUAAUCAAAUUCUUUGAAUUCCCAAAUACAUAUAUCGGAUAUUUCCGGCUUCAUAUGUUACCCUACUUCCGCACCCAUUUAUAUAUAUAUAUAUAUAUAUAUAUAUUAUAUAUCUUUUACAUAAUGCUCUUAAAUUUCAAUUAUACAUAACAUGGAGUAAGGUUAUAACUCAUCAUCAUCAACAUCGUAUUUAUAACAAUGUUGCCAAAAUGCAUUCUGAUUAUCAGGUAUAUCACUAUGGAAGAACUAGAGCAAGUCCUCCACGAAUAAGGCUUCCAUGAUGAAUUUUAAUCUUUCCAGGUACACCCAUAUCUAUAUCCCAAACAACUGUUAUUAUGUAUCAAUUUGUUAGAGUCAACAAAUGUUAGAGUUAAUUUAUAUAAUUUAUUUUUUGCUUUCCAGGUACAAUCGUAUCUCACUCCCUCUGGUACUCUCUCUCUCUCUCUCUCUGAAAUCUCUGUUGGGUUUCUACCAAUAUGUCAAUUUGUAUAAUUUAUUUCUUGAUGUGAUUAUGUGAGAUUUGGUGCAUUUGAUUUGGGUUAUGGUUUGAGAUGUUAUUUGGAAGAUUUCAUUUUUGAGUUGGAUUCAUGGUUUUUGCUUAAGAUCUCUUUUUUUUUUUUUUUUUUAAUUGUUGUUGUAGCUUGCUGUGUAUGUGAUAUUUUCUUCCAUGUCCAAUAUUAUCCAAAUUCAUUACUGCAUUUCAAGAGCUUGCGACUUAUAACUUCGCUCCCAACUCCCAAGUGAGUCUUAGAUAGCAAAUCACCCUAAUAACCUUUCUAAAUACGUUAAAUGGUGAAAGUGAGAAAUGGGGAAUCUAAAUGGUGGUGUGGUACAUCAUGUAGAAUAUUGGGAUUGGCUACUGAUUUGUUUUUCCAGAUUAGGAGGAAAAGAGAAAUCAUGUGCAUUUCACUGUUUUGGAGCAUUGCAAAUAAAUACAAUACACAAACAAAUUAGCAAAAGAUAAAGGAACAUGCUUAAUGACUGAUUGGUUUAUGGAUUAGUAGUAUUAUUUGUGGUGUAGAUCAUGGUUUUCAGGUCUUUUACAAUUUUAGUAGUUGUGCUUAAGGGUAGAUGACGAUGAUGUAGGAUGGAGAUAGUUUUUAGAGAAUGCUGGAUAUACAUUCGUUAGAGUACAUUCAAGUAGUUUUGUGUUCCUGUGAGGUAUUUGGUAUUCCUCAUAGUUUCGUUCUUGACCAUAUUCCUUCUUGAAUCUUCAUCGAUUAAAUGUUUCCUUGAGCAUCUUCUUUAAAUUUGUCUUUUAUAUUUGAUCCAGUUAUGAUUUUCCCUACCUUUGUGUAUUUAUAACCAGAAGAAGUGAUUUUUCUAAUUGUGAUAAUUGUGCCUCAUGUUUCGUUGAGGACUUUGAUAUUCUAAUUUCUUCUUGAUAAUACAUCAUUUUUGUAAGCGUAUACGGGUACUUAUUUUUCAGCAUUGUUUAAAGAUCACAUGCUUUACUGAAUCUAAAAAUAGUGACCACUGAAAGAUUUGACCCCUUCAAAGGCCUAUGGAACUUAAAGUAUUUCUUUGUGGUUAAUUACUGAUAGAAGUUUAAAUUGGGAAAAGAACAUGCAAGUGGAUUACUGGUUUAUCAUGAAUAUGAUUUUCAAUUUGUUGGUGCUACAACAAAAACGUGUCCUUAACUGUAAGAGGAAUCCUACUUUGUGACUUUGGUUACCGAUUUAUGAUGAAUAUGAUUUUCUUAGCUUAUUAUCAGGACAAUGUUAAUUUCACUUGAUUAUUUCACAUUUUCCAGCUCAAUCUUUGAUUUUGAGUCUUUCCGAAAGCUGUUAUCAUCUCCAAAAUCCAUAUUCUGGUAUGUAGAUAGCUGCUAAGUGCUGCAACUCACUAAGUUUGGCCACAUGCCUUCAUUGUAGCAUAUGCCCUCUGUGACAAGUAAGCAUUAUAAUUCCACUUUAUGGAUUGAUAUUAAGUUGGGUUAUGGAAUAAUACAAGGUCGUGUCAUGGUUGAACAUUUCUACAUUCUUUAUAGCUAGGGUUAUUUUUUUUCUUUGUGAAAUUUUGACGUCUUGCUUUUCAGUUAAGAAGCCCGAUUAUUGUUGCAAUUUUAUGGCGUGUCACUAAUAAAUAUUUGUACAUUAUUUUGAUUAACCAAUUUUCUAGGAAAAUGGCUUUUGUGAAUUAUGGUUAGACAGAGUAUUUGAAUUUUUUUUCCUGUUGAAAAUUGCAGGGCACAGUGAAUAAUUUCUCUAUCAUUAUUUUGUUUGAAAUUAGCUUCUCUAUCAAAUUUGAAGUCUAUAUAUGCCAAUAGAACCAUAUAAUUAUAAUAGUUGGGACAGUUUCUGCAAAUCUUUUUGUGACUUUUUAAUGGGUAUAUUGUUCCAUUGCUUUCCUGCAGGUAUAUAUAUUUUGGCCAUUUGAUAAUGUGAAUGAAUACGCAAGGUUUUGAUGAUACUAUGUAGGUACAAUUUUAGACUUUUAGUGUUUACAAUCUGAUACCUCAUUGACCAUGGGAUUCCAUUUCAGUCUGUUUUUUUAUUGGUUUGUUAUGUUUUAACUUCGAUUAGCCAAAACAAUGUUGAACGACAUUUCAGUCUUCUUUUGAUGAAGUGUUCGAUUCAAGAGCAUAUAUAUUAUUUUUUUUUUCAACUUCUACUCUUUGGGUUUUUAUUGGAUAACAGGUAGUUUUCGAAUUUUCGGGAUUUGUUUGUACUAUGACAAAAUGAUUAAUAAGCUUGCUUACCUUGGAGUGAGUUGAAUCCAUUUUUGUUAAAUUUAUUGAUUAUCCAUUUUGGUCUCCCUCUUUGUUGCAAUAAAUUGUCGGAUGAAUUUGGUUUCAGGGGAACGUUAUCUUUUUUUAUUCUUAUACUGCACAAAAAAACAAAACAAUGCAUUGGGUGCAAGUAUGCGUUUUUUUAAUUAUUUAUUUAUGUAGUGUGAAAGUCAAUUGUGUUUUUGUUGCUGGAGUCGGGUUUGUACUUACUCUUGGGCUGCCGCUGGCAUUGGCCUUCAAUUCACCAUUAAAUGCGGAAGAGGAAGUCCACCUGCCAUAUGGUUAGAGCCUUGGAGGUGAAUGUUUUUUUUUUCUUUGAACAAGAUUUUGGGAAACAAUAUUAAUUGAAAUUUUUAUAUUCUGACAAGUGAGGUCAAGUUUUAGUGAUUUUGAUGCAUAUUGGGUUUAUGCAUAUUUUAUUACUGAUUUUGAUGCUGCCACCUUAUCUCAAUGUAUCACUUUAGACAUUUAUUCAGUUUCCUCUGCUGAUUGUACUUAUUUAAUAAAAUUUUGGAUGUUUUCGUUCUUGAUUCAUUUUGUUAGUGAAGGUAUUAAUCUUCUGCAGAUUACGACUUGCAUUUGGUUGUUCAUCUGGUUUUGUUUUUCUUAUUUGUAACACACCCUGAUCAGUGGCUGCCAAGCUUACUUGAAAAGGUUUGGCAUUUUAAUUAGCUUAGAUAUAAUUUGAAAAUUACGUUUUAUACACCAGUAUUCUGAAUAUAUUCUGGAUUAUGAUUAAUUUUCUUCUCCUUCCACGCUUGCUUUCUAUGAUAGACAAUGUGCCCUUUUUUUCUUAGAUAAAUUGCCUUUUCACUAUCUUGCAUGCUUCGGCAACAAAGAUUAAUAAAACUGCACGUCUAUUAGAGAGAGAGAGAGAGAGAGAGAGAGAGAGAGAGAGAGAGAGAGAGAGAGAGAGAGAGAGAGAGAGAGAGAGAGAGAGAGAGAUGUAGGGAGAAGUUGGAAUUGGAGAGAGAGAGGGUGAGGGAGGGAUGGGGUUGCUUUCCAAAGAUUUGUUUCGAAUUGUUUCUCCAGUUCUUUCUAUUUAUUUGGGAUUGCUUCCUUUUUCCUGAAUUAUUUUGGUCCAUGCCACUAAAAUCUGAUUUAUGCUAUUAAUUGCUGCUUAAAUGUGACUUUUGCUAUUAAUUUUUUACCUUUCAUGUUUAUGCUGCGUUUGGAUUACAUUCGAAUCAAAUAAUGUAGUUAAUCUUGAUAUGAAUUCUCUCUGCAACAAUAUUUAGGGACUUUAGUUUAAAUUAUCACUAUAUUGUUCUUGCUUUCCAACUCAGCUCUCUCUUUCUUCGCUGAUUUGCAUUUCAUUUGAGUAAUAUAAUCUGCAGCAAAUGCAGAUGCAGGUGCAAUUGCAGAUAAACAAACGACAAUGAACUGUUCAAAAUAUAUCCUUACACCAUGAAGAAAUUGUCAAGCUGUGGAUAACUAAUGUUUCUUUUCCGCCGUGUAAGUUUAUCUUACAUUGCCGGUCCCAAGCCCGGAUAAAGGAGGAGGGGGAGGGCGUCAGGUAGUCGACAGCCGGCACUCCAUGAUCACGUCGAAUCCUUAUGAAAGUUACAGGGCAUCCAGUAGCUCAGGCUGGCGUUCAGGUUGGCGAUCAAAGUAGCACAACACUACUACGCGAAAUUGGCUUUGGGUAAGCUUCCACUCUCUUCUAUUUAUAAUUCUUUGAGAAGUGAUUUUGGUUGGUGGUUUUGGAAGAGAUAAGUCCAAUUCAUAAGUGAACUAAGAAAAUAAUAUGCAUGUAUAAUGAAGUGGAAUUUUUCAUGGUAUUAUUAACAUGCAUGGUAUAAAUUUAGUUGUUGAUUUUGGCUUGGCAUGAAGAAUGGUGUGAAAAAAACUGAAAAACUAGAGCUACUCUACUGUUUAUGCAGCGAGGGAAGGGGAGGAAAGAAAAAACAGUUAAUUUAGUGCUCCAUUUUCUCAAUUGCUCUCCACGUUUUCUGCAAGCUCAAUCAUUUCAUAUCUUUCAAACUUAAUAGUUUUUACUUUUUUGUGUAUAUAUUCUGUCUUGCAUUCUUUUAUUGGUUUUGAAACUAUAACUGAGUAUACCAUAGCACUACAACUUUCCAUUAAGUGGUUCCAAUGAUAUAGUUUCAUAUAUAAUACUCUUACACUCUUUUACUAAUUUUUGUUACAUGGGGUGGGGCUGAUUUUGAGGUUCCUUCUUCAGGAUUUGUUCUGUAAAGCCUGUUGGGUGCAAUUCAUUUUCCUCCUCCUUUCCCUUGAACGACAAAAUCGAAACCCACAACUCAAAACUCACUCAUUUGUUGCCCCUCCUUGGCAUGCCGCUUUACUCAUCUCCCGAUGGUUCUCUCUCUCCAUUCCAUUAGAUUUCAGUGAGUUCUUCGUUGCUGUCAUGAUUUCCCAGUUUGGUUUUUUGGGCGUCCUUAGUCGUUGUUUUUAUCUGGGUUUACUGCAUUGUUGCUUUUAGUUUCUGGAUUUUUAUUUUUUCCGCGGUUUGAUGAAUCGUGGUUAAUAAUUUCACACCAUGGGAUUUUCGCACUUCUGAUGGAAUUCAGUGUGAGGAUUUGUGGUGGGUUUUUACUGAUAUUGUCUUCAUUCAAAUGAAUGGUUAAAAUUUAUAGUGACGGAAGAAAUUUAUGAGUUUUAACAAAUUUGUAAAUUAUUCUUAUACAUUUUAUUGAGGGAUAUGGGGAUCUAAUUGAUUUCUCUCUGCAGUGCGAUUGAAAAUCGGGACUUUGUGGUACUCUCUCUCUCUCUCUCUCUCUCUCUCCCCUCCCUAUGUGUAUGAAUUGAGUUCUGAAGUGCGUGUGCAGGUGGGCGGUUCAUUAACUAAGCUUUCAAGGGGAGCCCAUCAACGGUUUGCUUACUGGGGGAAUACGGAGACUACCAGUGUAUUAUUUGGUUAUCUUUUAUUUUUUAUUUAAAUUUAUCCAUAUAUAAUGUGGGUAAAUUUAUACUAAACAAUUGUGAUAAGCUAGCAUGCCAUACGACUUUGAAAGCAUUGAUUUUGUGUUUGGUUUGGAUUUUGCAUUGUGAAUGUUGAGUUUUGUGUUGAAUUUUCUUUGUGACGUUCAGCUGUGUGGCAAUGGAUACAUUCUUCAACAGCAGCGUGUUAUCCCGGUGUGUUACUUUGCUAAGGAAGCAAGUUGCUCUAUGCUAAAGGAGGAUGGUGAGUCGACAUUCUCGGCCCUAUUUAAGGUUAUCAUAUGCUAUUCAUUGUGAUUUGCAAGGUUUCCCAAAAUAACAACAUUCAAAAAAAUGGGUUGGUUUCACUUUUAACAAAUUUACGUUGGUUGUCAUCUGUAAAUGUUAUACAAUGCUGAGUUCCAAACUUUAUCUCUGACAUUUUAGUGUGUUUUAGAUAGGAUGCAGUUAUGGCCGAAUAGCUAUGUAUUUUUUUUAUCUUAUUUUUUUCCUUCCUUUCGCUAUUAUUAGGUGCACAGUACAGGGUAGACAAGCUUAGUGGAUUUCCUAAAUGACGAGAAUUUUGGAAUUGAAAACAUGAUGGGAUUUAAGGAACUACCCAUGGGCUGUAGUUUUCCCCAUUUGUAAUUAGCAAUUUCUUUAAUCAUGUUAGUUUGAUAGUGUUUCGGUGGUCAGAAAAUUUAAGGAUUUAAAAUAUCAUGGGUUAGGGGUUUUAAGAAAUACCCAAGUUCUAUAGUUUAGCUCCUUUGUUCUUAUUAGGAUUCUUCAACUUUGAUUUGGAUCAAUUUUGGGUCUGCAUGUUAUAAUUGAGGUUAAAAUUCUAAAUUUUUAUAAAUCUUUGAUUGAUUGAUCAAGUUUACGGUAUAGAUGAUGUAAGAAUUUGUCGCCAAGGGUUUCAGAGAAGGGUGGUUUCACAGGAAUUGAAGCUCUGGCUCUCGGUUGUGAGUUCCAUAAACAUUUGAUUGUGCAAAUAUACAAUGAUUUGUAUUUUAUGUCGAUGAUCAAAAUGUGAUCAUAAUCAAUAUUUAUAUAUAGAUAAAUACUGAAAGUUUUAGUUCCAGACAUUUAAUAGGUAUGAGUGGUUAUUGAAAUCUGUUCUGUUGUGUUUUUCUGCAGGAGAAGCAAGAAAUUACAAUUGAAAAAGCCAUGCGUAAUAAGUGGAAAUGUAUCACCACUGUGAAAGGGCUGCAGCUUUUUGGUGAGCUAUCUGUUGUAUUAUAUCCUUUGUCUUUCUAUUUGGAGAUUCUUUUUUUAAUCCUACCGUAAUAGGUAACUGCAAUUUACUUUUGGAUUUGAUUCUUCACUGAUGGGAUGUUGUCGGGGCGUGAUUUAGGGGAGGGGUUGGUUGUAGAGAGAGGGUGAGGGCGGGUGCAAGAUAAGGGGGACAGAAAAAGAGUUGAUUGGGUGCACAAUUUGAGGGUAGGGUUGAUGGAACGAGUGUGUCGGCUGCAUAGAGAGGGUGGGGUUGAGGGAUUGUAUCUCUCCCUCUGUCACAUCUCUUCUUCUUCCAUUUACCCUUUCCUUCCAUUUGAGAUUGUGUUAGGGGUUUUGUUUGUAGCCUAUGAUUCUACGUGUGGUUGUUUAAUUUAGUUUUGUGUUCAGUUUCAGGAGACUCUGGUUUUUUGUUUUUUGGGGCUUUUGUUUGCAGCCUUCAAAGCUGACUGUGCUCACGCUCUAUGAUAGCAGUGGUGAGCUUCCCUUCCAAAUAUUCAUUCUUUCCAGUAUUUAGGGAUUAUGAAGUGAUUUCUCUGCUUAAUUUGGGAUUGGGGUUACUUCUUUCUUAUAAUAAAAAUCUGUGUAUACCACCUGGAAGCUUCCCUUUCAAAGAUUCCUUCUUUCCAGUAUUUAGGGAUUAUGAAGUGAUUUCUCUGCUUAAGUUGGGAUUGGGGUUACUUUUUUGCUUAUACCAAAAAACUGUGCAUGCCACCUGGAACAGUAAUUGGGUUUUGGGGUUUGUUGCAAUGCAGGAUUUAGGAUUUUUCCCAAUAUAAUUAUGGUGUUUAGGUUUUUGAAACUUGGGCUUUUCCCAAUGUAUUAUGGUGUUUAAUGUUUAUUAGUAUUUUUGUGGUAUUUAAUCUUCUCUUUUCGAUUACCCAGUUGAAGUUUUUAAUUAAUUUUUGUUGAUUUGAUUUGUUAUUUUGUAAAAAAUGAAGCGGAGUUCAAAGUCAAGAGGGAAAGAAAGCAUAGAUUUCGGUCGACACUUGAACAGUCUGCAAUUAAAUUCAGAGAUUGUUGGGUAAGCCUUCGCUCUCUUCUAUGUAUAAUUUCUUUGAGAAGUGAUAUUGGUUGGUGGUUUUGCAAGAGAUGAUGUCAAAUUCAUAUUUGGACUAAGAAAAUAAUAUGCAUGUUUGCUAAAGUCAUAGAAUUGCUCUCGAGUCCCCUCCAAUUAAUAUUUCGUGCUGAUCGAAUUUUGUUUUGGUGUUUAAUUACAGGACUUCUCAGGUUGACUGCGACCUGGGUAAUCAGAAAAAAAAAAAAAGAAAAAAAAAAAGAAGUGACUUUCUGGAGGAGAGUCCGACAAUACCAAACAAAAAUCCAAAAUUGCUCUUCAACAAGUGGGUUAAUUGUAAAGUCAUUCAAUCGGUUCUUUUAUAUUCCCGGCUUUUAUUUGCUUAUGUUUUUAUUUCUCAUAUUUGUGCAAUUAAUUUACUACUGUGUAAAUAUAUUGGAAGAUUAUUUUUGAAGUGAAAAUUGCCUCUCUUUUUUUCUUCGCAUCUGUAGCGUGUGCUCCAUGAAAACCACACGUGUUCAUUAUUUCACUUAAGUUUAAUGAAUACAUGUGAUGCAUGUGGGAAUCCCGAUUCAUGUGAUACAGCCCACCUGUGUAUCAGACGGGUGCACUGAAACACCCUAUGUUCAUUUUUGAAAUGAUAAUGCUUAAAGUGUUUUGCACAUUGCUUGGAAGUUUUUACUGAUGUUUAGACUAAUAAAUUAUCAACAUUCUCUAAAUGGGAUUUCACAUGAUAUCAAGUAAACCCAAAUACUUGGAAUUGAAUAGUAUUUUCGGAAAAUAAACACCCUUUUGUUGUGAGUUUGUAUACAGGAUUUAUUUUCUUUGUGUUUGAUGAGUGUAAAUUGUUUAGUAAAUUUCAAUAUUCUUUGACUUUUUAAUCUACAAAAUCAAAUCACUCAUGGAAUUUAUAGCAUACAAUCAGUUUCUUUGUAGUUGGGUUUAGAUGAUAUUGAUUGCGCUGUUAUAAAGCUUCUUUGUAAAGUUAGGUUGAAAAUCAUAUUAAUAGAUUCUUUAUUUGGUUGGUUCAAUCUAUAACAGAUGAGAUUUUGUUGGAUGUUUCAAUCAAAAUUUGAUCUUUUUGUUUUUUGUGAAAUUAUAAUGGAAUCACAAAUCAAGUAUAUCUUAGAUUUUUGGUUGCAUACUCACCUUCCCACAACUAUUAUAUUCCCUUGACUUGAUGAAUUUUUAUAAUUUCCAAGAUCUACGGUUGCAAUGUUUUCGAUACAUGCAGUAAGGAGAGAGCUACUACUCUUAUGGAGCUUCUUUGGCAUGGUAAGUUGAAGUUGCAUGUCAUUUUUUUUUUUUCGUUCAUAGAAUUCAUUAUCUUGCUAUCUUGGCAAUUAGCAAUUUCUGAAAAUUGAUUAAAGUAUGAAUAAAUGUGUCAAAGUUUGAAUCAUACUCAUGAAAGUGAAUAUAACAACUCUAACUUACAUUUCUUAAUAAUUUGAUCCGUCUUUCUUUCAUUUGUGUUAGAAGAAUAUAUUAUGAUGUAAAGCUUAAAUUUUGGGCACUUAAAUAUAUGUUUGUUUUUGGCAAUUACAUUUCAUGAAAAUCCAAUUGGAUUUGUUCUGGUCUGCAAGAAUUUUUCUUUGUUUGAUUAUUGAUUAAUUUAUGUGGCGGGAGUUUAGUUUUUGCUUUUCUGCCUGUGUAUAUUUGAUUUGAAAUGGACAGUUUAGUUUGCUAUAUAUAAAUUUGUAAUCGAGAAGCUCGAAGGAGAGGUAAAUUAGAAACAUAGGUGGGAGUGUGAUGGAGUUGAGGAGUUGAUAGUUUACGGAGAGUGUGAUGGAGUUGAGGAGUUGAUAGUUUACGAAGUUUACUUGGAUUUCUAUAUUAUGUCCAUUGUAUUGAUAGAUCAUUGAGACUGACUGUUUGGUUGAUUAAUCACUAAUUUGAAAUACUUAAACUGUAACUUUUCUUUAAUUCCUUUUCCUUUUGUAUUUUCAUUGGACUCUUUUAAUUUAUUUUUUUGCUUGAUCUAUCUUAAGAAUGCUUGCAUCUUGACACUUUAAAUAUUUUAAUUUGUCCUCUUUUAUGUAAAGUUUUCUCCGAUGUGAAUAUGGCUUUUUCUCAAUCUUCAGAUGGUGAUUAUUUGGUAACUUUUGCAAACUUGGCUACUCAGCCUUUGAAAUACAAAGCCGAGGAUGAGAGGAACCAGAUGAGCUAGAAUCGGGUUUGUAUAAUUCUAAAUUAUUCGUUUAGUUACCAAUAGAAAAUAUGGUUGCCCAAUCCAAUUUAGUAUUUUCAUCGUCUUAAACAUUUUCCUAUCAUAGCAGUUUGUUUCGAUACCUUAUCUUUAUCUUGGCUCACAAUGUAACGUUUAAUGAUUGAAUUUGUGCGAUGGUUUAGUAGUUUUUUCAGAAACUUACUAUUCCUAGAUGCUCAAAUAUUAUGUCUUCUAUGUUUCUGCUUUCCCUUUUUCUAUGUUUUCCCCCAUGUAAUGGGCUGACCACUUGAAACUAUGAGUAUAAUACUGAUGGCACAAUACGAUCUACAAAUGAAUGUUUUCUUAUAGCAUGCAUAUCCAGAUGUAGCGAGUAAAAUUUCACUUCAUUGGUUCUUAGGUACCACACCGUCUUUUAAAUUAUUGUGUGCGGAAAUUAUUCAUGUGGUUAAGGUUUGUGCAUUCAAGUCCCGCAGCAACGCGCGUGCAUUUUUGCUAGUAACAUCAAAUGCAGACUCCUCUGCUGUUUAGAGGUGAUUGUGGUAACCCAGUUUUCCAAUUAUGCUGCCUUUCCAACUUUUUCUUGCAACCAAGUUUCUAAAAAAACAGAUUGAAUUCAAAAGGUAAUUGGACCAAGGCAUAAAAAGACAUAAGAAAAAGUAUAGAAAGUAUAAACCACAUAUAUCACGUAUUAUACUACUUUGUAUUCCAAAUACACAUACGAAUAUUUUAGUUCCAAUCCCACAUUCUCUCUCAAACCCUUCAACUUAUCUUUGACUUUGUUUUUCAACGGCAUCAUAUUUAAGAGUUAGCUUCCAUCAAACCCUUCAUCUAAUCCCACCCUUACUUUCCUCUCUAACCCUUCAUAAUCCCACUUUUACUCUCUCAAACCCCUCAACUUACCCUGGACUUUGUUUCUGCAGCUUAGUUUCAUUUAAAAGCUUAUUUCUCAACAAAAUCAUCAUUAGUUUCAGUCUUAAUUAAUCAACGCAAGAGAACUCGGGAAAUCAUUCUCCACUCUCGGCGAUCCAACAGAUGAUAAGGAAGUGGAGAGAACGGGUUGUUAAGAAGAAGAGCACCUCAAAUGUUCAGAAAUUAAGAAAUUAAUAAGCUCAGUUGCAUACAGAACGACAGCGUUUCGACCUGACAUUUUAAACUCUUCAUAACAUCAAUUUCCAUCUUAAAUUAGAAUAAACCUCCAACGUUAGAAAUAUGAGUACAAACAAAUGCUUAGUAAAAGAAUUAGCCAAUUAUAAUUAAGAAUUGUUAAUCAAACUGUAAAAGCAACAUAUAUAUUUAUCCAACUUCAAACACAGAACCCAACAGAGAGAAUCCAAUUGAAAACCGAAUAGCCCAAACAGACCAUGAAGAUUAUACAAUCAGAAGAAGAGAUAUUUGGAGAAGAAGAGUUCAUUACAUAGUCUGAAGGCAGCCGAGCAGCAGCAGAAACUGAAAAAAGCAUAAUAAUUGAAAAAAAAUAAAAAAAUUAACAGGUAGGAGUGCUUAACGUUAUUUAAUUAUAUGCAAUGACAUUAGUGAAGACCGAAGAGUCGCAUCACGUGUGACAGCAAUAUACUUACAACAACAACAACAACAACAAAGCCUUUUCCCACUAAGUGGGGUCGGCUAUAUGAAUCCUAGAACGCCAUUGCGCUCGGUUUUGUGUCAUGUCCUCCGUUAGAUCCAAGUACUCUAAGUCUUUUCUUAGAGUCUCUUCCAAAGUUUUCCUAGGUCUUCCUCUACCCCUUCGGCCCUGAACCUCUGUCCCGUAGUCACAUCUUCGAACCGGAGCUUCAUUAGGCCUUCUUUGCACAUGUCCAAAUCACCGGAACCGAUUUUCUCUCAUCUUUCCUUCAAUUUCAGCUACUCCUACUUUACCUCGGAUAUCCUUAUUCCCAAUCUUAUCUUUUCUCGUGUGCCCACACAUCCCACGAAGCAUCCUCAUCUCCGCUACACCCAUUUUGUGUACGUGUUGAUGCUUCACCGCCCAACAUUAUGUGCCAUACAACAUCGUUGGCCUUAUUGCCGUCCUAUAAAAUUUUCCCUUGAGCUUCAGUGGCCUACGACGGUCACACAACACGCCGGAUGCACUCUUACACUUCAUCAAUCCAGCUCGUAUUCUAUGGUUGAGAUCUCCAUCUAAUUCUCCGUUCUCUUGCAAGAUAGGUCCUAGGUAGCGAAAACGGUCGCUUUUUGUGAUCUUCGCUAGAUUGCUCCGGUCAUUAGUGUGGAUAAGUAUAUAAAUGGAUAGAGAUAGGAAAGCAAACACAAGAUGUACAUGGUUCACCCAGAUUUGCUACGUCCACGGAAUAGAGGAGUUCUCAUUAAUUGUGAAGGGUUUACACAAGUACAUAGGUUCAAGCUCUCCUUUAGUGAGUACAAGUGAAUGAUUUAGUACAAAUGACAUUAGGAAAUAUUGUGGGAGAAUGAUCUCGUAAUCACGAAACUUCUAAGUAUCGGAGUGUGGUAUCGUCUUGACUUGCCUUAUCUGUCUCAUAGGUAGAUGUGGUAUCUUUAACUCGUGGAGAUGCACAAGGUAAUGUAUCAAUUUUACUUGAAGCUUACUUGUAGUUUCAGGCUUGGUCAAGCGCGAUACAAACCAUGUAGUAGGAAUCCCCCAAGUCGCCGAGCUAGGGGAUCUGCUGAAAGAGGUGACAGACAAGGUAAGCAAUCAGAGCUCCGGCUGAUUGUUCACCUUUUCCCCAUCUUGUAGCAGCAUGAAGGAUAAAGAGAAGAAAAAUGAGAAGAUAUGAUAUGGGAUACUUUUGCUUUUGAAGAAGUAACUUUCCACAUGCUUAUUCUUGAACUGAGCUGGAGGGUUUUCUGGUGUCCUCCAGAGUAUAAGGCCGACUGAAGAAUUUGAGGGUCAAAACAAGUCCAUCAAAUCUAGAGUACGUUCGACCCUGCUGAUAUGGGAUACUUUUGCUUUUGACAGAGUAAUGGAUGUAUCGACACGUGUGCUGUUACGCUUGUCUCCACAUGCUUCCUUAUAUCCUUCGCACUUGCCCUAUCUGUUCCUCAAGCAGAUGUGGUAUCUUCCCUGGAAGCAUAAGAUGUUGAAGAUGAGUACUCGAGAGCAAUGCCAGGUAAGUAAUCAGGUAAGGGGUUCCAGGCAGUCAGUUCCUGGCUGGAAGCUUGAUUCCAAGUGCUGACUGAUUGCUCUCUUUCUCCUACUCGAGAGCAAUGCCAGGUAAGUAAUCAGGUAAGGGGUUCCAGGCAGUCAGUUCAUGGCUGAAAGCUUGAUUCCAAGUGCUGACUGAUUGCUCUCUUUCUCCUUGUCUUGCAGGUAAGAACAAGGCCAAAGGAAAAGACAGGGAAAAAGCAUGAUAUGGGAUACUCUUGCUUUUAACCCUGAUGAUAUGAGAUAUUCUUGCUCUAGUAUAGCUUGUUUGCAGAGGUAUUAUCGGGGGGAAAGAAAGCUGAAUAUUUCGAAAGGCUUCGUUGGGAGUGCCCUCUCAGAUAUGAGGAAGGGUUGAGCAUUUUUGCAGGUCUGCCUGUCCGUUGGGGAUAAAGGUCGACAUAUAUAGGAGUCUCCCUAACAACAAGUAGUAAUGCUAUUCCUUUACCCUGCUUGGUCCUAGCACGGUAGUGGGAGCUGCCAGCUUCACAUGUUUUAACUCUGUCAGAGAACUUUGAAAAAGUGGUAUGUGAUAUAUGGCUCUCGAGAAUCGAAGAACGAUGCCUCUUCGAUUUUUGAGAAAGCAAUCAUGCUGGGGGUCUGGCUCUCGAGAUUCGGAGAGCAGUGUCUCUUCGAUUUUUGAGAAAGUAAUCAUGUUGGGAGUCUGGCUUCGGAGGGCGGUGCCUCUUUGAUUUUGGAGCAAGCAAAAGUGUUUUCUCGAAUGUGAGUAAAGGUUGGGCAUGUUUACUAGUCUACCUUGCCACGAAGCACAUAGGUUGACACACAGGGACUUUCCAAUUAUCCAGCAAUGGUACUGUUCCUUUACUGUCUCUUCGAUUUUGAGAAAGUAGUCAUGUUGGGAGUCUGGCUCUCGAGAUUCGGAGGACGGUGCCUCUUCGAUUUUGGAGCAAACAAUCUUGUUGGGAGUGUUUUCUCGAAUGUGAGUAAAGGUUGGGCAUGUUUGCUAGUUACCUUGCAACGAAGCACAUAGGUUGACACACAGGGACUUUCCAAUUAUCCAGCAGUGGUACUGUUCCUUUACCCUUGUGGGUAAUAAUAUGGUAGCUAGACCUUCAAAAUAUAUGUGUCUAAACUUUGUUAGUGUUGUUUCUUUGCUAUUCUUUUACCUUUCUUGGUCAGAGCGACGUAGUGGGAGCUGAAAGCUUCACGUGCUCAACUUUGGCAGAGAACUUUGGCAAAGUUAUCUGUGGUACCCAUGAGCUAUUGUUGCGUGUGGGAAGUGGGUGAUUGAACAAUAAGAUUCAUGUGCUUUCUACUUCACCAGAAGUCUUCGACAGAAUGCCCAUAAUUUCCGCAAAGCUGAGUGUGCGUGUGACAGGUGCUGAUAAGGCUAGAAAAGUAGGUGCCUCUUCGAUUUCUAAGAUCGGCCCUCGUGGUCUCUAAGCAGCCCAGCUUUUGAGAAAGUGAGCGCCUCUUCGAUUGAUUCGGAAAACGAUGCCUCUUCGAUUUUUGAGAAAGCAAUCAUGUUGGGGGUCUGUCUCUCGAGAUUCGGGGAGCAGUGUCUCUUCGAUUUUUAAGAAAGUAAUCAUGUUGGGAGUCUGGCUCUUGAGAUUCGGAGGGCGGUGCCUCUUCGAUUUUGGAGCAAGCAAUCUUGUUGGGAGUGUUUUCUCGAAUGUGAGUAAAGGUUGGGCAUGUUUGCUAGUCUACCUUGCCACGAAGCACAGAGGUUGACACACAGCGACUUUCUAAUUAUCCAGCAAUGGUACUGUUCCUUUACCCUCUCUUCGAUUUUUAAGAAAGUAGUCAUGUUGGGAGUCUGGCUCUCGAGAUUCGGAGGACGGUGCCUCUUCGAUUUUGGAGCAAGCAAUCUUAUUGGGAGUGUUUUCUCGAAUGUGAGUAAAGGUUGGGCAUGUUUGGGCAUGUUUGCUAGUCUACCUUGCCACGAAGCACAGAGGUUUACACACAGGGACUUUCCAAUUAUCCAGCAGUGGUACUGUUCCUUUACCCUUGUGGGUAAUAAUAUGGUAGCUAGACCUUCAAAAUUUAUGGGUCUAAACUUUGUUAGUGCUGUUUCUUUGCUAUUCUUUUACCCUUCUUGGUCAGAGCGAUGUAGUGGGAGCUGCAAGCUUCACGUGCUCAACUUUGGCAAAGAACUUUGGCAAAGUUAUCUGUGGUACCCAUGAGCUAUUGUUGCGUGUGGGAAGUGGGUGAUUGAAUAGUAAGAUUCAUGUGUUUUCUACUUCACCAGAAGUCUUCGACAGAAUGCCCAUAAUUUCCGCAAAGCUGAGUGUGCGUGUGACAGGUGCUGACAAGGCUGGAAAAGUAGGUGCCUCUUCGAUUUCUGAGAUCGGCCCUCGUGGUCUCUGAGGAGCCCAGCUUUUGAGAAAGCGAGCACCUCUUCGAUUUCUGAGAUCGGCCUUCGUGGUCUUUGAGCAGCCCAGCUUUUGAGAAAGCAAACGCCUUUUCGAUUUCUGCGUUCAACCCUCGUGGUCGCUAAGCAGCCCAGCUUUUGAGAAAGCAAACGCCUCUUCGAUUUCUGAGCAGGCGCCUCUUCGAUUUCUGAAGCUCCGUCGAGUGCAGAUUUGUAUAGGGGCUGGCAUUAAGUUCCAAAGCACACUUGAAUCUCCACCAGUAGAAGCUCCAUUCUUGCACUUCUAAGAUCUUGAUUUGUCCGACCUCUUCUCUCUUCAACACCUUUGAAAAUGUCUGGCCCCUCCGACCGUCGUUUUGACUUGAACCUUGUUGAAGAUGCAGCCCCGCCUUCUCCAGACAACAUAUGGCGCCCAUCCUUCGUCUCCCCUACUGGUCCUCUUACCGGUGGGGAUUCCGUGAUGAAGAAUGAUAUGACCGCUGUGGUGGUGGCCAGGAACCUUCUUACUCCCAAAGAUAACAGACUACUUUCCAAACGGUUUGAUGAGUUAGCUGUUAAGGAUUCGCUGGCUCUCAGUGUUCAGUGUGCAGGUUCUGUGUCUAAUAUGGCCCAACGCCUAUUUGCUCGAACCCGCCAAGUUGAAUCAUUGGCGGCUGAAGUGAUGAGUCUCAAACAGGAGAUUAGAGGGCUCAAGCAUGAGAAUAAACAGUUGCACCGGCUAGCACAUGACUAUGCUACAAACAUGAAGAGGAAGCUUGACCAGAUGAAGGAAACUGAUGGUCAGGUUUUACUUGAUCAUCAGAGAUUUGUGGGUUUGUUCCAAAGGCAUUUAUUGCCUUCAUAUUCUAGGGCUGUACCGCAUAAUGAAGCUCCAAAUGAUCAACCUCUGAUGCCUCCCCCUUCUAGGGUUCUGUCCAGUACUGAGGCUCCGAAUAAUCCCCCUCCGGUGCCUUCUCUUUCUGGCGCUCUACCGACUGCUGAGACUUCUCCUAAGCAACCUUUGUGAAGGCUCCCUCUUGUUUGUUUAUUUUGACACAUGUAUAUGUACAUAUUUGUAGCUUAUCGGGGAAAUCAAUAAAUAAGCUUUCCUUCAUUUCAACGUAUUGUGUUAAAUACACUAAAGCCUUAUUCGCUAAGUUCUUUGAAUUUUCUUUUGUUGAAGCUUUCUGAGUGGAGCAUGUAGGUUGGGGUAGUGUUCCCUUAAUUUCCCGAGUGAGGAAAACUUCUCGGUUGGAGACUUGGAAAAUCCAAGUCACUGAGUGGGAUCGGCUAUAUGAAUCCAAGUCACUGAGUGGGAUCGGCUAUUCCUUUACCCUGCUUGGUCAUAGCACGGUAGUGGGAGCUGUCAACUUCACAUGUUUUAACUCUGUCGGAGCACUUUGAAAAAGUGGUCUGUGGUAUCUGGAAAGCUGAUGUUGCGUGUGAAGAUAACAGACAAGCUUUAUCCAAGGAGAUCCGGCUCUUGAAGUUGGGAAAGUGGUGCCUCUUCGGUUUUCGAACAAGCAUUCCUGUCGGGGAUCUCGCUCUCGAGAUUCGGAGAACGAUGCCUCUUCGAUUUUUGAGAAAGCAAUCCUGCUGGGGGUCUGGCUCUCGAGAUUCGGAGAGCGGUGUCUUCGAUUUUUGAGAAAGUAAUCAUGUUGGGAGUCUGGCUCUCGAGAUUCGGAGGGCGGUGCCUCUUCGAUUUUGGAGCAAGCAAUCUUGUUGGGAGUGUUUUCUCGAAUGUGAGUAAAGGUUGGGCAUGUUUGCUAGUCUACCUUGCCACGAAGCACAGAGGUUGACACACAGGGACUUUCCAAUUAUCCAGCAGUGGUACUGUUCAUUUACCCUCUCUUCGAUUUUUGAGAAAGUAAUCAUGUUAGGAGUCUGGCUCUCGAGAUUCGGAGGGCGGUGCCUCUUCGAUUUUGGAGCAAGCAAUCUUGUUGGGGGUGUUUUCUCGAAUGUGAGUAAAGGUUGGGCAUGUUUGCUAGUCUACCUUGCCACGAAGCACAGAGGUUGACACACAGGGACUUUCCAAUUAUCCAGCAGUGGUACUGUUCCUUUACCCUCUCUUCGAUUUAUGAGAAAGUAAUCAUGUUGGGAGUCUGGCUCUCGAGAUUCGGAGGGCGAUGCCUCUUCGAUUUUGGUGCAAGCAAUCUUGUUGGGAGUGUUUUCUCGAAUGUGAGUAAAGGUUGGGCAUGUUUGCUAGUCUACCUUGCCACGAAGCACAGAGGUUGACACACCGGGACUUUCCAAUUAUCCAGCAGUGGUACUGUUCCUUUACCCUUGUGGGUAAUAAUAUGGUAGCUAGGCCUUCAAAAUUUAUGUGUCUAAACUUUGUUAGUGUUGUUUCUUUGCUAUUCUUUUACCCUCUUGGUCAGAGCGAUGUAGUGAGAGCUACAAGCUUCAUGUGUCUCAACUUUGUCAGAGAACUUUGGCAAAGUUAUAUGUGAUACCCAUGAGCUACUGUUGCGUGUGGGAAGUGGGUGAUUGAACAGUACGAUUCAUGUGCUUUCUACUUCGCUAGAAAUCUUCGACAGAAUGCCCAUAAUUUCCGCAAAGCUGAGUGUGCGUGUGACAGGUGCUGACAAGGCUGGAAAAGUAGUCUCCACUUUGUCAGAGAACUUUGGCAAAGUUAUAUGUGGUACCCAUGAGCUACUGUUGCGUGUGGGAAGUGGGUGAUUGAACAGUACGAUUCAUGUGUUUUCUACUUCGCCAGAAAUCUUCGACAGAAUGCCCAUAAUUUCCGCAAAGCUGGGUGCGUGUGACAGGUGCUGACAAGGCUGGAAAAGUAGGUGCCUCUUCGAUUUCUGAGAUCGGCCCUCAUGGUCUCUGAGCAGCCCAGCUUUUGAGAAAGCAAACCUCUUCGAUUUCUGAGAUCAGCCCUCGUGGUCUCUGAGCAGCCCAGCUUUUGAGAAAGCAAACCUCUUCGAUUUCUGAGGUCGGCCUUCGUGGUCUUUGAGCAGCCUAGCUUUUGAGAAAGCAAACGCCUCUUCGAUUUCUGAGAUCGACCCUCGUGGUCUCUGAGCCGCCCAGCUUUUAAGAAAGCAAACGCCUCUUCGAUUUCUGAGCAGGCGCCUCUUCGAUUUCUGAAGCUUCGUCGAGUGCAGAUUUUUAUAGGGGCUGACAUUAAGUUCCAAAGCACACUUGAAUAUCCACCAGUAGAAGCUCCAUUCUUGCACUUCUAAGAUCUUGAUUUGUCCGACCUCUUCUCUAUUCAACACCUUUGAAAAUGUCUGGCCCCUCCGACCGUCGUUUUGACUUGAACCUUGUUGAAGAGGCAGCCCCGCCUUCUCCAGACAACAUAUGGCGCCCAUCCUUCGUCUCCCCUACUGGUCCUCUUACCGUUGGGGAUUCCGUGAUGAAGAAUGAUAUGACCGCUGCGGUAGUGGCCAUGAACCUUCUCACUCCCAAAGAUAACAGACUACUUUCCAAACGGUCUGAUGAGUUGGCUGUUAAGGAUUCUCUGGCUCUUAGUGUUCAGUGUGCAGGUUAUGUGUCUAAUAUGGCCCAACGCCUAUUUGCUCGAACCCGCCAAGUUGAAUCAUUGGCUGCUGAAGUGAUGAGUCUCAAACAGGAUAUUAGAGGGCUCAAGCAUGAGAAUAAACAGUUGCACCGGCUCGCACAUGACUAUGCUACAAACAUGAAGAGGAAGCUUGACCAGAUGAAGGAAUCUAAUGGUCAGGUUUUACUUGAUCAUCAAAGAUUUGUGGGUUUGUUCCAAAGGCAUUUAUUGCCUUCGUCUUCUGGGGCUGUACCGCGUAAUGAAUCUUCAAAUGAUCAACCUCUGAUGCCUCCUCCUUCUAGGGUUCUGUCCAGUACCGAGGCUCUGAAUGAUCCCCCUCCGGUGCCUUCUCUUUCUGGGGCUCUACCGACUGCUAAGACUUCUCCUAAGCAACCUUUGUGAAGGCUCCCUCUUGUUUGUUUAUUUUGACUCAAGUAUAUGUACAUAUUUGUAACUUAUCGGGGAUAUCAAUAAAUAAGCUUUCCUUCAUUUCAACGUAUUGUGUUAAAUCACCAAAGCCUUCUUCGCUAAGUUCUUUGAAUUUUCUUUUGUUGAAGCUUGUAUGUUGAAGCUUUGUGAGUGGAGCAUGUAGGUUGAGGUAGUGUUCCCUUAAUUUCCCGAGCGAGGACAACUUCUCGGUUGGAGACUUGGAAAAUCCAAGUCACUGAGUAGGAUCGGCUAUAUGAAUCUUAGAACACCAUUGUGUUCUGUAGGCACAACACCACCAAAGGAAAGAAACCUAGUGAUCACAUACAUUUUGAACAUUGCCAAUAAAAGAGCAAUCAGAUCAAAAUAAUACAGGCGAUGCCAGAAAUUGAUUCAAAUUUGUAGAAAAACUACACUCAAAAUACCCAAAACGAGAAAAGGAUUAGGCCACACAUUACCAUCCACUCCAAUUAUCGGUCCACAUUUUGGGUCUCUUUUCAGGAAGUCGGGGUCCAUUGAUCACAAUAAAAUCCAUUGCAAGUGCUGAUCUGUAGGUAGUUAAUAUAGCAUGCCAGUAGAGCAAAGAAACCAUCUUGAGAAUUCGUCUUUAUACAGUCAAUACAAAAGAAUACAAAUGAAAACUGACUACAAAAGCCUCACCACGGAUGCAAGAGCAUCAGCUUGCUGACACAUGACCCAGGGUACCCCUGUAUCCAAAGACACGGCCAUGCUUGCUGCCCACUUAAUAUAGGUUUGGGCAGCAGCCCCAUAUGCUUGAUCAAUGUUUCCAUACUCGAUUUCAAUCUGGUAUAAUUGAAACAAUUAACCCAUAACUCAAAUUGGAAUAUUCUUAAAACGAAAAACAUUGGGUAAAUAAUAAAAAGAAUAAAGAAAAUUUUAAACCUGGGAUCAAAUGAUGGGUCCUCCCUGAGAUGCAUAAAGCUUUUCCUUCUUCAUCAUAUCAAAAUUUUUUGCCGUGAACCGCUGCAUUUCUGCCUGAGCCACAUAAAUUCUAAUAAAACACUGAAGUUGAGAAAAUACCAAGAAAGGAAACACAAACACAGGCAAUUGGGAUAAAGUGGAGAAGAAGAAACCUUGAACAGCUCAUUGUCCGUUCGCAAUUGAAUUCCGGGUAUGAAAUGCACCCAAAGAGGAAAGCCACUGUUGAAAAAUUGAAACGCCAAUCACACAAUAAAACUUCUUCAGAAAGUACUGAAAAGUAAGUUGAUCAUCAUAAAAGCAACUUCCUUUUUCUAUUUCUCAAAAAAGGAAAAUGUAAAAAGACCAAUUAAAAUUCAAUUAAAUUCAUAAUACACAUAGUUCCAUUCUGCGCACACAUAUGCACCAAUUCGAAGGUGCACUAGAAGGCCAGCUUCUGCUACUGUCUUCACAAAUUUUACCAAAUCUUUUCUUCCACCAAAAUCAUACUGCAAGAAGUUGUAUGUUCCACCAGUCACCAUCAUAACAAAGACAAAAUGCACAAUUCAAGAUAACCAACAACAACAACAACAACAAAGCCUUUUCCCACUAAGUGGGGUCGGCUAUAUGAAUCCUAGAACGCCAUUGCGCUCGGUUUUGUGUCAUGUCCUCCGUUAGAUCCAAGUACUCUAAGUCUUUUCUUAGAGUCUCUUCCAAAGUUUUCAUAGGUCUUCCUCUACCCCUUCGGCCCUGAACCUCUGUCCCGUAGUCACAUCUUCGAAUCGGAGCAUCAGUAGGCCUUCUUUGCACAUGUCCAAAUCACCGGAACCGAUUUUCUCUCAUCUUUCCUUCGGCUACUCCUACUUUACCUCGGAUAUCCUCAUUCCCAAUCUUAUCCUUUCUCGUGUGCCUACACAUCCCACGAAGCAUCCUCAUCUCCGCCACACCCAUUUUGUGUACGUGUUGAUGCUUCACCGCCCAACAUUCUGUGCCAUACAACAUCGUUGGCCUUAUUGCCGUCCUACAAAAUUUUCCCUUGAGCUUCAGUGGCCUACGACGGUCACACAACACGCCGGAUGCACUCUUACACUUCAUCCAUCCAACUUGUAUUCUAUGGUUGAGAUCUCCAUCUAAUUCUCCGUUCUCUUGUACGAUAGAUCCUAGGUAGCGAAAAUGGUCGCUUUUUGUGAUCUUCGCUAGAUUGCUCCGGUCAUUAGUGUGGAUAAGUAUACAAAUGGAUAGAGAUAUGAAAGCAAACACAAGAUGUACGUGGUUCACCCAGAUUGGCUACGUCCACGGAAUAGAGGAGUUCUCAUUAAUUGUGAAGGGUUUACACAAGUACAUAGGUUCAAGCUCUCCUUUAGUGAGUACAAGUGAAUGAUUUAGUACAAAUGACAUUAGGAAAUAUUGUGGGAGAAUGAUCUCGUAAUCACGAACUUCUAAGUAUCGGAGUGUGGUAUCGUCUUGACUUGCCUUAUCCGUCUCAUAGGUAGAUGUGGCAUCUUCUCUGGAAGUACUCUUCCUCCAUCCAGGGGUGGUAUCUUUAACUGGUAGAGAUGCACAAGGUAAUGUAUCAAUUUCACUUGAAGCUUACUUGUAGUUUCAGGCUUGGUCAAGCGCGAUACAAACCAUGUAGUAGGAGUCCCCCAAGUCGCCGAGCUAGGGGAUCUGCUGAAAGAGGUGACAGACAAGGUAAGCAAUUAGAGCUCCGGCUGAUUGUUCACAUUCUCCCUAUCUUGCAGGCAGCAUGAAGGAUAAAGAGAAGAAAAUGAGAAUAGAUAAUAUGGGAUACUUUUUCUUUUGAAGAAGUAACUUUCCACAGACUUAUUCUUGAACUGAGCUGGAGGGUUUUCUGGUUUCCUUCAGAAUAUAAGGCCGACUGAAGAAUUUGAGGGUCAAAACAAGUCCAUCAAAUCUAGAGUACGUUCCACCCUGCUGAUAUAGGAUACUUUUGCUUUGACAGAGUAAUGGAUGUAUCGGCACGUGUGCUAUUACGCUUAUCUCCACAUGUUUCCUUGUAUCCUUCUCCCUUGCCCUAUCUGUUCCUCAGGCAGAUGCGGUAUCUUCCCUGGAAGCAUAAGAUGUUGAAGAUGAGUACUCGAGAGCAAUGUCAGGUAAGUAAUCAGGUAAGGGGUUCCAGGCAGUCAGUUCCUGGCUGGAAGCUUGAUUCCAAGUGCUGACGGCUUGCUCUUUUUCUCCUUGUCUUGCAGGUAAGAACAAGGCCAAAGGAAAAGACAGGGAAAAAGCAUGAUAUGGGAUACUCUUGCUUUUAACCCUGAUGAUAUGAGAUAUUCUUGCUCUAGUAUAGCUUGUUUGCAGAGGUAUUAUCGGGGGAGGGGGGAAAGAAAGUUGAAUAUUUCGAAAGCCUUCAUUGGGAAUGCCCUCUCAGAUAUGAGGAAGGGUUGAGCCUUUUUGCAGGUGUGCCUGUCCGUUAGGGAUGGAGGUCGACAUAUAUAGGAGUCUCCUUAACAACAAGUAGUAAUGUUAUUCCUUUACCCUACCCUUGGUCAAGUCAUAGCACGGUAGUGGGAGCUGUCAACUUCACAUGUUUUAACUCUGUCGGAGCACUUUGAAAAAGUGGUCUGUGGUAUCUGGAAAAGAUGCUUUGCAUGUUGCGUGUGAAGAUUACAGACAAGCUUUAUCCAAGGAGAUCCGGCUCUUGAAGUUGGGAAAGUGUUGCCUCUUCGAUUUUCGAACAAGCUAUCCUAUCGGGGAUCUGGCUCUCGAGAUUCGAAGAACGAUGCAUCUUCGAUUUUUGAGAAAGCAAUCAUGCUGGGGGUCUGGCUCUCGAGAUUCGGAGAGCGGUGUCUCUUCGAUUUUUGAGAAAGUAAUCAUGUUGGGAGUCUGGCUCUCGAGAUUCGGAGGGCGGUGCCUCUUCGAUUUUGGAGCAAGCAAUCUUGUUGGGAGCGUUUUCUCGAAUGUGAGUAAAGGUUGGGCAUGUUUGCUAGUCUACCUUGCCACGAAGCAUAGAGGUUGACACACAGGGACUUUCCAAUUAUCCAGCAAUGAUACUGUUCCUUUACCCUCUCUUCAAUUUUUGAGAAAGUAGUCAUGUUGGGAGUCUGGCUCUCGAGAUUCGGAGGACGGUGCCUCUUCGAUUUUGGAGCAAGCAAUCUUGUUGGGAGUGUUUUCUCGAAUGUGAGUAAAGGUUGGGCAUGUUUGCUAGUCUACCUUGCCACGAAGCACAGAGGUUGACACACAGGGACUUUCCAAUUAUCCACCAGUAGAAGCUCCAUUCUUGCACUUCUAAAAUCUUGAUUUGUUCGACCUCUUCUCUCUUAAACGCCUUUGAAAAUGUCUGGCCCCUCCGACCGUCGUUUUGACUUGAACCUUGUUGAAGAGGCAGCCCCGCCUUCUCAGACAACAUAUGGCGCCCAUCCUUCGUCUCCCCUACUGGUCCUCUUACCGUUAGGGAUUCCGUGAUGAAGAAUGAUAUGACCGUUGCGGUGGUGGCCAGGAACAUUCUCACUCCCAAAGAUAACAGACUACUUUCUAAACGGUCUGAUGAGUUCGCUGUUAAGGAUUCUCUGGCUCUCAGUGUUCAGUGUGCAGGUUCUGUGUCUAAUAUGGCCCAACGCCUAUUUGCUCGAACCCGCCAAGUUGAAUCAUUGGCGGCUGAAGUGAUGAGUCUCAAACAGGAGAUUAGAGGGAUCAAGCAUGAGAAUAAACAGUUGCACCGGCUCGCACAUGACUAUGCUACAAACAUGAAGAGGAAGCUUGACCAGAUGAAGGAAUCUGAUGGUCAGGUUUUACUUGAUCAUCAGAGAUUUGUGGGUUUGUUCCAAAGGCAUUUAUUGCCUUCGUCUUCUGAGGCUGUACCGCGUAAUGAAGCUCCAAAUUAUCAACCUCUGAUGCCUCCUUCUUCUAGGGUUCUGUCCAGUACUGAGGCUCCGAAUGAUCCCCCUCCGGUGCCUUCUCUUUCUGGGGCUCUACCGACUGCUAAGACUUCUCCUAAGCAACCUUCGUGAAGGCUCCCUCUUGUUUGUUUAUUUGGCUUAUGUAUAUGUACAUAUUUGUAGCUUAUCGGGGAUAUCAAUAAAUAAGCUUUCCUUCAUUUUAACGUAUUGUGUUAAAUACACCAAAGCCUUCUUCGCUAUGUUCUUUGAAUUUUCUUUUGUUGAAGCUUUGUGAGUGGAGCAUGUAGGUUGAGGUAGUGUUCCCUUAAUUUCCUGAGUGAGGAAAACUUCUCGGUUGGAGACUUGGAAAAUCCAAGUCACUGAGUGGGAUCGGCUAUAUGAAUCUUAGAACGCCUUUGUGCUCGGUCCUGUGUCAUGUUCUUCGUUAGAUCCAAGUACUCUAAGUCUUUUCUUAGAGUCUCUUCCAAAGUUUUCCUAGGUCUUCCUCUACCCCUUCGGCCUUGAACCUCUGUCCCAUAGCCGCAUCUUCUAAUCGGAGCAUCAGUAGGUCUUCUUUGCACAUGUCCAAACCACCGUAACCGAUUUUCUCUCAUCUUUCCUUCAAUUUCGGCUACUCCUACUUUACCCUGGAUAUCCUCAUUCCUAAUCUUAUCAUUUCUCGUGUGCCCACACAUCCAACGAAGCAUCCUCAUCUCCGUUACACCCAUUUUGGGUACGUGUUGAUGCUUCACCGCCCAACAUUUUGUGCCAUACAGCAUCGCCGGCCUUAUUGCCGUCCUAUAAAAUUUUCCCUUGAGCUUCAGUGGCAUACGACGGUCACACAACACGCCGGAUGCACUCUUCCACUUCAUCCAUACAACUUGUAUUCUAUGGUUGAGAUCUCCAUCUAAUUCUCCGUUCUUUUGCAAGAUAGAUCCUAGGUAACGAAGACGGUCGCUCUUUGGUAUUUCUUGAUCUCCGAUCGUCACCCCUAACUCGUUUUGGCCUCCAUUUGCACUGAACUUGCACUCCAUAUAUUCUGUCUUUGAUCGGCUUAGGCGAAGACCUUUAGAUUCCAACACUUCUCUCCAAAGGUUAAGCUUUGUAUUUACCCAUUCCUGAGUUUCAUCUAUCAACACUAUAUCGUCUGCGAAAAUCAUACACCAAGGAAUAUCAUCUUGAAUAUGUCCUGUUAACUCAUCCAUUACCAACGCAAAAAGGUAAGGACUUAAGGAUGAUCCUUGAUGUAAUCCUACAGUUAUGGGAAAGCUUUCAGUUUGUCCUUCAUGAGUUCUUACGGCAGUCUUUGCUCCUUCGUACAUAUCCUUUAUAGCUUGGAUACAUGCUACUCGUACUCCUUUCUUCUCUAAAAUCCUCCAAAGAAUGUCUCUUGGGACCCUAUCAUACGCUUUAUCCAAAUCUAUAAAGACUAUGUGUAAAUCCUUUUUCCCAUCUCUAUAUCUUUCCAUCAAUCUUCGUAAGAGAUAGAUUGCCUCCAUGGUUGAGCGCCCUGGCAUGAACCCGAAUUGGUUGUCCGAAACCCAUGUCUCUUGCCUCAAUCUAUGCUCAAUGACUCUCUCCCAGAGCUUCAUUGUAUGACUCAUUAGCUUAAUACCUUUAUAGUUCAUGCAAUUUUGUACGUCGCCCUUAUUCUUGUAGAUAGGCACCAAAGUGCUCGUUCGCCACUCAUUUGGCAUCUUCUUCGUUUUCAAAAUCCUAUUGAAAAGGUCAGUGAGCCAUGUUAUACCUGUGUCUCCCAAAACUUUCCACACUUCGAUUGGUAUAUCGUCUGGGCCUAUUGCUUUUCUAUGCUUCAUCUUCUUCAAAGCUACAACCACUUCUUCCUUCCGAAUUCGACGAUAAAAAGAAUAGUUUCUACACUCUUCUGAGUUACUCAACUCCCCUAAAGAAGCACUCAUUUCAUGUCCUUCAUUGAAAAGAUUAUGAAAAUAACCUCUCCAUCUAUCUUUAACCGCGUUCUCUGUAGCAAGAACCUUUCCAUCCUCAUCCUUGAUGCACCUCACUUGGUUUAGGUCCCUUGUCUUCUUUUCCCUUGCUCUAGCUAGUUUAUAGAUAUCUAACUCUCCUUCUUUGGUAUCUAGUCGUUUAUACACAUCGUCGUAAGCCGCUAACUUAGCUUCUCUCAUAGCUUUCUUCGCCUCUUACUUCGCUUUUCUAUACCUUUCACCAUUUUCAUCAGUCCUAUCCUUGUAUAAGGCUUUACAACAUUCCUUCUUAGCCUUCACCUUUGUUUGUACAUCCUCAUUCCACCACCAAGAUUCCUUUUGGUGUGGGGCAAAGCCCUUGGACUCUCCUAAUACCUCUUUUACUACUUUUCGGAUACAACUAGCCAUGGAAUCCCACAUUUGGCUAGCUUCCCCCUCUCUAUCCCACACACACUGGGUGAUUACUUUCUCUUUGAAAAUGGCUUGUUUUUCUUCUUUUAGAUUCCACCAUCUAGUCCUUGGGCACUUCCAAGUCUUGUUCUUUUGUCUCACUCUUUUGAUAUGUACAUCCAUCACCAACAAGCGAUGUUGAUUAGCCACGCUCUCUCCUGGUAUAACUUUGGAAUCCUUACAAGUUAUACGAUCCCCUUUCCUCAUUAGAAGAAAAUCUAUUUGUGUUUUUGACGACCCACUCUUGUAGGUGAUCACAUGUUCUUCUCUCUUCUUAAAGAAGGUGUUGGCUAAGAAGAGAUCAUAUGCCAUUGCAAAAUCCAAGAUAGCUUCCCCAUCCUCGUUUCUCUCCCCAAAACCAUGGCCACCAUGAAAACCUCCAUAGUUGCCUGUCUCCCUGCCCACGUGUCUAUUUAAAUCUCAUCCUAUAAAUAACUUCUCCGUCUGAGCAAUUCCUUGCACCAAGUCUCCAAGGUCUUCCCAAAAUUUCUCAUUCGAACUCGUAUCCAACCCUACUUGAGGUGCGUACGCACUAAUCACAUUGAUAAGUUCUUGUCCUAUUACAAUCUUGAUUGCCAUGAUUCUAUCUCCUACCCUCUUGACAUCUACAACAUCUUGUGUCAAGGUCUUGUCCACGAUGAUGCCAACACCGUUUCUCGUUCUAUUUGUGCCCGAAUACCAAAGUUUAAACCCUGAGUUUUCUAGAUCCUUUGCCUUACUACCAACCCACUUAGUUUCUUGUAGGCACAUAAUAUUUAUCCUUCUCCUCACCAUAACUUCCACUACUUCCAUAGAUUUUCCCGUUAAGGUUCCUAUAUUCCACGUUCCUAAACGCAUUUUGCUCUCUUGAACUCUACCCUUCUGUCCUAGCUUCUUCACCAUCCCCCGUCUAAUAGGAUCAAAGUACUUCUUUUGUGUCCCGUAUAAAGUUGAUAGGAGCAUAUGCUCCCAAACAACUUUGAGUGGAGUUGUUCGAAAAGAAGUUUCUAUGGCCCCCUUGCUCAUUUAACACUGCUUCCGGGUGCCGAUGGAGAUACAGCGACCUUUGCUCACUUAUCACUGUGGGCCACACAGCGCGCCACUUAUGGGUGACGCCCUAGCUUUAGCGCGAUUUUGUUCUGGAUUCAUUUUCAUAAGGAUUCGACGUGAUCAUGGAGUGCUGGCUGUCGACUACCUGACUCCCUCCCCCUCCUCCUUUAUCCGGGCUUGGGACCGGCAAUGUAAGAUAAACUUACAUAGGCUGAGUUACAAUUCAUGAUAACCAAAAGCAUAAAAAACCGUUACGUCCCGGGUUCAAACCAUCAUCCAUUCUCUUAUAAAACACUAAAAACGAAAAACAAAAUUCUGAGUUUUCACGAUUUCUUUAGCACUUUUGUCUCCUGACCAAGAAAAACAGUAAUGAUUGCAAUGAACUUUUAGUCUUCGUCUUCCAACAUUCUCACAGAAACUAAACGGCGUCGCAUUACGAUUGAAGAGUUCAUAAGAAUCAAGAAAUAUAAAUGUGAUGAGAGAGAGACCUGGCCUUGAACUGGUUCGUGCAAGUUCCAGAAGACGUACGUCUCGAUCACGUCCAAGCCUCCGUCUUUCGAUUUCUGAAUAAGGUCCUCCAUAUCUACAACCAAACAUAGACACAGCAAAAUUCAGAGAUCGUGGAAAAAAAAGCUGAGGUAUGGGUGAAUUGGUGGUAAUAACGGUGGAAAAGGAUGUGAAGCCUGAAAAUUUCAUAUCUAAAAUCACACUUCAGGCUGCAAGUCGAAUCAAAACAGUGGAAUUUGAAAAGCACUCACCUUAAACACAGAGGUCUUCGCAGGCUUCAAAGAAAAGUCAUAAAUUCGAAAAACCCGAUUUCCUGAAACAGAAAACAAAACCAAAUUAACCAUCAUCACCCAGAAUCCAAAGCUACAAACAAAAUUCCCAAAAUCACAACCAAAAAAUUUGAACAAAAAACCCAUUUAUAAAUCCAAAUUUACAUUCCCAAGCACAUAACAUUCAAAGCAGUGUUAUGAACCAGUUGUGAUUGCCUUAGUCACAGUGAGAAUUUAGCUAAUAGUAGUAAGGACUAAAGAGUAAGGUAGUUAAGGGUAUAAUUGUAUGGAGUUAAAAGUAUGGGGUUCGAUUGUAAUGGACCAGUAAUUAGUAGAGGUUUCAGUAAUUGUUAGUUGUCCAGGGGUACUUUUGUAUUGGGGAAUUGUAAGCAUGAGGGAUAUACAUAUCUCCGAAUUCAAUUGUAAGGGGCACUUUUGAAGAAAUCAAUAGAAUAUUCUCUGUGACUCUCUCUCUAUCCUUUCACCUUCCUUACUUCCAUAGCUACCGGUUCUGGUUGAUUCUCUGGUACCGGUGUGGACUUAACAUUGGUAUCACUCACCGUUCCUGGAUUUUCCCACCCGUGUAUGCCCCGUCCCAAACCCAACACUCGUUCCAACAUGGAUGCUCGUUUUGCUGCGUUUGAAGCUGAUUUUUCGUCGCUUCUCUGUGGGGCGGUGCACUCCGCUUUUGAGGCUCAGCUUCCCUCCCACCUCAAUGCACGCAUUCCCGCGUAUUUCGAGCAGUUCUGCCGCGAGCUCACCCAUGACCUCUCCUUGCGCCGUACGAUUGAGGGUCCCUCUCACCUACCUCAUUUCGAUCAACCUGUUCCUAUUGAGCUCACUCAGAUCCCGCCCCCUCCUCAUCCUGGACCUCAGAAUCCACGGCCACCUUGGCAACAAUGCCUCGAAUUUCCCAGAUUCACUGAUGGCGAUGAUAUCCUUGCUUGGAUUUACCGCGCCGAACAAUUCUUCUCCUUCUACGGGAUCCUGGAUGCUCAGCGUGUUCUCACUGCUUCCUUCCAUUUUGAGGGUGAGCUUCUUCACUGGUUUCGUUGGAUGGACUGUACCACCACUACCCCCACUUGGCCGGAAUUUACCAAAGCCCUUUGUCGCGAGUUUGGCCCCUCUGCCUUUGACGACAGUGCUAAAACUAUCUUCAAACUUUGCCACACAGGUACUCUUCGUGAUUAUAUUGCGAAAUUUCGCUGUUUGGCUACUCGAUCACCUGAGAUUAACCCUCUUCUGUUGCGAAGUUGCUUUCUAGAGGGGUUCAAAAAGGAACUCCACUAUGAUGUUAAAUUGUAACAACCGGCAACUGUCCAUGAGGUUAUUGCCAUUGCUAUGCAGCUUGAUUCCAAGCUUACUGAGCUCAAAUCGGUCCCCUCUCGACCCUAUACAGCUUAUAACCCACUUCCAUCUACUGUCACGCUUCCUAUCAUACUGUGCCAAAAACUAGCAACCUCACUAGUAAUAAGCUAACCCCGAAGAAGAUCCAGCAGAAGAGAGAGCGAGGGGAAUGCUGGUUUUGCAACGAUAAGUGGGAUAAAUGGCAUAAGUGUGGUCUUAAGCAACUGUUGAUGAUGGAUCUGAUGGAUUCAGAAGUUGUAGCAAGCGAUGGUGAGGACCAACCUGCAUUGCAGCACAUGGAGCUCAGUGAAUGUGCUUUUUAUGGCACUCAUGGCGGCUCUACAGCACAAACUAUGAAGGUGGUUGGCCAGAUUAAUGGUCAAACUGUGAAAAUCCUACUGGAUUCGGGUAGUUCACACAAUUUUAUCGAUUACAAAUUGCUUAAACAAUGGGGAUGGCCAGUAGAACCUACUAAGACUUUUGAGGUCAUGAUAGCAGAUGGUGGCAAGGUUAUGAGUGUCGGUUGUUGAAAGGCUGUGGAAUUAUCUCUUGCAGGGUAUCAUUGUCUCACAGAUUUAUAUUCCUUGCCUUUGGGUGGUUGCGAUGUUGUUUUAGGGGUGCAAUGGCUCUCCACAAUGAGCCUUGUGUUAUGGGAUUUCCAACUCUUCACUAUGGAGUUCACUAAGGACCACCAUACCUAUAAGUUGUCUCACCAUUCUUCUAAUGCCUCAGAAAUUCAAGAAGUAUCAUUGCACCAAUUGGAGAAGGAGCUAGUUAACUCUAACUUGGGAUUAUUAUUGUAUUCCAUGGAAAAGGAGAAACUAGAGUCAUAUGACUUAAAUGUAGUACAGUUACAAGAGCUGCAACAACUUUUGGGUGAGUUUGAGGCAAUCUUUGCCUUACCCACCAAGCUUCCCCCACAGCGAGCCCAUGAUCACCGUAUUCCUCUAGUGCAAGGUGCUAAACCACCAAGCAUCCGACCAUAUCACUAUGGUCCAUUGCAGAAAACAGAAAUAGAAAAGGCUGUUCAUGAGCUACUUGAGGCAGAUUUCAUACGGCCAAGCCAUAGUCCAUUUUCCUUCCCUGUGUUAUUGGUGAAAAAAGAAAGAAGGCACUUGGCGAAUGUGCAUUGACUAUAGGGAGCUUAAUGCCUUCACUAUUAAGGAUAAGUACCCCAUACCCCUUAUUGAUGAUAUGUUGGAUGAGUUGCAUGGAUCCCUCUAUUUUUCUAAGCUCGACUUAAGAUCCAGAUAUCAUCAGAUAUUGAUGCAACCUGCGGAUAUUGCAAAAACUGCAUUUAGGACUCAUGAGGGACACUAUGAGUUCUUAGUAAUGCAUUUUGGUCUUACAAAUGCUCCUGCCACAUUUCAAGGUUUAAUGAAUGACUUGUUCAGACCUUACUUGAGAAAAUGUGUUAGUCUUCUUUGAUGACAUCCUUGUUUAUAAUAAAAACUGGGAAGCCCAUUUAGCUCACUUGCAGACGGUGUUUGAAAUGUUGAGAGCCAAUCAACUCUUCCUCAAGAAGUCUAAAUGUUCUUUUGGACAAAGUCGAGUUGAGUACUUGAGGCACAUUGUAUCUAAGGAAUGAGUGGCACCUGACCCUGGCAAAAUUGAAGCUAUACAAAGUUGGCCUGCACCAAGAAAUGUCAAAGAACUCAGGGGAUUCUUGGGUUUAACAAGCUACUACAGAAAAUUCGUACCUGGCUUUGGCAAAAUCUGCCAACCCUUAUAUCACUUGACUCGGAACGAUGGAUUUCAUUGGGAUACAGAAGUUCAACACACUUUUGACAAGCUUAAAACAGCUAUGGUCUAUCCACAGGUGUUGGCCAUCCCUGAUUUCUCCAAGCCAUUCGAGUUAGAGUGUGAUGCCUCAGUCUGUGGUAUUAGAGCUGUGUUACAACAAGGAGGACGACCUAUUGCUUUUUCAAGUCAGUCCCUAGGUCCAAGAAAUCAAGCACUCUCCACGUAUGAAAAAGAACUAAUUGCAGUAGUUUAUGCAGUAAGGAAAUGGCAGAACUAUUUGCAGGGAAGGCAUUUCAUAAUAAAGAUUGAUCAUAACAAUCUUAAAUAUUUUCUGCACCACAGAGCUAAUACGACAUUCCAACAAAAAUGGGUUUCCAAAUUACUGGGGUAUGAUUACGAGAUACAGUUCCAAAAUGGCUCUCAGAAUACAGCAGCAGAUGCCUUAUCUAGGUUGCAAGGAGUGCUGGAGUUACGGGAACCUACUUCUGGGACUAAGGAAGCUUGCUAUGCCAUUUCUUACCCCUACUAUGGAUGGAUUGAUGAAUUACAAAGAAAUACUGAACAAGAUGAGUGGAUCAUAGCAAUGGAAAAAGAAGUUACUGACUCGGCAAUAAAUGGCACACGUGGCUCCUCUUUGGGAAAGUAUACUCUUGACAAUAGGUUCUUGCUUUACAAGAAAAUGGUGGUGUUGAGCCCUCAUUCUGAAUGGAAAAAGAAAAUUUUAGAAGAGUAUCAUUGUAUUCCCUCUGCAGGCCACCAAGGGGUACUCAAGACAUACCAAAGGGUCAAGAGAGGCUUCUAUUGGCAAGGAAUGAAAAGCGACAUCAAGAAUUAUGUGGCAGAAUGUUAGGUGUGCCAAUAAAACAAGGUGGAAACCAUUGCUCCUCCAGGGUUGUUGCAACCUUUGUUAAUCCCCCAAAGAGUUUGGACAGACAUCAACAUGGAUUUCAUAGUGGGGUUGCCUUUAUGCAAAGGAAAGUCUGUGAUAUUAGUGGUAGUUAACAAGUUGUCUAAGAGUGCUCACUUCAUAGCGAUGUCCCAUCCCUACACUGCAAUCACAGUAGCACAAGCCUUUAUCGACAAUGUCCUGAAACUACAUGGUAUGCCAAGGUCAGUGGUCAGUGAUAGAGAUCUUAUUUUAGUCAGUGCCUUUUGGCGAGAAUUGUUCAAAUUACAAGGCUCCAAAUUGUGUAUGAGUUCUGGUUACCAUCCCCAAACUGAUGGUCAGACUGAAGUGAUGAACAGGUGUUUUGAGACCUAUUUAAGGUGUUUUGUUGGGGAUCAACCAAAGAAAUGGGUUCAAUGGCUCCCUUGGGCUGAGUGGUGUUUCAACACCUCCUACCACUCCUCUGCCAAAUUCACACCUUUCGAACUCGUCUAUGGCUACCCUCCUCCUCAAAUUAUACCCUAUGAAUUUGGUACGGCAAGGGUGGAAGUUGUGGAGCAAGGUUUAUUGGAAAGGGAUAAGGUCUUAUCUAUGCUAAAACACAACCUGGAAAUGGCCCAGAAUCGCAUGAAGAUGCAGUAUGAUAAGAAGAGAAUGGAGAGGCAAUUUGAAGUUGGGGAUUCUGUGUAUCUAAAACUGGUUCCUUAUCAGUUACAGACUCUAUCUCCUCACAGUUACCAUAAGUUUCAACCACGAUACUAUGGACCUUAUGAGAUCUGUGAGAAGGUUGGGAAUGUGGCCUAUAAAUUGAACCUGCCAUCAAGCACAAAAAUUCACCCUGUGUUCCAUAUGAGUCAAUUGAAGAAACAACUGGGAACUAAAGCGACACCACAGACUAUUUUGCCACAGCUUGUUGAAGAUGGAUUGGUGGAGAAUACACCUGUUGCAGUGUUGGCAAGGAGAAUCUAUAAGAAAGGAGACGUUGCAGGAAUUCAACUACUGGUACAGUGGCAAUAGCAAGGAGGAUCAGAAGCUACUUGGGAGGAUUUUGAUGAGUUCAAAGCUAAAUACCCUUCAUUUCCUCUCUAAAACCUUGUGGACAAGGUUCUCUAAGGGGACGGUAUUGUUAUGAACCAGUUGUGAUUGCCUUAGUCACAGUGAGAGUUUAGCUAAUAGUAGUAAGGACUAAAGAGUAAGGUAGUUAAGGGUAUAAUUGUAUGGAGUUAAAAGUAUGGGGUUCGAUUGUAAUGGACCAAUAAUUAGUAGAGGUUUCAGUAAUUGUUAGUUAUCCAGGGGUACUUUUGUAUUGGGGAAUUGUAAGCAUGAGGGAUAUACAUAUCUCCGAAUUCAAUUGUAAGGGGCACUUUUGAAGAAAUCAAUAGAAUAUUCUAUGUGACUCUCUCUCUAUCCUUUCACCUUCCUUACUUCCAUAGCUACCGGUUCUGGUUGAUUCUCCGGUAUCGGUGUGGACUUAACAAGCAGAGAAUUACCCACACCAAAUCGGCAGCAGGAAACGCGAUCUUUUAUGGGCUUCAAAUUUUCUUUAAAUCGAGACCACUAUUUCAGCAAAAGAGCGCUGCGAUCUGUAGCCCCCGACAAAAAGAUCUAAACAAAUUUGACUAACUUGAGUGUUUUCUGGAAGAAAGGAGACACAGAGAGAACUGGAGAUCGGAAAGCGAGGCAAAGAGAGGUUUGAGAGAAACAAAAGGGUUUGUGAGAGAGAGACAGAAAUCGAAAGAAGAAUCCAGAAGAGAAAAAAAGUUGUGGUCCACGAAGAACACGCAUGGCAAAGGAGGGCAAUUCUGUCAUCUAACUGUGCAACAAAGAGGAAAAACGCCUGAUGGAAAAUCAAAUUGAAUGAUUUCUUGCACAUACGAUCUUUAUUUGAUAAUAAAUAAAAUGAACAGUUCUAAUUAUGAUGUUUGCACGGUGAAGGUAUAUUAAUCAUAAGUUGAGGGACAAGUAGAUUUCCCAUAAUCGGAAACACAAGCAUGCAACCAAUAUAUUUCCUGAAACCUGUUUCUAAAGGGUAAAAGUCAGAUCAACCAGUAUUGCAAAUAAUAGGCCCUGUGCAUUGUGAGGCAAACUUCUUCCCUUCCGCCUUAUUGUUAUAUCCAGUAUCAAAGCAUUUCUCAUAUCAAUAUAUUACAACAAUGCAAAAACACCAGGCAUCGUCUCAUGAGACAAGUAACCAUCCGUACGCAUUGUGGUAUUACAACUCAUCUCUGGAACUCGCGCUUUUCCCAUGAUCGACAUAAGACGCAUACGCCGUGAUAAUAGAUUCGUAAAUAUCAAUUCCUUUCAAGUAUUCGUCUUUGUUUAGAAACUGCAACGAGGUGAUAAUUUAUGGUUAAACUACUUAGUUGAAGAUUAACUUAUAAAAUAAAAACCACUGAAAGACGAGUUCACAAACGCUUAAGGAUGCACAUGUAAACAGAACAACCAAAGUAUCAGCCUGGCUACUCACCUCAUUGUGGUUAUGAAGAAGAAUGGGAGUGUUGGCCAUCGGAGAGAAUCCAAUUGCUGGCAAGCCUAGAUUCCGGAAGUAGCGAGCAUCUGUUGAAGCAGGAAAAAUCUCUGGCUUACCAAGUUUCCCAUUCGCUUUUUUGACAGCAUCUUCAAGAAGAGCCCACCAGGGGUUUGAACUGUCAGUUGCUGUAAGGAUUGGCUUCCCCGACUUAUCAAGCACCGAAACCUUCUGCUUGAACUGCCCACGCUACAGGGGUAAGUAGAGAAACUGGCAUGUAUUUAAACAAUUCAUAUUUCAUUAUAAUACAUGUACGUAGGGAUGAAACUUGGAUAGGAAUAUGAAUUAUCCGAUUUUGACCGAUUCCGAGCCAAAAUAUUCCGUCCGAUUCAAAUCUGAAGCCAAAAAGUUGAUGAUUAAAGCUAAGAAAAGUUGACGAGGUGCUAUAAAAUUGCUGAAAAGGUAACCAUACUAUAUUCUUAUUUUCUUUACAAAAUAAUUUCAUUGUCAUAUAAAUUAAUUUCACGUGUUACAAUAUUUUCUUUCGUUGCCCUGGGUGCUUUCUUAACAAUCAACAGUACUGGAGAAAAACUAAUCAAAGAGGCAAAAUAUUAUUUUUGUUUGAAAUAAUUUAAUCAACUUUCUUAUUUUCGGACCUUGUGUGGGGAUGAUUGAAGCUAAGAAUUUCAAAGUUAGAGUUAGGGUUUGGGGGGAAUUGGGUUUUUUUGUUUGAAAUUGGCAUGGAGACUGUGGGGAGUGUUUGGUUAUAGAGAGUAACUAGAAAGUUGUGAAAUCCAACUGUUAUAAUCUAUGUAUUCGUGUUAUUGAGAUUUUAUAUUAUUUUUCAGGAAUUUAUAUUAAUUUAUUUGAAUUUAGAUUUUAAUUAAACUAGUUACGAAAAGUGAAGUUUGGAAAUUAAUCAUUUAAAAUUUGUAGACCGUUUGAGGUCAAAAUUUAUAUUCUCAAAUAGAGCUCGAUCUCACAAACGCGUAGGCGCAAACCGUUUGUAAAACGGAGCUAUAACGAAUAAAUUAGAGAUGCUUUAGUAGUUUAAAAGAAGAAAAAAAAGUAUCUAGAAGCUGCCAGAUGGCAGCUUGUGAGAGGGGAAAGAGAGUUGAGGGAGAGAAGAAAGGAGGAAGCUCGCCAAUCAAAAAGGGGGAAAGGAGAGAAAGGAGGGAAGGGAGAAAGAGGGGGAAACCUGAUCCAAAAGCCCAGAAAACCCCAAAAAUCGAUCCCAGCGACCCAUGACUUUCCAUACUAAUUUCGACCAACUCCCACCACCAUCUUGAAGCUCUCACUCCCCUCUACAAAACCCACCCAAGGACCAACCCCUUUAACCACCAUGUGUGGCGGUGCAAUUACACAAAGUCCCAUGAAAACCAAGGGUGCUCCGACCACCCUGUUCAAUUUUCUGGCGAAUCGGCAAAGCAAUGGCCGACACCACCACUUGGGCUUUGUAGCCCAUCAUUAGGGGUAGGCACGGUCCAGUUCGACCCGGUUCCACUCUCAAAAUAGAAUCGAAACCGAAAAAUUUAAACGGUUCAGUUCGGUGCAGUUUCGCUUAAAUUUAAUACUAAAACCGUACAGUUCGAUUCAUGACGGUUUCGGUUCAGUUCAUUCCGGUUUAUGGUUCUUACCAAAAUUAUAUAUAUGUUUUUCCUAAUUUUCUACUUCUAAUACCAAACACAUAUUUCAACCACAAAUUCAAAUAAAUUUGAGUUUUCACUACUAAAUCUACAAGAUUUGUGACCGGAAGAUAGAAAGUGUGCAUAUAAAUAUAAAUCAAAAGAUAGAAAGGCUCAUAUCAAGACCAAAGUGUAGAUCUUAAAACUAAAACUAAAAUGUACAUAAUGCAUAAUAUACUGGAAAAGAAUGGAGAAAAAUAAUGUACGGGGAGAAAAGUGAUAAAAUAAUAAAGGAGGAGGAGAGAAGUGAAGACAAAUAUUGGGCUUAUGCACAUGGUCUUCUUGGAAAAAUGUUUUAUUUAUAUAAAAAUAAUAAUAAAACAAUCAUUUAUAUUAAAAGCGGUUCGGUCCGGUUCCUCUGGUUCUUAAUAUUUCCAAACUGAAAUCAGAACCGUUUGAAACGGUUCGGUUCGGUUUUUGUUCCGGUUUUAACUUUUUUGGUCAACGCGGUUUUUUACGAUUCUUUUUGUCACGGUUCGACUCGGUUUUUCGGUUUGGCGGUUUUUAUGCCCACCCAUACCCGUCAUCCCAAGAGAAAAUCUCGACCAGCCUUGACCCCGUUGGACCACCGUAGGCGACGAAUCAACAUCGGGAAACUUUAGGCACCCGCCGGCUUUAUCGGUAAAAUUGACCCUCUUACGUCCACUUUUGGACUUUAUGGUAGGUAUAAAACUUGUUCCUCUUGUUGAGCUCUAUUUUUCUGUAAAAUUUGGUAAUUUUUGGAGUUAGUCGGAAAAUUGGGUUUCCGUUCUCCGGAAACCACCACCCGCGGCGACGCGUGGCCAGUGGGCCAACGAUGUCUUUUUAAGUACUAUUAGAUGCCCUGAGUUCAUGUUUGAUAUCCGUAUGACGUAAUUUGAUUGUUUGAACUUAGUUUCAUUAAGAGACCUUACUUGAUCAAAAUAUGAAUGGACGAUCCGACCGUUGGAUCGUCACCAAACCCUAAUGUGUGAUAGAACAUAAUAUUUAAGGAUCAUAGAAACUUAUGGAUCGGGAAUUCGACGUACGGAUCUUCCCGAAUUGGAAUUGUAAGUUCGUAAAAUAAAACGUUGAUCAUCAAUGGAAAUUGUGAUUGACGGAGAUCCGACCGUCGGAUCAAGAUGGAAUUUUAGUAUGUUGUUCUAAAAGCAUAAUAUGGGUCUUUGGAAGUUACGGAUCUGAAAUGCGAUGUGCAGAUCUUAUGGAUAGAAUUACGUAGGGUUGUGGGCACCACCGGUAAUCAAGAGUUGACUUUUGGUCAACAUGUCUCGAAUUAUUUAUAAAACUAAAAUUAGUCUUAAUAGAGGCUCAGUGAGGCUUUGCGGACCUGUCUCGAUGAGUGACUUUAAUAUAUGUGAUAUGGUGAUUACCCGAUUCUUUAUAUUAGUAUCCUUUGUGGAUAUGACUUGGUUUUCUAAAUGUGUUUUCUGUUAAAAUGUGAUUCUUUUAUAAUUGGCCAUCGAUCUAUUUUUAUUAAAUGUGAAUUGAUUCAUGGAUUGGUAAUAUUUGUGAAAAAGUGAUUUAAAUUGCAUAUUGUAAUGUUUGUUAAAUUUAGGGCUAGUAGAAGACCAUGACCCUGCUUGGUUAAUCCGUGAUAGGGGGUCAUUAGUGGUUCUGCUUGGUUAAUCGGCGAUAGGGGACCAUAUUAUUUAUAGAUCGUGCAUGGUUAAUCCGCGAUAGGCGAUCAUUACGACCAUACAUACUUAGGAGUGAUCAUGCUUGGUUAAUCCGCAAUAGGUGAUCACUGCUUAACAGUUCCGUAGAUGUGACUCUGCUUGGUUAAUCCACGAUAGGGGGUCACUACCUACUUGGUUAUGUUGGUCCUGCUUGGUUAAUCCGCAAUAGGGGACCAUUGUCCUGCUUGGUUAAUCCGUGAUAGGGGACCAUAUUAUUUAUGGAUCGUGUUUGGUUAAUCCGCAAUAGGCAAUCCUUAUAUCUUUGGUAUGGCCAUACAUACUUAGGAGUGACUCUGCUUGGUUAAUCCGCGAUAGGGGGUCAUUGCCUACUUGGUUACUGUAGGGGUGGUUCUGCUUGGUUAAUCCUAGGUCUGACAAACGGGUUGUGUUUAUUGUGUUCGUGUAAUUUUCGUGUAACACAUGUUAUCUUAACGGGUCGUGUCGUGUCACACCUAUUAUCUUAACGGAUCCUUAACAGGGGUAAAGCGACCCGACCCGUUAUGACCCGUUAAGAAAAAAAAAAUUAAAUUUGCACAUAUCAUACAUUGCCACAUAAAUAUUACUUCAAAACAUUAAAACGUUUGUCGUUUAAGUACUAUAUCUACACUCAAAAACAAGAGCCUAAUAAAAAAAUAAUACAUACACUACUAAUCUAUUACAAAUAUUAAAUGUGCAAGGAUAUGCAAAAUGAAAGAGUUUUUGUCUUCAAGGUUGUAUGUCUUUCUCAAAAGUUUAAACCUCAAUUUACAUCGAUCAUCAAGAUAUUGUAUUGGAACUUUGGCUUGAUCUUCAAUUUACAUCGAUCAUCAUGAAAUCUUCAAUUUAAAUCUUAGCCGAUCCAAUGGUUAUCAAUUUUUUUAAUUUAAUAAAAUAUAUAUAUAUAUAUAUAUAUAUAUAUAUAUAUAUAAUUAUGAAAUGGACGGCUGAGAUUAAAUCUUAGCCGAUCCAAUGGUCAUCAAAUUUUUUUAAAUUUAAUUUAAUAUAUAUAAUUAUAUUAUAUAAUUAUUAUAGUUUUUAGGGGUAUAAAAUUGUUAAAUAAAUAUAUAUAAUUAUUAUAGUUGAUUCAUACUUUUAUUAACUAUAUAACAUAAGAUUUUGUGAUAUCCACAUCCACUAGUGUAAAUAUUUUAAAUUGAAGAUCGAAUUCAUUCUUUGUAUUCAUAUAGGGUCAAGGAGUAUAGCUGUAAAAAAAUCAUCAAAGUCGGAGUUAAAAUAACCGUUAAAUCGUGGUUUUUCGUUUAUAACCGUCGAAAAGCUUUGUCCCGUUACUUGAUCUCUGAAUGUUUAUUUUUUGUGAUUUUUUUCUUAUGUGAUCUCGAAGCAUAUACAAACAAGUUUGACAGUUGGUAUCGUUGAAAUUAGUUUCAGAGAAUUCGUAUCCCAUCAAAACAAUAGAUUGACUAACACUUAGAAUUUAUUUAUACUUUCAUUAAGUAUAACAUAAGAUUUGUGGUAUCCAUUUGUGUAAAUAUUUUAAAUUGAAGAUCGAAUUCAUUCUGUAUUCAUAUAGGGUCAAGGAGUGUAGCUGUAAAAAAUCAUCAAAAUCGGAGUUAAAAUAAUCGUUAAAUCGUGAUUUUUCGUUUAUAACCGUUGGAAAGCUUUGUCCCGUUACUUGAUCUCUGAAUGUUUGUUUUUUGUGAUUUUUUGCUGAUGUGAUCUCGAAGCAUAUACAAACAAGUUUGACGGUUGGGAUCGUUGAAAUUAGUUUCGGAGAAUUCGUAUCCUAUCAAAAUGAUAGAUUGACUAACACUUAAGAGUUUAUUUGUACUUUCAUUAAGUAUAACAUAAGAUUUUGUGGUAUCCACUUGUGUAAAUAUUUUAAAUUGAAGAUCGAAUUCAUUCAUUGUAUUCAUAUAGGGUCAAGGAGUGCAGCUGUAAAGAAUCAUCAAAAUCGGAGUUAAAAUAACCGUUAAAUCGUGAUUUUUCGUUUAUACCCGUCGAAAAGCUUUGUCCCGUUACUUGAUCUCUGAAUGUGUUGUUUUUUGUGAUUUUUUGCUGAUGUGAUCUCGAAGCAUAUACAAACAAGUUUGAUGGUUGGGAUCGUUGAAAUUAGUUUCGGAGAAUUCGUAUCCCAUCAAAACAAUAGAUUGACUAACACUUAGAGUUUAUUUAUACUUUCAUUAAGUAUAACAUAAGAUUUUUUGGUAUCCACCUGUGUAAAUAUUUUAAAUUGAAGAUUGAAAUCAUUCAUUGUAUUCAUAUAGGGUCAAGGAGUGUAGCUGUAAAAAAUCAUCAAAAUCGGAGUUAAAAUAACCGUUAAAUCAUGAUUUUUCGUUUAUAACCGUCGAAAAGCUGUCUCGUUACUUGAUAUCUGAAUGUUUGUUUUUUGUGAUUUUUUGCUGAUGUGAUCUCGAAGCAUAUACAAACAAGUUUGACGGUUGGGAUCGUUGAAAUUAGUUUCGAAUAAUUCGUAUCCCAUCAAAACGAUAGAGUGACUAACACUUAAAGUUUAUUUAUACUUUCAUUAAGUAUAACAUAAGAUUUUGUGGUAUCCACUUGUGUAAAUAUUUUAAAUUGAAGAUCGAAUUCAUUCAUUGUAUUCAUAUAGGGUCAAGGAGUGUAGCUGUAAAAAAAAAUCAUCAAAAUCGGAGUUACAAUAACCGUUAAAUCGUGAUUUUUCGUUUAGAACCGUCGAAAAGUUUUGUCCCGUUACUUGAUCUCUGAAUGUUUAUUUUUUGCGAUUUUUUGCUGAUGUGAUCUCGAAGCAUAUACAAACAAGUUUGACGGUUGGGAUCGUUGAAAUUAGUUUCGGAGAAUUCGUAUCCCAUCAAGUUCAAUGGUGUAUAUAUAUAUUUAUUAAGUAGAUUUAAAUCUAUUUAUUUUGUACGUAUAAUUGACCGGUACACGGAGUAGUACAUCACGUGUCAUUAUAAAAAUAGUGGGAUAUGUCAUAUGUGUGAUAAAAAGUUAAUAACCUAAAAAAAAAAAAAAAUCUCACCACUUCUAUUAAUUUUCAUUUUUCCCUCUCUUUUUUGUUUCCUUUUCAACUUUUCUUAUAAUUUUCACUUUUCCCUCCGGCAACCUACCCAUCUUUCCCUAAUUCCCUCUAUUUUUUGUUUCCUUUUCAACUUUUCUUAUCAUUUUCAUUUUCCCUCCCUUUUUCUUCAAAAAGGGCGGCAUUGCAGGGAAUGGAAUGGAAAUUGGUAUUAUCAAUUAUGGAAUCAAAUCAAUGGAUGCAUAUUAAUUAAUAAUUAUUAUAGUUUUUAUAAAAUUUAAUUCAAAAUUUAAUAUAUAUAUAUAUAUAUAUAUAAUUAUAAUUAUUAUAGAUAGUUAAUAUUUUGGGGGUAUAAUUAUUAUAGUUAAUUUAAUAUAUAUAUAUAUAUAUAUAUAUUAUAGUUUUUAGGGGUAUAAAAUUGUUAAAUUAAUAUAUAUAAUUGUUACAGUAUUUUUUUAGGGUUAUAAAAUUAUAAAAUUAAUAUUCUGUUUAUCGUGUAUCGUGUUACCCACGUGUAUACCCGAAUCAACCCGUUAUCUUAACAGGUGCUUAUCGGGUUACCCGAUAACGACCCGAUUCGUUAUCGUGUCGACCCAAUCACCUGUUAAUUUCAUGUCGUGUCGUGUCGGGUUAUUGGGUCGUGUUAGGAAUUGUCAGGCCUAAUUAAUCCACAAUAGGGGGCCACUUCCUGUUUGCUUACUUAUGUAGGCUUCGGCCGAACUGGCGUCCCUCUAGCCCUAGUUUUUUUAUAUAUUUAUGAACGAUGGUUUGAGAAUCUUGUGGUUGAAUUAGAAAAACCGUUGGAUGUCUGGGUGAUUCCUUCGGAGAUUUCAGAGAUUUGAUUAUGAUUUCAUAAAAAUAUGAUUUUAUAUCCGAGGUUUAUAAAUGGUGAUCGAUGGUCUUUCUUUUUAAUGAAUAUCACAUACUUGUAUUUUUGUCACUCGCCAUAGCUUCGCAGUUUAUCCGAGAUCUGGAUGGCCAGUGCACCAUUCCCAUGUUGUAGGCACUGAUUAUACAUGUGCUAGAUUCGGGUAGAUUAACCACUAGAUAUUUUGGAUUCCAUUUAGUGGUCCGGAAUCCUUGUUCUUGUUCAUUUCCAUAAGGUUAGUCUCGAACCCUAGAUUCGAGUGAAUGAGAAUUACCCUGAAAGGACCUUGUGAAUAUUAAUUAGGUUCACCAUGUUUAUUUACUUAUAAUUCAAGUAGGGAAUUAUGUAGAGUUCCUUAAUUAAAUUCGUGAAAUGAUAUAUUUUCGUAUUGAUUGAUUAACGUAGUUAAAUGCUAAGAUCAUGCAUCUUUGAUUCAUGAAUUGAUUAAUUGACGGGAAUGUGGAAUGGCGUUGGAUAUGAUUAUUAAUAUUAUGAGUAUUUUAGUUGAUCAAUGUGAUUUGAGAAUAAUGAUGUGCUUCGUUGGUUAUUUGAUAUGUCACAUGUUGUGGAUGUAGGUGUCAUGUUGAAAAUAAAGUGAAUUAUGUGAUGAUUGUUCGCGUGUAGUGAAUGAUGAACUACAAUUGGCUUGAUCCUUAUUUAGGGUACGUAGGCAAUCUAACGAGAAAGUUAGAUGCAGCCAUAAAAUGUACGAAAAAUGUUAUGAAAUUCGAAUCUUGAUCUAUGCUUUGUACAUAUCUCGGAGGCAGGAUAUGUUAGAUACAGGUAUUUGGUGACGUCACGUGUCGAUCCUGGACGUAUGUGGGGAUCGGGGCGUGAUAAAAGUUCUCCCCGCACGUUGCUGCGAGAUUAAAACUUGUAAGAAAGAUUAUGUUUCAAAGAUGUAAAGUCUAUACCAUGAAAGAUUUAAUCUAUGCAACAGACACCAAAACUUGUAGAAGUUUUAUUACUUUAUCUAGAAUGAUAAAAUACGACAAAUAUUGUUUACUGCAAUGCUCAAAGUUUUUCUCCAGUACUGUUGAUUGUUAAGAAAGCACCCUGGGCAACGAAAGAAAAUAUUGUAACACGUGAAAUUAAUUUAUAUGACAAUGGAAUUAUACUGUAAAGAAAAUAAGAAUAUAGUAUGGUUACCUUUUCAGCAAUUUUAUAGCACCUCAUCAACUUUUGUGCGUUUGCCUCUUUGAUUAGUUUUGUCUCACUACCUUAAAUGUAUAACAAAGAUUGAAAAUGACAAAUGUAUAUUAGACAAAAGCUGGAUGAAAAAUAGGAGAACACACUAUUUGGUAGGGUGUAAACAGAAAGUUAUAUACCCGUCGAUCAAUUGGGGUGGCAAAAGUUGUAUAGCUGACAUUGAAAUGUAAGCGUUCCAUAUCAUUGCGACUGUGCAUCAUUCAUUUCUUAGUUUCUUUUAGUUCAAACCACCUAAACCAAAGAAAACAAACAAAAUAUUAAGUACAAUUUAUCAUCUAUCUUUGCAAUUUAACUUCUAACAUGACUAAAUAUAAUCUGAAGGCAAUAAAGCUUGAGCCUAAUUCUAUCAGCCAAAAGGGAGGAACACUAAAUUUUACACACGAAGUCCCAAGGGGUUGGAUAAAGAAAUCCCAAAACAAAAACUAUAAUUUGAAAACUGUGCAUAGAUGGUCAACCGUGUUCAAAUGUCUUAAUAAAGUACAUCCACCAAAUUGGAAAUAUUAAGUUGUGAAAAAUGAAGCUAAUUCCUUUAUAAUAACAAAAUGUUGGUCAAAAUACCACAAUGUGAACAAAUAUAUCAUAAAGGACAAAUAGAAAAACGAUACUUACCAAUAUCGACAUAUGGAUUCCUUCGAAAGAAUGUUACAUGCAGUGUUAUUAUCUCAAUGGUUUGGUCUGCGAUAAGAAGAGUAACUAUUUAGAAAGCAGCAUCAUUGCUACUUGCUAGUCUUCCUACAUGAUUUAAGAAUAUAAUUAAUUAAAUAGAUAUGGGAUCACAUUGACCAUAAAUUAUUACAUGCAACUCAAAAAAAAUGAAAAUGAGAAUAGAGUCGUCGGAAAUCGAAAACCCUUGCCGGAAAAAGUGAUUGUUACGCAAUUAGAUCUCUUUUAAUAAUUGCACAUUUAAAUCUUUUUCUUGAUCAGUAAGAUAUCAUAAAUACAAUGUUCCACAGUUCAUUACAUUUUCAUUUCUAGCCAUCAAAACUUGAAACACAUAACUAAUGAGUGUUAUCGAAACUUACCACAACAUUGUCAAAAGAGAAUAUAAGACCAUAAGCUUCAUCUAGUUUGACGACAUAUCGUAUUCGUUUAAGAAAAUCUUAUUGCGGUUUGUCUUCCAAAAAAUCUUACUCAUAGUAAAAAUUAACAGUACUAAGUCAUAGCCAAUGACUAAAAUAUCGAUAAUAUCGGUGAAAUAUCGUCGAUAUUAUCGUUUUUCAAAGAGAUCGAUAUUUUCCCACGUAUCCCUCUAAUUGUCGUCAAAAUAUCACGAUAUUAUCGAAACAAUCGUCGUGGCUCCGUCAUCGGAAAGGCAGCCGAGGCUGCGUCGUCGCACUACCCAGAUCUCUCUCUGCAAUCCAGGCUCAGACCCAAGAUCUACGCCUCAACGACACCGAUUCCGCCACCGUUGUCGAAGUUGCGGUGAAAGAGCUCGCGGAACAGAUCGCAGUUGUAGAUCCGGAACCCGUGGUUUGUCCCCACGGCGAAGCAGGCGUGGUCUUGGUUGAGGCAGACGUGGAACAGAGAUGGAGGUGAGCGUGGCGCCGGCGGGGUGAGCUUCGGGGGGGGGGAGGAGGAGAAUGGGUGGUUGUUGUGGAGUUUGAGGUUGGGGUUUGGGGGCGAUUAGGGGUCGUGGUGGUCAUCGCUGGAGUCAACGACAGAGGUGGGGUUAUCAUCGGUGUGGGAUCGGUAAGGAAGGCGGAGGCGGAGAUGAAAGAGUGCGAAGAGAGGGAAAGAGAGAGUGAGUGAGUGAGAGCAGAGAUGAGAGAGUGCGAAGGCGGAGGCGGAGAUGAAAGAGUGCGAAGAGAGAGAGAGAGAGUGAGUGAGAGCAGAAGAGAGAGAGUGUGAAUAAUAUGCGGUGGUUGUGCAAGUUGAAAAAUUGGGUAAUGAGAUAUAGCAGAUGUUGACGUUUUUGGAUGGUUUAAAAAUUGAAAAUCAUGGACUCUGAGAUGGUUUUAAUCAUGAAAACCACCCAAGGUGGAUGGGUGAUGGGAAAGAGCAAGGUGAGGUGGACAAUUUAUAAAGUGGAAUAUAUAUAUAUAUAUAUAUAUAUAUAUCUUAUAUAUAUUGUGUGUGUGUAUAUAUAUAUCGUAUAUAAAUUAUAAAUUAUUGUUUUCGAUUACAAUUUUACAUAAUUUAAGAGCUUCUUCAAUAUAAAUUUUAAAUAAAACCCCUACAACCAUAUAAUUCUUAAAUAAAAAUAAAUAAAGGGUAAUAAGUCACUCAUGUAUCUUACCAUGCAAUGUAUAAAGUGUAAAAUUAUACUAAUUCAUUAUAUAUAAAUGAUUAUGGUGUGUUUAAACUUCUUUUAUUAAGUACUACAUAUUUUCUACACUCACAUUGUUUGCCAGCUCGCUAUAUAAUCAACUUAAAUCAGUUAAAUCCAUCAUGUAAUGCAUUUCCUUCCAAUUUUUUGUGAUAAACUAAUAGAUAAUUGACUAAAUAAACAUCCUGCAAAGUUUCAAUAAAAAUUUCCCAGUUUUUCUUACAAUUUCCGUGGUUUCCAUAUUAUUUUUAUCGAUAUCGAUAAUAUCCCGAUAUUUCUAUCGAUAUUUCCGAUAUCAUCGAUAUUUUAUACCUUGGUCAUAGCAUAAUCAGUAAAUUAAUUUCGACAAAGCAUAAAAAACAAUGAUUACUAUAUAUAUAACUCCAUAAAUUACACCACAUCAACCUUGAGAGGUCCAACAUGUCCAAAACUCUCAAAACCUUCUCCAUAUUCAGCUCCAAUUGCCAGAAAACACUGAAAAAUGGAGGAAAAAAACAUAAAUUCAUCAAAAUUUGCUACCCAAGGAUAAGGUUAAAAAUGGAAAGUACUUUCACUGGCGAAUAUAUGCACGAGUAUUAAUUACUAUGUUGAACAGUUGGUAACAUGGAAUACACUCUUCCAUUCUCUUACCCACCAAAAAAAGAAAGCACUAUAAAAAUCUCAGAGAAAUUCUUUGCAAGAUUAUCGAAAUUACAAAAGUGGUAAACUAGCAAGUUAUGUUUUGGAUCAAUGUUGGACCACAUUUGUUUCACUUUAACUGUCAUAAUUACAACCUCAAGAUUAGAUUCCAAAUUCCACAAUUAGAUGAGUAAUGUUUCCUGAUUCCGCAUGAUUAUUGACAUUUGCAAUUCACACAUCCUUAAAUUUUAAAAGAACACACAAAAGAAACAGAACAUAAAGUAUCUCUCUCUUUUUACCUUCUCAAAAACGUGUCUCAGGAAAGCUGUUGUCAGAGGCUUAGCUUUCUAAUGUUUACAAUCCACGAAAUAAAAAAAUAAAUAGAAAAGAGCCUCUGGAACCAAAAUAUGCAUGAUGGUAUUUUUCAUUAGACAAAUUAGUUAUUGAUUAAAAAUUGGGUAGUUUAAUUCUAAUUUCCUCUUUGCUUACAGCUUUUAAUUCCUGCUAACCUAAAGUUACACACAUUAAAUAAAGAAUCUUCAAAAACCAAAACCCAUAAUAUGCAAAUGAAGAGGUGGUCCCCACUCACCGUUUUUGCAUCUACCACCGUAGCCUUAGGAUCUACGGGGAUAAAAUCAACUUCAUCCAUUUCUGGAGGAGCCUAUAUUUAUAGAGUGGUGUUAUUUCCACCCCAGUGUUUUAUUUUCUCACUCACCUUUUAAUGAAUUUUUUAAUUACAAAUUUGUCCAUUUGUAAAAUGACUUAGUUACCCCCUUUUGCAUUAUUUUUUUUUAUAUAUAAAAGAAAAAAACAGUUUGGGAGUGAUAACUCUCAUGCUAUGUUUAGAAAAUUUAUCUCCCUUAAACCCUAACUCAUCAUUCCCAUCUCCUUUCAUUCAAAGAAAGCAAAAGGGAUGAACUUAGAAAAUGACGUUUCUAUGGAAGAAGGGUAAUUUCAACAAAAGAUCAUCCAUAAAAGCUGUUUAAAUCCAAAGUUAAUAUAUGAUGUACUCGAUUACAAUUUUCGGAAGAUAACUCUCAAAUAUCUAUAAUAGAAAAACCGAAUACAAGACAGCCUUACGGAUAAUGUUAUAUAUUGGGCUACAAUUGGGCAUUAUGUUCUUCUAUCAAAGAGUUAAAUAUAUCUCUUCACCUUUCCUCCCUUGCCGUGGCGUGUUCUUUUGCCCACCUUGAACACCCUUUGGAUUUCUUACUUACCCCACCAGCAGGCUUCAAUGCAGCUAUUCUUUCAUUGACAGCAUCCAUGUCCACAUCUAUUAGAAGCAUACAACAUCCACAUGGUUAAAGUUGAAAAUAGCAGACAGAUAAAUUAAUUGAUAUUGAGUAGCUAGAAAAUACUAUACGUCAAUGACAAUGCGAAUUGCUAUGCAUCUAAAAAAGGACACUCAAAUUGGAAUUUGGAAAGGAAACAUGGUUUUUUUUUCUUUUUUUUUCUCUAGUUUUUAGAAGGUUUGUUUAUAUUCUUUUUUAAGAGAAAUUUAUCUCUAAUUAUAUAUAGGGUGGGUGGGAAAAUCACAUUUUAAUUUUUGAACUUUUUAUAGUGGGUGUAAAUAUAACGUGGGUGGGGAAAAAAGACAACGGGAUAGGUUUAGCAGCUCUCUAUUUAUAUAGGCAUCAACAACCAAAAAACCAAUAUUACUAAUUUAUCCUUUAAAAAGGGAAAAAUAUGAAGGAAAAAAAAUGAAUUUGAUGAAGCUCACCAUCAGAUCUAUCUGGAACUUUUCUUCUCGGUGUGUUUCAACCUCUGGGAUUGUUGAAUUCCUGGAAAAAAAAACCCAUGAACAAAAAACCUCUGGGAUUGUUGAAUUCCUUGUCCAACUGAGAUGCAGUCAUCACAAGUAGCAAUGCGCGACGAAGAGAAGUAGACGCUAGAGCUUCGCUCGAUGUGGAUUCCAUCUGUGUUAGGGCUAGUUUCCGGCGCUGAAAUCUAGAGCCCGCUACCUUUGAAAUUGUGACAUUCUACAAGAGCUAUGUGAAAGAACUUGCUGUUCACGGAAGUUAAGCCACGGAUAACUGUCUUGUUAAGUGCCACAAAUUUCAAGUUCUGAGACAGAGAAAAUGAUUUUGAAUUAGCUAAAAUAAAACUGAUGUAGAAUUUACGACAGAGAGGAAGCUGUAGAGCAUACAGUUGGAAGAAGUUUGCAGUUGGAGUUGGUGAUGCACUUGUUGUGAGGCCAGGCGUGAGCCCCUCGGCCAUCAAAGGUUCCACCUCCGGUCAAGGUCAGCCCUUUCAUCCACGCGAAUUCAAUCCAACCACCCCCCGAUCCAAACUUGCGCAAGUCAGUUGUAGCCUUCAAGUAACCCUGCUAGCAAUUCAACUCUAAAAAUCAGUCAUAAAAAUUGUAAUAAUCAUAUAAAAAGUCUGUAGCAGAUGGAGAUCAUAAAUCAUAGAAAAAUAGUCUUCUUGCCUUCACACGAAAAUUCAGAGACGUAACAUUUACGCAGGGGCCGGAGAAUCUCAGAAGGCCGAUCGUGUAAGUUCCUUUCGGGAUUAUAAGGUGGACUCUACCUGUGGACUGGCAUGCCUCCUUCCAUGCCGCUGUGAAUGCCUGAAAUUACAAAAUUGCAGAGCUAAAAACUACAAUGUCUACAUCAAACAAACCCAAAUGCCGAAAUAUGAAGCUAGUAAGUUCGAUAAAAAAAAAAAGAGGGUUUUUUCGAUUCUCGAAGUGAACUGAAAAGUUAAAAGAGGGUUUUAUGAAGUAAGUCAAGCAACUUAGAUCGAACAUUGCUGUCAUCAGUUCGGCCGUCUGCUCGGGCGCCGAAGCUCUUGACGUUGAAAAGAUUAGAGCUCUUAGCCUUGUUGUGAUGCUGCAAGAGGCUUCUUCCUUCUGCUUUGACUCCUCUACCGAAACCACUUGCCAUGCAAAACAUGGACAGCAAACAGAGCAGUCUGACGUCCAAGAACUCGAGGCUCGAAUUGCCCAUUUUUUUCUGAACGAAGCGAUUGAUCUUCUCUUUCACUCGAACUAUGCUAAUUUGCAGUUGUGAGUUGGGAGUGUGAGUGUUUUGUGGGAGAAAACUUCCGAAGUAAUUUAAAAAGGGCGGGAUUUUGGAUGAAGAGUAACUGUUGUUAACUCCCUCCCUCUCCCACUACAUCACUAGUCGACCGUUUGAUUGGCCCAUUAACCCAUCAAACGGUUACCUUAAACCAAGAUGGGCUUGUCUUCCCAUCAAUCCAUACUUAGGCGGCUUGUUGUUAUUGGUACCUACCCUUUCUCCUUAACAUGCGACUGUCACACCCACUAACUCUUGUAAAAACAGUACAACCAAACUGCAGUGGACAACCUGCAAAUUAUCUCGGGGAGAACAAGGAACGUGGGUAUGCUGUGGAUUUAGUUGGUUUUUCCCUAUAUUCUAGGGGUUUUUUUUGUCUGCAGCCCAAUACAGUCCUAUAGAUUCGCAUAGAGGAGACUUGUAAGACAAUAUGUUGUUAAUCCAAUUUAAUAAUUUCUGUUCCUGCAAUUAUACGUUCACCAAACACGAGCUGGAGCAUAGCACAUUACAAUUGAUCCAUCUCAUCGUGUCCAAGCAACCGAAAGUGUUUACUCUACGAGGUCCAUACCGCAAGCUUCAUAUUCUUAUUAUCCAAGAAUGAACUUUUACCAACAACAACAAAACAUUUUCUCACUAAAUGAGGUCGGCUGUAUGAAUUAUAAAACGCUAUUGCGCUCGGUUCUGUAUCAUGCAAAAAUGAACUUUUACCAAAAUGAUAAAAUCUUUUGUUCAAACCGAGACAUUUACCAAGUAUAAACAAAAUCACACAACCAAGAUUGAGAUCAAAAUGGAUCGAAACAAUGUUUGCGAACACAAUUUUGAUUAAAAUGAUUGUCUUAAACCACCUUAAUCAGAAACGAUGUAGGCUGCAGCAUGUUACAACAAAUUAUAGAGGAAUAAAUUAAACAAUCAUGCAGCUCAUUAGGUAUGGAGAUCAGGGGUUUGACAUUAAGAAGCAAUCAUAACAACGCUAACUUGUUGCAAUUGGAUGUCAGGAUGUACAGAAUUGGAGCAUUCAUACAAAGAAUGAAGUUUGCAAAAUUAAGCAAGAAAAAGAUUAGAUGUAAUAGAGGCUAUACGCUUUUUUUUUUUUUUUAUCCCACCUUUCAAAUGCCUCAUUUCUUUGCCUUUACAAACCUGAGACACCGAUACUUUUCACCACUGACAAUGAUUUCAAGUGCUCCGUCUUGAUUAUCUUGAUUCGAUGCAGUUCCCAUUAGAAAGCUUUUCUCUUUUUCGAGGUUUUCUUUGACACGCCCCGACCCUGAUAUUCGAAUAUCAGGAUAGACACGUGCUGGCCGACACUCAAGGUGACGAAAGCCAUUAAUUGAUUAUAAGAGCUAAGAAUAAGAAAUAAUACGGGUUAUAAAUUUAAAAACAAUGAGAUAAUAAUUUAGGAACGUGCUCAGAGCAUACAACUAAACCUAAUCACUAAAAAGAAUUAAGAUAAAUUUAAUGAAUAAAGGAGUGGGUCCUACAUCGAGAGGAUUCGAAGAUGCUGCUGCGGAAGUGCCUUGAUGCCGGGAUUAGGCGCUUUGAUUCUAAGUCCUGAAUGGGGGCGCAAAACAAAGGUGAGUGGACCAAGUUCAUAUAUAAAAUAAUAAUAAAACAGUUAUCAACAUACUAACCCCCAAAGUCUAUAUAAUGAAAACUACUAGCAUAAUAAAUGAUGGAUUUAAUGAAAAUCCUAGCAUGCCCAAAAAUAUCUCAAAAGUCAUAUCGCGGAAACUCAUCGCGGAAAUCAAAACAGUAAACGCAUCAUAAAUCGUCUCGUAAACGCGGUGUGCUGCUAGUAAGAUCACCGAAUAAAUAUAACUCCUGGCCCAAUGCCUGCUCCGUGGUCUCUGCGCCCGUAGUCAGAGAUUACCAACUCCCGACCCAAUACCUGCUCCAUGUCCCUCAGCCCGUAGCUAGGGAUUAUAUCUCCCGGCCUAAAUGCCAACACCAGUUCCUCGCCCCAGGCGGCAUAGUGUCUACUAGGUACGCACAAAUAUUUACGCAUCUCAUAAAUAACCACUUCAUAGCAUAGGUUACCGAUCAUCGUUUACACUAUAAAGAGGGGUUCAAAAACAUGUUCUAGCAUCCUAUCGUCAUCUAUCAGAUAGUCUACCAGUUCAUGAUUUUUAUAGAAAAUACGAUAUAUUAAAAUAUAGCUCAAUAUAGGCCAACAAUUAUUUCCUCACCAAAACACGAGACGAUAAUCAAUAUAUUUAAUCAACAGGCUUCACAUAAAUCAAAUUAUAAAUCCGUAGGCAUGCUAAUCAUUUAUGCAAUUAAAUUAUGAAAUCAUGUAAUUUUAGAAAGGGUCCAUUCACAGAACUUAGCCGUCAAAAGCCGCGCCACUAGCGAAGACAGAACAUCAAAAUAAUUGUCCCUAAGUACAAAAAUGGUAAUAAUUAAAUAAAAGGAUUUUCUACAAGAUUGGGCUUGAAUUAAAUAAAAUAGGGGAUUUGGGGUUGGAUGGGUUUAGGGUUUUAAUGGGUUUUAGGAACCUAAGGUUUUUGGGUUAAAAAUGGUUUAGGAUUAAGGAAAUAGGGUUUGGGCUUAAGCCCAAACAUAUACAUACCACUAACACACACACACAUGCACGACAUGCACAUGCAUGCAUGGCAUGCAUAUACACACACGCACACACACUAAACGCACACACCCACACACCAACAUAAACACACACACACGGGGUCACAAAGGCCCUAAGGCCUCACUAAAAAAACAGGGCUUUAAGCCCUUUUAAAUGUCACCGGCCCAAGGCCCUUUUUUGGGGUUUUAAAAUAAACUAACAAAAAUAAAAGAAAUGGGAUGGGGUCUAACGGGCUUAAGGCCCGAGGGGGAAAGGGGAAGGCCGGAUGGCCUGGUGCCGAGGAAGAAGAAGGCAGGAGCUGCUACAGCUCCGGUCACCGGAAACAUGGGUUUUGGGCUCCGAUCUAAGUACAACCAUGAAGAAUAGGGAGAGAGGAAGAGGUUUCUACCUUCCAAAGACCGUGACUCGGUCGGAGGUGACCGGAAAAAGCUUCCAAAGUCCACGGUUCGCCGGAAAACGGGUGUGCUCACCCCAACGAUUCCGAAGCAAAUCCUACGUAAAAAUGGAAGGUUCAAGCUUCUAAAUCCCGGCAAAUCCUACGCAAAUCCUACAUAACCAAGCAUUAUGCUAGGUACGAGAAUGAGGGAUUCGAGACUUACCCCAACGGAAAAGAAGAAAAGGUUCAUAAGGCAGGGGUCCCUGGUUUGUGGCGAGUCUCUCCUGAUGGUGCUAAGGUCCAAGUGAGUCCAGGGGGAGAGAGAGAGAGAGAUGUGAGAGGUUGAGGGAGAGGGAUACGGGAGAGUUGAGAGAGCUACGGGAGGGAGAGACGAAGAAGAAGAAGAGAGAGAGAUCAGAAAACAUAAAAAUAAAACAAGGUGGGCCCCACGGGCUCACCAAUUAAGGCUUUAAAACAAUUUUUAAAUAAAUGAGGUUGGGGUGUUUCAUUCUUCUCUAUUUUCGACCUUGCUUCUUGUCUAGCUAUCUCUGCCUGCAACAAAACAAUGUUCGAUAAGGCUAAAACACAAAAUAAUGGUGCAUCACCUUAAAUUAAAUGUCCAAAAUUUAGUAAAUGUAAGCACGUAUUUUGCUAAAAACUAGUUAUUACAGGGAUCAUUGCUCACGACACAAAUAGGUUAUAGGUCUCUGCUGAAUUUCCUAAGAACACGUGUAGACUAAUAAUAAACAUACAACAUGCUAACAAGUUAAUUUGUCACUUGUGGUCAAAAAGACAAUUCCAAAUAUUUAGGCAAACUCCAAUAGUGAAGGACUACAUUCUUAGCAUUGAUUUUGUAGUGUUUGUUCUUAUUUUUUCUAGAAAUUAUAAAAAAAUGAAGACAAUAUCAAAUGAACUAACAUGUACUAAUAUAGUAUAUACUGAAAAAUGAGGGUUGUUAUUUUCGUUAUAUACUUGUAUUUUUUAUGAGAUUAAAGAAAAGAUGAGAAAACAAAAAGUUUUUAAAAUUUGUCCCAAGUAAAUGGUUUGUAUCAUUGUGGGAGGCUUGGAGCGCGGUGAAAACGUGAGGAGAGCAGAAUGAAAUAAUAAAGAAACGCGUGGUGAAAACGUGAGGAAAGCGGUAUGCAAUAAUAAAGAAACGCACUUGGAGGUAGCGGUUGGUCACUUUUCUUUUCUUGGUGCCCAACCAAGCCCCUCAAGUCGUGAAUGAGAAGCUCUCUCUCUUUCUCUCUCUCUCUCAAAACACUAUGUACUUUGAUAGCUGAGAGAUGUCGGACGAAGGGAAAGGAGCUGUCAUUUUCCACUAUACAUAGUGGAGAAAACACAAUGAUGACUAACAAUAGAAAAACAUUAAUUUAACAAUAAUAUGCCCAUGGGGGUACAUGGGACGAUGCUGCUUCUCUUCAUCGGUUUUCAGGUUUUACUGGUACAAUAAUAUGCAAUUUUUUUUUUCCAAAAUAGAAAUAUAUUAAAAAUGAAUAGAAAUGUUUACAUCAUGAGCUAAGAAAUUGAACAAAAAUUCCGGGCCAAUCCAAUCCCAAGUAAAAGCUUGACCCUCCUUAAACACAUACUUAGACACCGAGUGAGCAGCACAAUUGCUCUCCCUAGGCACAAACGCGAACGUCACUUACGUCAACCUUCACACUAAAAGCUCGAUGUCGCCAAGAACACAUUCGAUACUUAAGUCAUGAGACACUUCCUUCCUGAGCAUUUGAAUUAUCGUCUUAGCAUCAGAUUCGAUAAGGCGAAUCACGCCCCAGCCAACCCACACUUGCACGCAUUGUGUUCUUGCACCAAGCCACAUCACUAUUGAUCUUAAUAAUGAUGUACCUCAGUUUCUGCCAUUGAACAAUCGGUCGCUCCGCAACUUUUAAAGUCAGCGUCCUCUUUGGGCAAUCGUCAGUAAGACCCUGUGACAGAGCAUCUCUAAACUCAGAGAUACUUUUCCUCCAAGCCUCCAAGACCUCCAGAGGCUGAUGAUGUUAAAAUUGUCCCACAUCGGUGAGGUGAAGAAAACCAAAUGGGUUUAAAUAGUAUUACCCCACUUUAACUAAUACCGAGACCUUUUGUGGUAAAACCCCACACCUGAGGAUUGGGCAGGUGAUUAAGUGGGGACAGUAUUGGUGUCGUUAGAGUGGGGCGGGCCCGGCGAUCCAAAAAUUCCAACAUGGUAUCAGAGCCCACGGUUGCGGGCCCGUGCAAGCCAAUGAGCUUGUUACCAAGAAGGAAACAAGUCUGAACUCUUAACAUAUAGACGACCGCUGAGUUCCAAUUGAAAACAAGUGGGCCUAAUGUGAGCCGACCUCUGAGUUUCAAUUAAUGAUGUGAAUCUCCACGUGUGAACCACUAAAUGAGGUUACACGUGAGGGGGAAUGUUAAAACUGUCCCACAUCGGUGAGGUGAAGAAAACCAAAGGGGUUUAAAUAGUAUUACCCCACUUUAACUAAUAUUGAGACCUUUUGUGGUAAAACCCCACACCUGAGGAUUGGGCAGGUGAUUAAGUGGGGACAGUAUCAGUGUCGUUAGAGUGGGGCGGGCCCGGCGAUCCAAAAAUUCCAACAAACGAUGCAUCCCAUUAAACACAACCUCGUUCCUAUUUUUCUAGAGCCUCCACAGACCAAAGACAAAUUCUUGACAAAUCUCAUCGGCAUUAUCCUUCUCUUUGACCUGAUUACAAAACUUUCCCCAACUUUCUAAGAAGUCAGCCCUUUCCAGUUCAUGAGAGUUCAAAUGAAGCGAAUAACUGAACCAAAAUAAGUGAUUGAAUUUACACCGAAAGAACAGGUGGUUUUCCAUUUCAUCAAACGUAUUACAAACACCAUACACAUUAUCAACCUUCAUAUGACGUCUCUUAAGGUUACGUCUAACAGCUAAGGCAUUGUUGCAACAUCACCAAAUGAAGAUUUUGAUUUUGUUAAGGACUUGCAAACUCCAAAUCUGAUUCCAUACAUGGUUUUGCUUAUGAUACUUACUAGGGGCACCCCGACCUUUCCUUCCCAGUGCACCAUUUUCAAUGAGAUUCACAGCCACCCCGUAGCUAGAUUUAAUAGAAUAUUCCCCAUUCACGGUGUGAUGCCACACUAAUCUAUCACAACAGCUAGAGUGGCUUAAAGGAAUUCUUAAAAUCGAAGCCACAUCAUCCCGAUUAAAGCCAGCCGAGAUCAGAUCAACCUUCCAAGAAUUUGAGGCCGAAUCAAUUAAAUCACCAACCAUAGUUCCUUCUAAGCAUUCUCUCGGUCUAACUUUAAACGUCGAAAGUUUAGGGAACCACGGAUCCUCCCUAAUAUUUUUGCAAGCUCCAUUUCCCACCCCCCACCUUAACCCUUGCUGCAGCACCUUUCGAGCUUCAAAAAUUUCCUUCCAACCUCAUGACGUGUUCUUUCCCCUACCAGCUUCCCUAAAGGUUUUCCCAGGAUAAUAUUUAUCUCUCAACACUAUUGCUAGAAACGACAUCGGAUUUUGGGUCAGCUGCUACCCAAUCUUGGUAGGAAAGCUAGAUUGAAACACUAGAUAUCCUUGAAUCCCAAACCUCCAGACUUUUUUUGUUUUAUUAGCCUAUCCUAGGAAAUCCAGUGGACUCCUUUGCGUUGCUCAUUACCUCUCCACCAAUAGUUUCGAAUAGCUUUCUCAACAUCCAUACACACCCCAAUGGGUAGCUUAAAACAGCUCAUGGCAUAAUUCGGCAAAACCAUGGCCACCGCUUUGACAAUGACCUCUUUCCCUGCUUGGGACAAAAACUGCUUAGCCAAACCCGCCAAUCGAGCUUCAAUCUUAUCCCAAACUUCCGCAAAUACAGCUUUUUUGGAAUGCCUAAAAUCUGUCUGCAGCCCUAAAUACUUCCCGAAUCUCUACUUGCAUUGAAUCCCCAAGGUUUCCUCAAUUUUCUCCUUAUUUCGUUUCGAGGUCUUUGACCCAAAGAAAAUUGAACUCUUAGACAUGUUAAUUUCCUGGCCAGAUCGUCGUGCAUAAACUAUCAAAACUUCUACUACUUCUUUCGCCUCAUCCACCGUGGCAUUGCCAAACAGCACAGAAUCAUCCGCAAAGAAAAGAUGCGUAAUCGGGAUCCCAUUUGGCGUCAUCUUGAAACUGUGGAGGGCACCUUGCUCCAAACCCUUCCUGAUCAACAUGGAAAACCCUUCGGUACAGAGAAGAAACAAUAAGGGAGAUAGCGGGUCUCCUUGUCUCAACCUCCUAUUCGGCAAGAUGUAUCCCGUUGAGGUUUCAUUAACAAUAAUGCUGAAAGAAAUAGUAGAGAUACAUUCCUUUAUCCACCUACAGAACAGUGGCGCGAAAUUCAUUUUUUCCACCAUGCUAAUGAGGAAAUCCCAUUCUACGCGAUCGUAGGCCUUAGCCAUGUCCAAUUUUAUGGCCAUACUUGUUGUUUGUACCAUACUUGACCAAUCCUGAAACUACUGAGCACCGGUCGACGUUAUACUGUUAAGGACCCAGAAGAGCUUCCCUUCAACCAGGAGGCCAAUCACAAUGCGACACGUGUCGACAUCAGAAGCCAAUCACAGCGCGACACGUGUCAACAUCAGAAUCCAAUCACAACACGACACGUGUCAAUGUUAGAACAAAACUAGAAACUCUCUUCUAUAAAUAGGGAUCAUUCUCCCACAAUAAUCUCUAAUGUCAUUUUGUACUAAACUAUUCACUAGAACUCACAAAAUGAGAGCUUGAACCUAUGUAUUUGUGUAAACCCUUCACAAUUAAUGAGAACUCCUCUACUCCGUGGAUGUAGCCGAUCUAGGUGAACCACGUACAUCUUGUGUUUGCUUCCCUUUCCCUAUUCAUUUAUGUACUUAUCUUCACUAGUGAUCGAAGCAACCAAGCGAAUGUCACAAACCUGACACUUUCUGUUGUACCAAAGUCCUCACUGAUUUUUUGCAUCAACAUUUGGCGCCGUCUGUGGGAAAGACACUUACUCACACUCUCUUCAGCUUUGUUAAGCUGGUUUCCACCACUCGUACACUUUCUUUUGGCCAAACAUCUCUCUCCAACAUGGGGAGUGAAAGAAGCCAUAGCACACAAAAUGACACCCCCAUUGGACCUAGUAUGAAGCAACAAAAGCAGGAAGGAAAUAAAGUUACUCUUCAAGCUAAAGUCGAUGAGUUAGAAGCUCAGAACAACAAGAUAGUGAUGAGGAACGAGGUCAUCCAGGAGCAGUAUGAAAAACUUUUCGAGAUGCUUCACGAGGCUAGGCAUGCUCAAGCACAUAAGCUCGUCGCCCCUGCUGAGGUCAACAAUCAUCUGAAUGCCCCCCAACACGGAGGGUCACCGAUAUCCAACACGGACAUCCCUGAUAGGGAUCGAGCUACACAUCAAUGUGAUAAUCAACAUGAGACUUCUCUCAACCCAGCUGCUUCAACCCGAAGCAGAAGGAGUAGAGGAAAACACCUCCUCACAGAAGGAGUGGAAGGAUCAAAAGUCGUCUAUCGCGAUUGUCGAGACUUCCUAAAGCAACAUCGAGAGAAUCCCAUCCAUAUAAGCUCGAAGAUCAAUGACCCAAGAGUUUCUGAAAGACUCGGUCCUCUCCCACGACCCAGGCCAGCAGUUAAUCUAGGGAAUGGGCAACAAGUCCCAGAUGAACAUGAAGGUACAGGGGACUCAGAAAUGUUCCGACAUACUCACUCUAGGAGUCAGUGUGACGAGUCCAAGGAAAAAUCAUGCUAUCUUGAUCAAACUUUCCUACUUCCAAAAGACGAUGGGGACUUACGGAAGAAAACUUCAGUGAUGCACGACUCCACUCAGGACCCCCUCGUCCUACAGCUCUUGGAGGAAGUAAACAAGUUGAAGGCUGAACGUCAAGCCGAGAUACCUGACUAGAACCAACCCAGGCCUGGCCCCCUCACAAGAAGGAUCCUCAACACCCCCUCCAAGCGAAGACAAAGCAGAAGCUUGACUUACAACUCUAUACUGGAAGGGAAGACCCGAUUGAACACCUUAACCUCUUUGAGUCCACCAUGGUAUACCGGAGACACACCGAUGAAGAACGGUGCCUUCUCUUCCCCUCCACCCUCUCUGGCGGAGCUUUAAACUGGUAUUGCCGUCUUCCACCCGAGACAAUAGACUCAUUUGAAGAGUUGAGGAAGUUGUUUGUCUCUCAACACAUCUUCCAGACCGAUCGCUUGCAUUCCGCAGAUAACUUGUACACUAUUCGCCAGAAGCCAGACGAGUUAUUACGAAAGUAUGCUGGCCGCUUCAGCCAUGAGUAUUCCCGCUGCGCUGAGGCAGAUGACAAAACUGCCCUCAAGGCCUUCAUGGCAGGCUUACGUGACUGUUUCUUCAAGUACAUGAUCAAUGCCAACACUUGGAAGACUUACUCUGAGGUGAAGGCACAAGCUUACAACCAUGCCUCUGCCGAGGCAAGGACAUAUCAAGGGAAACCCCCUACAGUCACCCCUUAUCAGCAAGUAGGGAGUGGAGGCCAGAUCCAACCGAAUGAAAAGACCUCAACCUUCCAAACGGUAGCAGCACACCCCCCGGCCUCAUUUAAUGCUUCGCCAAGUCAGCAGACAUAUCAAUCCCAGGGCAAAAGGAAAGAUUUCCAUCCUCACCAAUCUCAUUUUAAUCAAAAGAAUAAGGGGCACUAUUGCGAUAACUCAGUAUAUCGUCACAAUAACACCCAUCCCCAGGCAGUCAACGUAUUGGGCCAAUCGCGUGUCAAGACAGGCCCUACCCCGAGGUAUGAGACAUACACACCUUUGAACGCUACAUGCGCGGCCAUCUACCCCAGUAUAGCUUACUUGAUACCAAAGCCAAAGCCAAGGCAGUGAUCGGAUCAUAUUUAUAUAUAUUUUUACUUCGAAUUCACUCGUCUUUUUUUAGUUAGUUCCUUAUAUUUUUGAGCUAUUUACUUUGUUUUUGCGUAUUAUAGGAUUUGUCUAGCAAAGAAAAUAAAAAUAGAACAAGUGAAAUUUUAUGUAAUAAAUUCGUCAAAACUGUCUGUGUAGAUCAUCUUUUAAAUAAAAUUAAUAAAAAUAAUAAUAAUGAUAAGUCAUGAUGAUGUUUCAAACAUCAUCAUCAUUCAUGUUUUGUAGAAGAAGAAAGGAACGGCAAAGAAGGAGAAAAUAAAGAAGAAAUGAGGGAGAGCGUCGGUGGGAGAAGAAAAAGGAAUAAAAAGCUGCCUUUACCAGCAGAGGGAGUGGAGAGACAAUGGGUGAGCAUUGAGUGAAAAACAAAAGAAAAUAAAUAGGAGAGGAGUGCGCACAAGGCGCGGGGAGGACUGGACAGCAGAAAAAACACAGAGUCCAAAGAGCCUGGCAGCGGGGGAAAGGAAUAAAAGAAAGUUGCCUUUGCAGCUGGGGGGGGAGAGAGGGAGAACUGACAGGAAGCUGCCUUUGGCAGCGUGAGAGACAGCAUAGGGGGGAUUGGAAGGAGGGCAGAGCCUAACAGCGGAAAGAAUAAAAAAAAAACAGAAAACACGGGACGGCAGAAAAAAGGAGGUAGGCGCAGAAAUAGACGUAAGGAGCAGAGAGAGACCAGAAGCGUAGCUCGCAGAACGCAGCAGGCGGGGAGAGAGCAAGGCAGAGAGUAGGGAGAAAAACAGAAGCAGCAAGCUGCCUUCUCUCUCGGUUAAAUCUUUCCAAACUUAUAUUUUAUUUCUGUUUUAAUAAUGUGUAACUAAAUUUAUUUUGGCUAGAGGUUAAUUCAAAGCCAUGAAUAUAUUUGUAAUAUGAAUUGAUUACCUUCAGUUGUGAUUUAUAAGUUGUGAUUUAAUUUGCUUAACUGCUUGAUUGAUAACUUAUUUUUGUAUGUCGAUUAAGAAUGCAUACUUAAUUUACAUGCAUGAAUUUGAUGCUAGAAUAUAAGUGAAUUUCACCUAAUCGUUAUGAACUUAUAUUCACAAGUAGUGAAGGUUGUUAUCCACAAUCGUGUUAAGUGAAUUCUAGGCUGGAUUAACAUGUGUAUUCCAUAGUUAUGAAUGCCUAGUCAAUGUUUAUGAUUUCCGUUGAACUUAAUGAUCUUUGUUGAAUGUCUCUAUCAUGCGUAUUCCAUAGUUAGGGACUUUGAUGAGGAAUAAUUUGGUUGUAAUGCGUAUUCCAUUCAAUCCAAUGAAUCUAGGGAAAUCUAAAGAGUUAAUUUAAGCGGACCUAAUUAACUUGGAACAUUGUCAUUCACAAUUUAUUGAAAGAACAACUGAAAAUCAAUUUAGGUUGCAUAUGUGUCAUGUGUGGAGAAGAACCCUCUAGCUAGUCCGUCACCUAUCCUUUCACCUUAAUUUCAUGCUUUUGUCAAUUCUGUAAUUUAUCUAAGUUUAAUUUACUUCUCGUCAAAACCAAACCCCCCCAUUAUUAAAUUAUAUUAUUUAGUUAGUUUUCAUUGUUGUUAGUCUUUUAAUUCAAUUUCCGUCCAUUUCAGUUCCUAGUGUCUAAUUUGAUUGUUUUCAUUAUUUUGAGUCAUUCUAAGUGUGUUUCGAGUUAUUAGAGUUUUUAGCCUAGUUUCGUGUCCUUGAGUCUUGUUUAAUAUUUUUAAAUUAAUUUAGAAUAGAUUAGCAAUCCCUCCUAAUCCCCGGCCUAGAACGAUACCCUACUUACAUCUAUACUACAAUUGUCAAAAAGAGGGUUUAAUUUGUGUGUUAACUUAUUCUCACACCAGGCAGCCAGAUUACAAGUCCACGAAGAACACGGGCGUGUUUUGCUGCUACCACGAGUAUAAUGGCCAUGACGGCGAGAAGUGCAUCAUCCUCUGUGAUCAUAUCGAAGCUUUGGCACGUGAAGGAAAAAUUGAUCAGUUCCUUCUUCACCCUCCAAGGGAUAACCGUAACCAACGCCAGGUGAAUGUGAUAUACUCCAUAAGCGGCGGCACACCUAUGUCUGAAUCUUCCAAUAGGGCCAUUUAAAACAGUGAACGAACUUUGAGACAUGGCCAUCAAGUGUUUCACAUGGAAGACAUCAGGGGAGGCAAGUAUAAAAAACCUAACUGGGAUCCAAUAUGUUUCUACCCUGAGGAAGAAAGAGGUAUCAUCUACCCUCACAACGAUCCGCUGAUCGUGGAGGCUCACAUAGCAAAUUUUGAUGUGAAACGAAUCCUGAUAGACACAGGUGCUUCAGUCAAUAUCAUGUUUGCUGAAGCUUUCAAGGCACUUAAUGUAGCUGAACACUUGCUCGAUCGCUCGAUUUCUCCUCUGAUAAGCUUCUCUAACGAUAUCGUGCAACCUUUAGGGAGUAUACACUUACCCUUCACCAUUGGUACAGGCCCCUACACAGCUACUAUUACCACUAACUUCCUAGUGGUCAAUUGCCCGACGGCAUACAAUGUCAUCUUUGGGCGCACAGGCAUCAAUGAUCUCAAAGCCAUGGUAUCCACACAUAUGUUGUUGAUGAAGUUUCCAACCCCUUUCGGCAAUGGAUACAUCAGGGGAGAUCAACUUAGUGCUCGAUCAUGUUACAACACUUCAGUUAAGCAACAACACCUGCCUGUCCCCAAUGAGACCUUCUCUAUACAUAACCAGGUAGUAAAGACCAGUCUAAAUGAAGCCAACUCGGAUCUUCAUGAUGGCAACAAUCAACUCGACGACCCUCGAGAUGACUCCUUCACCCAGCAAGCACAACCCGCUGAAGAGUUAGAGAAUGUCUCUAUCUCCAAAGACCAUCCAUAUCGCAUGGUGAAGAUUGGCACCACUUUGUCACCACCUAUUCGGUUGUCGUUGAUCUCAUUUUUGCAAGAGAACGUCGAGGUCUUCGCUUGGUCAUAUAAAGAUAUGUCGGGCAUCUCUCCCGAUAUCAUUUAUCACCACUUGAGUAUUGAUCCCAAGACCAAACCAGUAAAACAAAAGCGAAGAUCUUAUGAUGUUGAACGAUACGAGGCGAUGAAAGCAGAAGUUGAAAAACUUAAGGACAUAGGCUUCGUCCGUGAAGUCAAUUACCCAACAUGGGUAGCAAAUGUUGUCCUUGUUAAGAAAAAUCCGACCAAGGAAAGUCUCCUGCUUCAAAAGGUCUUGUGGAGAAUGUGUGUCGACUACACUGACCUAAACAAAGGAUGCCCAGAGGAUAGUUUCCCCCUUCCUCUCAUUGAUAGACUUAUAGACUCUACGGCAGGGUGUGAGCUCUUGAGCUUCAUGGACGCUUAUUCAGGAUACAACCAAAUCCUCAUGAACCCCUCAGACCAAGAACACACAGCCUUCACUACUGACAAGGGACUAUAUUGCUACAAAGUCAUGCCCUUCGGUCUAAAGAAUGCAGGAGCAACUUAUCAGAGACUGGUCAAUUCAAUGUUCGCCGAACAGAUUGGGAAGAGCAUGGAAGUUUACGUUGAUGAUAUGUUAGUCAAGAGCAAACAUGUUGACCAACACAUCACCAACCUAUCUGAAAAUUUCACCAUUCUAAAGAGGUAUCGAAUGAGGUUGAACCCCAACAAAUGUGCCUUCGGCGUGAGCUCUGGCAAAUUCUUAGGCUUCAUGAUUAGCCAACGAGGCAUUGAUGCUAACCCCGAAAAGAUAAAAGCAAUCCUCGACAUGAAAAAGCCAGUAACUUCAAAAGACAUCCAAAGCCUUACUGGCAAGGUGGCAGCCUUAACCAGAUUCAUCUCUAAGGCCACACACAGAUGUGCUCCUUUCUUCAAAGCACUCAAGGGAAAUAAGAAGUACAUUACAUGGAAGGAGGAAUGUGCCAAGGCAUUCAGGAACCUCAAAGAGUACAUGAGUAAAGCCCAUCUGCUCUCCAAACCAGAAGUUGGUGACACUCUCAUUAUCUAUCUAUCAGUUUCGGCUUCAGCAGUCAGUUCUAUUCUUAUUCGAAAGGAUAGUGGUGUCGAACGGCCCGUCUACUAUGCUAGCAAGGCCCUACAAGAUGCGGAGACACGAUACUCCAACAUUGAGAAAUUAGCUCUAGCAUUGGUCAUGUCUGCUCGAAAACUUCGCCCUUAUUUCCAAGCACACGUCAUCAUUGUGCUUACUAAUCACCAUCUUCGACAGAUACUCCAGAGUUCUGACACGUCUGGGUGAAUGAUCAAAUUGGCGAUAACAUUGGGUGAGUUUGACAUCUCCUACCAACCAAAACCAGCCGAAAAAGGUCAAGCAGUAGCAGAUUUCAUCGCCGACUUCACAUAUUCUGUUGACAUUGCUUCUACACCUGAAGCAGUAGCUUCAUUACCAUUGGAAGCUCAGAAGAUAGAACCAACAACCCCAUCAUGGAGUCUGUAUGUUGAUGGCUCAUCCAACCAACAGAGCUGCGGAGCAGGAUUAGUCCUCACUACCCCCGACAAAGUGGCGAUAGAAUACGUUAUUCGUUUCAAAUUCAAGGCAUCGAACAACGAGGCCGAAUACGAAGCCCUUCUAGCAGGCUUACGUUUGGCCAAGCAUCUUGGGGUUAAACGAAUUGAUAUCUUCAGUGACUCCCAAUUAGUGGUCAACCAAGUCACAAACAACUUUGAUGCCAAGGAUAGCUCCAUGGCAGCAUAUCUUGCGCAAACGCGACUUUUGCUCAAGCACUUCCACUACCAGAUCACCCAAGUUCCUCGAGCGGCAAACAGUCAUGCAGAUGCUUUGGCUCGCCUUGCCUCGGCAGUGGAAGACAAGAUUGGGAGAAAAAUUCAUGUCGAAUUGUUGGCAGUACCAAGCACCAUGGUCGCGGAAGUGUGCAAUUUACAACAAGGAGAUAGUGGGAUCACCCCAAUUUAUAAAUUCCUUGCCCAUGACACCCUCCCAAAUGACAAAGUCCAAGCUAAGCAUAUUCGAUACAAGUCUGCUUGCUACCUGAUCAUUAAUGACCAACUCUACAAACACGAUUUUACCCUGCCCUACCUAAGAUGCCUUACACCUACGAAGGCGGAAAUUGUCCUUCGGGAAAUACAUGAAGAAGUCUGCGGAGAUCAUGCUGGGUCUCGAUCCCUAGCACACAAGACUUUUCGCCAAGGAUACUAUUGGCCAACACUCCACCAAGAUGCCAUCAGAAUAUCUCGCUCAUGUGAUAAGUGUCAACGCUACACAAUUAUCCCUCACUCCUCUCCCGAGCCGCUCACUCCUAUGAUCAGCCCUUGGCCCUUCGCCCAAUGAGAACUUGAUUUGAUCUGCCCAAUUCCUGCAGGGAAGGGCAAGGUCCGCUAUGCAAUCGUUGCAGUUGACUACUUCACAAAGUGGGCUGAAGUAAAACCCUUGGCAACCAUUACUGAGGCAAAAAUAGAAGACUUCGUAUGGAAGAACAUCCUCUGCAGAUUCGGCAUUCCCAAUACGAUAGUCACGGACAAUGGGCGGCAAUUCGACAACAAGAACUUCAGGAUGUUCUGCUUUAAGUUCAACAUCAACUUAUGUUUUGCCUCUCCAGCCCAUCCCCAGUCUAAUGGACAAGUCGAGGUCGUUAACAAAAUAAUCAAGCGCACUCUGAAAACUAGCUUGGACAAAGCUAAAGGUUGUUGGCCAGAAUUCAUACCCCAAGUUCUUUGGUCAUACCGCACUUCAUAUCGGACUUCCACAGGAGAAACUCCAUUCUCACUUGCUUUUGGUACAGAAGCAGUUGUCCCGGUUGAGCUUGAGCAAGCAACAUACCGAAUCCAGAACUACAUGCAGAGUGAAAACGACAAACAACUCACCCUCAACCUGGUUCUAGUCGAGGACACAUAAAUCAGGCUCACCUGAGGAAUGUCGCCUACAAGCAGCGCAUCUCCAACUACUACGACUCAAGGGUCAAACCUCGCUCCUUCAAAGUGGGAGACUGGGUACUGAAGAAAAGAUUACUCUGUGAUAGAGUCCCGAGUGAAGGAACACUCGGUCCUAACUGGGAUGGACCGUUCGAGUUCGUCGGCAUCAGCCGCCCUGGCUCCUACAAGCUCAGAAGCUCCAACGGCAAGACUCUUGGCCAUCCAUGGAAUGCUGACCACUUGAAGUACUAUUACAAAUAGACUCACAUUGUACAAGUGUUAAGCUACAGCCGUUCGGCAUCCUAUGUAACAAAGACCAUUUGGUAUGAAUUCAAUAAAGAGGUGAUUUAGCCAACUCGGCCCUAAACUCUUUUACAUUCUGAGCAAUGAAACACUCAAGUGUUGAAGCUUCAACGUAAAUGUUUCCAAUACAAAACAAAAUCUAAGUAUGUGUCAACAAGACUAUACAAAGGAUCUACAUCAUACAUUCCAACACAUUCAUACAUAAACAUCAUACAUUCCAAUACAUUCAUACAUAAACAUCAUACAUUCCAACACAUUGAUACAUAAACAUCAUACAUUCCAACACAUCCAUACAUAAGCCAACUGUGCUUCGAAAGGGUUCAACACACUUUAUGUCAUUCGACAUUUGCCACAAUGUGCCUCGACACCUUGCCCUUAUUCUCACCAACUAGGUGAUGAAGGAACUCACAUUUGUACCACUAACUAUGUGAUGAAAUGUACAACCAGUACUCUAAUAUUAUUUGGAAACUUGCCACCCUUAUCACCAAUCAGGUGAAGAAGGAACUCAUCUUCAUGCCACCAACCAGGUGAUGAAAUGUACAACGCGUACUUUCCUUCAUGCCACCAACCAGGUGAUGAAAUGUACAACGCGUACUCUCCUUCAUGCCACCAACCAGGUGAUGAAAUGUGAUGAAAGGUGAUUAAGGAAUUCACAUUCGUACCACCAACCAAAUGAUGAAAGCAACCCACCAUUCAUUCCACUAACCAGAAGACGAGUGGUACAACUUGUACAUGUGAACUCCUAGCAUUCACAAAUAAUCAAAAACCCUCAAGCUUUACAACUCAACUAGGGGAGCACUUAUGCCUAACAAGAGCUAUAGUCACCAACAAAGUCUUAUUGCAAGCCAACAAUGGCUUCAGUGCAUGGUAUACGAAGAUCAAGCUCUUCAGCCCUCUUGCAUCUGCUUCAGACAUUUCUCUUCUGUAACAAUGCAAACACUACAACUCAUAGAAAGCUUCACACGCACUUGAUCAAGAUUGUUCGAAGCAAAUUCAAUUUAUAUGGUUCAUCCAAACCUUCGACUACUACAAGAUGUGGCUUGCAUCACAAUCUCUUGCUCAACAGUGUGGAAGCAAAAUUUUUAUACGUUGUCUCUCCCACAUUUUCAAAUUUCUAGUUUUCUCAAAAAAAAAAAAAAAAAAAAAAAGAGGAAAGGAAUAGCAUUACUACUUGUUAUUGGGAAAUCCCUAUAUACAUCGACCUCCCUCCUCAACGGACAAGCAAACCUGCAAAAAUGCUCAACCCUUUCUCGCAUUCGAGAAUGCACCCUCAACAUAACCUCUCGAAAUACUCAACUUUAUUUCCCCCCGAUAAUACCUCAGCAAAUAAGCCACACCAAGAACAAGAGUAUCUCAUAUCAUCAGGGUCGAAAGCAAGAGUAUCCCAUAUCAUGCUUUCUCCCUGUCCUUGUCUUCGUCCUUGUCCACACCUGCAGGACAAAGAGAAAGAGAGCAGUCAGUCGGAACCUGAAAUCAAACCUCCAAUCUGGAACUGACUGCCUGAGACCUUUGCCUGGUUGCUUACUUAGCAUUGCUCUCGAGAACUCAUCCUCAACUGCUGUCAAGGUCUUGAAUUCCACCGGCACUUACCUCAUGACAAUUGAUCAGAUAUUGGCUCUUUACACUGAAGCUGCCAAGCGUGGAUGAGUCACUAUUCUGAAGGACCAUUUAAAUGCAAAGGUUGCACACCACUUCUGCCAUGCAAAAUAUUGAAGCAGAAGGUUCAACGGUGAGCUGAAACAGAUCACUACAACACGACACAUUUCCAUACCACAUUCACUACUCCGUCAACAGCAAAAGUAUCCCAUAUCAUCAAGGUCGAACGUACUCUAGAUUUGAUGGACUUGUUUUGACCCUCACAUUCUUGAGUCGGCCUUAUACUCUGAAGGGAACCAGAAAACCCUCCAGCACAGUUCAAGAAUAAGCUUGUGGAAAGUUACUUCUUCAAAAGCAAAAGUAUCUCAUAUCAUCUAUUCUCCAUUUGCUUCUCCUUAUCCUGGCAGCUGAAUGAGAGACAAAGAGAAGGAGAACAAUCAACCGGAAGCCGAAGUCGAACCUCCGAUCCUGGGUUGCUUGCUUGGAAGUUUGACUGCUUACCUUGUCUGUCACCUCUUUCGGCAGAUCUCCUAGCUCGGCGACUUGGGGGACUCCUACUAUAGGGUUUGUAUCGCACUUGACCAAGCCCGAAACUACAAGUAAGCUUCAAGUGAAAUUGAUACAUUACCUUGUGCAUCUUCAUCGGUUAAAGAUACCACCCAUGGAUGGAGGAAAAGUACUUCUAGAGAAGAUGCCACAUCUACAUAUGAGACAGAUAAGGCACGGGAAAAUGAUACCACACUUCAGUACUUAGAAGUUUCGUGAUUACUCAAUGGCUUGGAUCUUGCAAGUCCCCAACCGAGGAGUUUCCCUCACUCGGGAACUUAGGGGAGCACUGUUUGUACCAUACUUGACCAAUCCCGAAACUACUGAGCACCGGUCAACGUUAUACCGUCAAGGACCCAGAAGAGCUUCCCUUCAACCAGGAGGCCAAUCAUAAUGCGACACGUGUCGACAUCAGAAGCCAAUCACAGCGUGACACGUGUCAACAUCAAAAGCCAAUCACAACACGACACGUGUCAAUGUUAGAACAAAACUAGAAACUCUCUUCUAUAAAUAGGGAUCAUUCUCCCACAAUAAUCUCUAAUGUCAUUUUGUACUAAACUAUUCACUAGAACUCACAAAAUGAGAGCUUGAACCUAUGUAUUUGUGUAAACCCUUCAUAAUUAAUGAGAACUCCUCUACUCCGUGGACGUAGCCGAUCUGGGUGAACCACGUACAACUUGUGUUUGCUUCCCUUUCCCUAUUCAUUUACGUACUUAUCUUCACUAGUGAUCGAAGCAACCAAGCGAAUGUCACAAACCUGACACUUUCUGUUGUACCAAAGUCCUCGCUGAUUUUGUGCAUCAACACUUGUCUAAUUCUCCUUUUUUUUGGUGAAGCAGGGAAUGUAGAAUUUCAUGCACCACUAGGAUAUUAUCCUGAAUUUGCUUCCCAUCAACAAAGGUAGAUUGAUUAUCACUAAUCACUUUCGGAAUCACCUUCUUUAGCCUAUUAGUUAACACCUUGGCAAGGAUCUUGUAUAUUACAUUGCAUAGAGUGAUGGGCCUGUAUUGCAUCAUGUUCUUAGGGCAUUUCACCUUUGGGAUGAGCACCAAGUUUGUGUGGUUUAGUUUCCGAAGAAGUGUGCCUGAGUGCCUGAAAGCUUUAACAAUCUUCACCACAUCCUCCCCCACAGCCUCCCAGUGAUCUUGGUAAAAACAUCCAGAGAAGCUGUCAGGGCUCGGGGCCCUUGUAGGUGGGAUUUGAAAAACUGACUCCGCAAUUUCGCCGUUUGUCACCGGCGCAAUCAAGGCAAGGUUGCUCUCACAAGUAACCCGAGCCUCCACACAUCUCUCAAUCUCCUCAAUUUGGCUAGGCUUACAAGACUGAAAUAACUCAUCAAAAUAGGAUGUAGCCAUAGCACAUAUCCUGUUUUCACUCUCAUGCCACACCCAUUGUGAGUCCUCUAACCCCUGGAUCUGAUUGAACCUUCGUAUUUUUAGCGUUUGCGCAUGGAAGAACUUUGUGUUCUUAUCACCCUUUCUAAGCCAUUGAAUUCUUCUAGAUUUUGCUUUCCAAUAGACCUCUUCUUCCUUGUGAACAACUCUGAGAUCCCUUUCUUUUUGUUUUACCUCUUCAGUGGCGAACCCAUUUGACUUGUAGGCCACCCUAAUCUCUUUCUUCAGUUGCUCAAUCAUUUUCUUGGAGUUCCUGCCUUUCCUUCUAUACCACGUCUUUAAACUCCUCCUGAGAGUUUUCAUUUUUUUCACAAAAUCGAAAGGCAUGAGAACCUCUGAACCUAUCUCUCCAAUCCCCUAUGACCAAUUCACGGCAUUCCUCCAUCUUACUCCAACGCGCAUCAUACCAAAAUUUCCUCCCCUUUCACUCCCGUAUCUUCUCAGUGGAGAGAAAAAGUAAGACAUGAUCGGACCCUUCUAUCACCACAUGCCUGAUUUUAGUAUCGAGGUAAAGAUCGUGCCACCCCAAGGUUGCCAGCCCACGAUCGAGUCUCUGCUGAAUUGGCAAAGACUCCCUAUUGUUCUGCCAUGUGAUAGAAUUGUGAUAGAAUUUUUUAACAUACCUUUGGUUUUGUUUACUACAAGUGUAUCUCAUUGUGAUAGAAUUGUGAUCCAAAACUGAUGCAUUCCAUAGACAAAGACAUGCCUGAUACACACCCUAUCAUCUUUAAUUUGACAUUUGUUUUCACACAUACACACAUUAUGUAUGCUUUUAAUUGUUCUGAUAUUUGUAUCAUAAUUAUAGAUUAUUUUGUUCGAAAAUGAUUUCCAACACAAUUGUUUGGUCGGAACAACAUCAUCGCAAAAAACAUAUGUCGUCUUUUGACAACUAUAUAAGUAUUUGUGACCACAUUUCCAUGUCAAAAAUAAAAUAACUUUACCAUUUUGAAAAUUCAUUUAUGACGAAAAACUAACUAUUUUGAAAAAAAGUAUUUCCAAUGAGACAAUUUCCAACGCCCAUCAAGGACUUUUUCCCGUUAGAAAUAAGUAUUUGUGAUUGCUGAUGCGUAAAAUAAGUUAACACAUAAAUUAAACCCUCUUUUUGACAAUUGUAGUAUAGAUGUAAGUAGGGUAUCGUUCUAGGCCGGGGAUUAGGAGGGAUUGCUAAUCUAUUCUAAAUUAAUUUAAAAAUAUUAAACAAGACUCAAGGACACAAAACUAGGCUAAAAACUCUAAUAACUCAAAACACACUUAGAAUGACUCAAAAUAAUGAAAACAAUCAAAUUAGACACUAGGAAUUGAAAUUGACAGAAAUUGAAUUAAAAGACUAACAACAAUGAAAACUAACUAAAUAAUAUAAUUUAAUAAUGGGGAGGGUUUGGUUUUGACGAGAAGUAAAUUAAACUUAAAUAAAUUACAGAAUUGCAAAAGCAUGAAAUUAAGGUGAAAGGAUAGGUGACGGACUAGUUAGAGGGUUCUUCUCCACACAUGACACAUAUGCAACCUAAAUUGAUUUUCAGUUGUUCUUUCAAUAAAUUGUAAAUCUCAACGCCCCAAAUUAACCGUGAAUUGCACUAAUUAACCCUCAGUUUUUCCACAAGUUAUUGGGUUGGAUGAUUGCAUACGACAACCCAAAACAUUCCCUACAAGUUCCCUACAUGAAUUGCAUAAUAGAUAUACAAGCAAGAAUCAUUAAGUUUUAUGAAAAACAUGAGCGCAUUUACUAUGACAUUUGGAAAACUUUGCCAAUUUUACUUAACGUGAUUUGACUAGCACAUUCACUCUUGGAAUAUAGUCAUAACGAUUAGGUGAAACUCCCUUAUUUUAGCGUCAAAUUCAUGCAUGUAAAUUAAGUAUGCAUUCUUUAUCGACAUACAAAAAUAAGUUAUCAAUUAACGUUUAAGCAAAUUAAAUCAAAACUCAGAAUCUCAACUGAAGAAUCAAUUCAUAUUACAAAUAUAUUCAUGGCUUGAAUUAACUUUAACCAAAAUAAAUUAUUAACAUAUUAAAACAGGAAAAAAAAUAUAAGUUUUGGAAAGAUUUACCGAGAGAGAAGCAGCUUGCUGCUUCUGUCUGCCCUCUGUUUUUUAUUUCCUUUCCCCGCACAGUUUUCUGUGGUCUCUGCCGUCUGCUCUCUCUUCUCCCUCUAUUUUCUUGCUUUUCCCGUCACGCCUGUCUUCUUUCUUCUGUCAGUCUGCCCUCACGUCUGCUCUCUCCUAUUUCUUUUUUUUUUUUCUGUUUUCUUUUUCUGCUCUGCCUUCCCGGCCUCUCUCUCUGCCCUUGACUUCUGCUAGUCUUUAUUCCCCUCUGCCUUGUGCUUCUCUCUCCGCAAGGCAGCUAAGCUGCUUUUCUCCCGCGCCUCUGUCCUCUUAUAUUUCCUUUUUCUUCUUUCCGUCAGUGUUUCUCUCUUUCCUAUUUUUCUAUUCUCCUUCUUUCCUUUUUUUAUUCCUUUUUCGCUGGCAGCUUUGCUGCCUCUUUUGCGUCCAUUAGCUUCUUCCUUCACCACAUCAUCAUGACUUAUCAUUAUUAUUUUUUUUUUAAUUUAAUUUAAAGCUGAUCUACACAGACAGUUUUACGAAUUUAUUACAUAAAUUUCACUGUUCCAUUUUUAUUUUCUUUGCAUAACAAAGCUUUAAACAACAAAAAAAAUAACGUAAUAGCUCAAAAAAUAUAAAGGAACUAACUAAGAAAAGACGGUGAAUUCAAGUAAAAAUAUAUAUAAAUAUGAAUCCGAUCAAUUGCAAAAUGUCUCUUCCCACGACAUUUGACCCUCACUAAUGACAGUUGUUUUGCAAUGGUUUAACGAAAGGUAGGAUCAAGGUUAAAUAACUGGGUUUCUAGUUUCAAGACUCCAUUUUUCUGUUGGCAUAACUUCCAAUUCAGAGCUCCGUUCUCUACAAACUUUAUAUGCUUUUAAAGUAAAAAACACAAGCUUCAAAACUAAUAUAAUAUUACACGAUGUGGUUUAGAUUUGAAUUCUCCAAAGGGAGCCUAAACUUGGUCCAACAGUGCUGUUUUUUUGUAGAUUUGGUGGAGAAGCAUAGUGUUUUUACCACGCCUAUUUCUUUCUAGAUUCCUUUCUAAUCUUCCUUACUACUAUUUGAGUGAUAUUAUUUGAGUUGUAAGAUUCCAGAAUCAGCGUACUUUCUUUAGAUAAUAUUAAUUUUGUAGUGAAGCUUUGCGGACUUGUCUCGGUGAGUGAUUUUAAUAUAUGUGAUAUAGUGACUACCCGAUUCUGUAUAUUAAUAUCAUUUGUGGAUAUGACAUGGUUUAUAAAUGUUGUUUUCUAUUAAAAUGAUUGGUUCUUUUAUAAAUUGGCCAUCGAUCUAUUUUUAUUUUAAUGUGAUUUUGAUUCAUGGAGGUAAUAUUUGUGGAAAAUGAUUCGAAUUGCAUAUUGAAAUGUUUUUGUAAUGAGGGUUAUAGUGGACUAUAACCCUGCUUGGGUUAUUACGCGUUGGGGGUCACUAGUGGUCCUGCUUGGUUUAUCUGCGUGAGGGACCAUACUAUAAUCUAUGAAGAUCGACGCUUAAUUAAAUUCCGCGUUGGGCGAUCCUUUAUGGCGAUUUAUACUUAGGGGUGAUCUUGGCUUGGUAUCCGCAUUGGGUGAUCACUACACCUAACAGUUCUGUAGGUGUGAACUCUGUUGUUAAUCCGCAUUGAAGAAUCAUUAACCUACUUGGUUAUCUUAACCUACUUGGUUAAUUCGCAUUGGGGUCACUAGUGGUCCGCUGGUAAUUCUGCAUUGGGGGACCAUUACUAUAUAUGGAUCGCGCUUAGUUAAUCCUCGUUGGAGCGAUCCUAAUGGCCAUAUAUGGCUUAGGAGUGAUCAUGCUUGGUUAAUCGCAUAGUUAUCACUUCCUAUAGUUGUAGGAGUACUCUGUUGGUAAUCUGCCAUUGGGUAUCUUCCAAAAUGUGGAGUGACUUGUUGGUAAUCCGCGGUUGGGGUCAUUGCCUACUUGGUACUUUUCUCAGGGGUGGCUCUGUUGGUUUUAACCCGGGGGUCAUUGCCCUACUUGGUUACUUUUCAGGGGUGGCUCACUUGUUAAUCCAUUUGGGGGAACUUCCUAUUUGGUACUAUGUGGCUCGGCCGAAGGCCUCAGCCCUAGUUUUAUGUACAUAGAGGAACGAUGUUUGCUCUAUUGGGUCGCGCUCAUUGUUUGAUGGGAAAAGUGAUGUCGGGUGACUCCUUCAGGCGGUUAGAGACUAUUAUUUUUCAUAUUUACAACUUAUUUAGGUUUACAAACUGUAUCAAUGGUCUUUCUUUUUUAUUGAUAUAUCACAUAUUGUAUCAUGUCAUUCUGCGAUCAGUAUCCGAGUUUCUUUAGGGCAUAUGUAUGAGAAACCGUUGAUAUUUGGCCGUUUGGUAGUUCGAACCCAGUGUUUUGGAAUUCGUUGGAGCUGGUCUGGAACCUUGCUCUACUCAUUCCAAAGGUUAUCUUGAAUCUGUUCGUUAAUUGGAAUCAUCCACAUUAUCUUUGCAAAUGUUUGUUUAUAUUCAUAAUCCAAGAUUAAUUAUAUUGACUCUUAAUAAAUUGUGAAAUGAUAUGUAUUCGCUGUGAUUAAUAAUUAAAUCAGAUGUGCAUCUUUGUUCAUAAAUGAUAAAUAACGAUGUGAAUACUGGAUAUAGUUUAUUAGAUUAUUUUAGUUGAUCAAUGUUCUAGUGAAAUAUGUGCCUGAUUUCAUGCGCACAUGAAUAGUUAUUUGGAACUGAUGAUUUAUGUGAUGGGCAUCCGUAUGUUAAGUGUUGUUACAAAAUUAGCUCUUGAACAGUAAUAAGUAAAUCUGCAAAACGCUCAGACACAAGAACCUUGAACCGAUUUAUCUUCACACGUGAGGCUAGACCAUUAGUGAUUUGUUUCCUGUAUUGUUUGGAUACAAUGUUGAGGUAACUUAGGAGGAAAGAGGGAGAAAGCUCUUGGGGAAGCCAAGGGGCUUGUUUCAAUCUAGCCUAGAAUGAGGAUAAUUUUUGUUAGGGACCCUUUAUCAUAAUGGUCGAGAUUUAUUUGAUGGCUUUUGUGAGCCCAAAUAGAAGCCCAGGCUAAAUACGAGGCUAAUAAUGGACCACAGAUCCCCAAGUCUUUUCCAUGAUUUCUUGGCGAGACUUCAAAUUCUAUGUACGGGCCGAAACGGUAGGGCUGUGAAUAGUACUUGUAGAGUAUGCUCAACAUAAUUACUCGGUAAGUAACAAAUUACGAAUAUGCUGGAGGGACUUUGCGAUCUCUCGGAGGUGUCGCGGGCGAAGUCAUUUGGGGUGAGGCGAUCUCAUUGCGAGGCGCGCUCGGCGACCAUGCUCGCUGCGAGGGCGGCUCGCUCAUGGUUCUAUUGCUUUUCUACUUUAUGCAACAGCACUCGUUGAGUGAUUCUUGACAUGAACUCGAGGAUCGCAUCGUUCAAAUUGCUAUAUGUUCAGAUCUGCGGAUCAGGUCCGCAAGUGUGUUGGAAUUGUGUCAUACGUAUGCAUCAAGUGGAAAUGAUGAGGGUUGAGUUGGCGGAAUAGGUGUCCCAAAACGAAUGUCCGGUCAACAGAGAAUUCAAAUGAGCAGUGCUGCCUCACAAACUAUAAGUUGGUAGACUUGUUAUAGUUCAACCUUAAUUCAGCCUAGUUUUCAAUAAUUCCUGACAAUAAAUGACAGUAUAAGUCACCGUAUAAUGAAUAAUCGAAUUGACCAAUUUGCAAAAAGAAUUAUUGUACGAUGUUGCCUACUACAAAUGAUAUUAUUAGUUGUGGGUAAAUCACACUUGCUAAAAAUAAAUUAGCUAAACACUGCAAUGAUAAAAGUUUGCACAAAAAGCUUACUUAAAAUAUCGAUCCGACUAGGUAGUUGAUUGGUUAUAUCUUUAUUAUAUUACUUUGAAAGUGUGUAAAUUAUGCCAACUGACUAUUUUGUUCAAGUAAAGUGGGACUAAUGAACGUCAGCCGUCUGCGCAAACUGAAAUUGAAUUUAAAGACAUAAUAAAAAAAAUUAAAUUUGACCAUCAAUCAUACACGUAUACAUCUUUCACUCUGACUAAAAAUCUGGUGGAUGUACAUAUAGAGAUUAUAAGGAAUAAAAGAAAAAUAAAAUUAACUCUAUCCAAUUUUGUCAAUGAUUAAACGGCAAAUUCACACACCUGAAAAUUAAAAUGAGAAAAACCAAAAUCAGAACUUCCGAGCACUUUCAAUGAGAAGCAUUGGGAUUUGAACCAUCAUAAUAUGUGGUUCAUAAUACUUGACAUCUAUUACUACCUCACUACAUUUGUCAAAAUUGCAUACACCAACAUGAGAUAUCCAUGCUAAUUGUAUCUGACACUUAUCUACAUAAAUGAUAAAACAUAUGGCAAAACCAGAUUUAUUCUUAAGCACACAUUAAGCUGAGCAUGGAAAGGCUUUGGUUUCUCAAACAUAAUAGAAAUAAAAUAAGAACCGUUGGAAAAUUUGGCAAUGAUUGGUUAAAAAACAAUUUAAAAUUACUUUUGAUAUGACUUGGUUGAUUCUAACACUAUUUGUUUCCAGAUGAAUUAAACAAGGCUUAAAAGAAACAUGCCAAAUCAGUGAGAACUAUUAAUUAGAAAAUCUACUUUGCAAUUUAUUCAUAACCUUUUCCAUCACAGAACAUUCAAAUUUUUCAACAGAACAUGGAUUCUAUAAUGUUGGUUAAAGAAUAGGUUGGAGCAUACCUCGUAGUUUGUGCAAGCUAGAAUCACAUUGUUAUAACACAAUGAAAAAAUUGGGGUCAAACCUGUUAUGAAACAACAUUUUAAUUAAACGAAUGAACGUGGAAAUGAGCUGGUUAAAGUAUGUUCAUUUUUUAGCUAGAUACAGGUGACAUAAUGGAUGUUUGUUAAAAUUAUCGACAUCACAGAUAUGCACAUAAUGAGGAGUGGUAACAUACCUUGUUAUUUUUGGAAGCGAGAGAGAUGUAGAAUGUCAAUAGUGACAUAAAUUUAUUGUCAGAGAUUUUAAAAACUACAGGAAAGUUGUAAUCACAUGAUACUGUAAUUAAAUGAGAGAAAUCCAUAGUGUGUAGAGAAGGAAAAAAAAAAAUUUGUACACAGCAAGUUCAUAGAAAGACCUAUCGGUUAAAAACGAGAAAUAACGAAAAAAAGAAAAUUAUCAUUAGGAAAUUAGGGCAAAAUCUUGGUCAGGCAACGUAAGGAGUUAGGUUUUAGAGGAGCCAUCAUUGUUCAACAUUGGUUUAAAGGUGUUUCAACGCAGAAAAAAAUGUAGAGGGAUAUAAAUGUAACAGAAAAGUAACCAAAGUAAGUAGCACUAUUUACAAUGAACUGAAAAUGUGAAACAUGUUGUAGAAAGCGAUGCAAGUGAAUCAUAUUUUUUUUUUAAAUUGUAAAAAUAGCAACAAAUGAUGUUCAGAGAUGGAUCAUAUAUGCCUUAUUUAGUGUCUUUGUGGUAUACAGAGAUAUGAAUCCGUGAGUUGUUUGUGGUUUGAUUUUUAGCAGCAUCAUCAUGUCCAUGUUUUCUCUUCAGAUGAACUGAUUGUUACCAAUAUAUAAACAAACAGUUUCUUCUUUUCACCUGUUGUAAAUAGAUUGUAAACUACCUAGUUAUUCAUUUAAGGACUUAAGAUGGACAUCCAAAAGUAUGAAUCUACAUGUUUUAAUCAUAGAUAUAUUUCGCCAGUAUCCUUUGAUUGAGGAGAAGAAGAUAAUAUGAAUUGUACAAUUGUUUAACCUAUCGAACUAAUAAUAAGAAUGUUGGAUAGAUAGAUUUAACAAUUUUGGUUGCAACAUCUUUGAUAAUACCUUUGGAUGUCCAACUAAAUCCAUUUAUGGGUAAGGAAGUAGUUAAUCAUGUAUUAAGACCAGGUGAAAAGCAGACAUUGAAGAUGUACGUCAGUAAUAACCAGUUCCUCGGAAGAGAAGGGUUAGCAAAAACUUAAUUUAAGCGGCAAACAUAUAUGGAAAAAGCAAUAAAUUAUAAUUUUUUAAAUAAACUACUGAUUGUUACAGGAAUGUACCUCCAUAUGAAACAAAGUAGGUGAUCAACUGUGCAAGCAAGCGAGAUUCAACAGGCUGAUUACCUAGUUUGUAGAAAAAAAAGAGAUUAGCAUUAACAUGUUUUUAAGUAAAUGUAGUAUUUUUAUACACAUUUUAUAAAUUUAAAUCCAGACGGUUACAUAAUCACAAAGAAAGUAUAGCAAAUGUCGACAAUGUACAUGUAUUGUUCAAGCAAGGAUUCAAUAAUUUAAAAACAUAACGUUUUCGUUGCAUAAUAUCAUUAAUAAAGAAAUUUAUUGAAUAAUUGAAUAAGAAAUACAAAAAUGCUUUAAGAAAACAGGAAAAAUUCAAAGAGAGUAUAUCAAUGUGGAGACAAAAAAUGGAAGAAAAUUUAAACAGUGUUUCUAUGCAUAUAUGAAACAGUGUAACACAUUAUAAAGUUGGAAUAAUACAAAAGAAUCUAUAAUGUGGGCAAAGUUAAAAAAAAUAGUUGUAUUAAAACAUACCCAAGUUUAAUGUUUGUUUUGUACAUUAUCUUUGGCUUGCUUAUAUAAUUCAUUGUGUAUAGACAAAACGUAGGUAAGCAUAACAGUUAACAGUUUCACUGUAAAUUUUGAAGGACAUCUUUAAAGACUAUAUUUGCAGUAUAAUUUUUUACAUCAUUUUCUCCAUGAGAUAUUAAAAUUUUGAGACCUUUUCUUGAUGUUACUCUAGAUAAUGCAACGUAUAGCUGACCAUGGUUAAAAACUGGCUCAAGAAGAUAUAAUCCUACUUGUCUCAAAGAUUGUUCUCAAUGACUGAAGGUGAUGGUAUACAGUUGAUUGACUCGUUUCGGAUGAAGACAACUGUGAACAUUUCUAAGCCAAAAGCUGUUGUGAUGUUUGUUAGAGAGAUUUUCCCAUCAAAUCUCUCUGACACAGCGGAAACAGACUGCACGUGCUGCCUCUUCCGUUCUGAUUCAUUAUCUGCAAAAUAUGCAUCUAUCGAACACCAGAAGUCUAACUAUAGAACAUUAUCUUAACGGAAAACAGAAACUACAAAAUUUGAACUUUGAUCUAAAAGUUAUUCAUUAAUUUCUUUAUAUCUUUUGAAUAAGAAAUUAUUGCAUAAAUGAAUGUAUCCUGUUCACCACAGAUUAGUAAUCAAUUCUAAUUUGGUCUAUAUAUAUAUAUAUAUAUAUAUAUAUAUAUAUAUAUAUAUAUAUAUAUAUAUAUGUAUGUAUAUGUAUAUGUAUAUGUUGCCAUUGUCCUAACAAAUGAAUCUCUUAAAACUCGAUAUGGAGCAUUCUUCUCUUCCCAUGUUUGUAGGAUAUAUUACAUGGAGAUGACCUUCUCUGGCAAUUCUAUAGGACGUGAUCAAACUUUUGUGCGUUUUCCUCCGUGAUUUGUUUCCUUUGACUAUCUUAAAUGUAUAAGAAAGAUUGAAAAAGAUAAAUGUAUAUUAGAUAAAAGCUUGAUGAAACGUAAGAAAAAAAUACAUGUCCAUCCGAACUCCAUCUUAUAUAGUUAAUAGAUACAUAUGAAUCAUUUCCCAAAGCUUCAUGAAAUAAUGACAUGCUUAAGUUUCCUAUCAUGUCAGUAAGAGUAAUUUAAUCUAGAAGAAGACCCACCUUUAAGGCCAUUGAGCAUGCUUCAAGAUCGCACACUAAAAUUCUUCGAAACCAAUUUUGUCAUGGAACUAACAUCUCACAAUCCUUUGGCCUUUCUCCAACGUCAAUUUCAAUGUUGCAUGAAAAAAGAUCAGUACUUUCCAUAAUUAUAUCUUAAAAGUUCAUAAUAAUAAAAAUCAGAAAUGAUACGCACCUUGUCACUCUUCCAAUGACUUCACUGAUGGCAUAGUCAUUAAGUAUCCAAUCACAUCUAGUGCCAAUUCUCCCUUCCCCUUGGCACGGUGUUUCUAUUUCAAUGACAUCACUCCUGUCCCACAAACCCACAUUUUAAGUUUUUUCAAGAUUAGAAAUCAAAACCAAGGUUGCUGUUUAUUUCGUUAGAUCAUGUUCUAAAAAUUUAGCUGUAUAAUGCCUCAUCCCUUAGCAAAGUUGAGAGAAAAGCUUUUCCAACAAAAAAGUAACGUCUUCUUGACAAUCAUGACUACCUAACCACAAUGCUCACUGUCCAAUCAACUGAGAAAACAGAAGGGUCCAAUGGAGGUGUUCCUUUCUCUGCUCAUCAUCCCAGAUCUCUUUAAGUGUCGUUUCAUGGUGCAUCUCAGAAAGAUAUCAAUCACAAAAGGCCAAACAUAACUAUUACCCGAAAAAAAAAAACAUAAAAAAAAGCCUCACCUCUGUAUGCCUAUCUGAAUAAUUCCCACAUAGAGGCACAUUAAGAUCAUCCGGCUCCGCCGUCUCCAAAUUCUCUUAUCUUUUUCCUCCUGAUGAAGCCGUUUCCUCAAAGUUCUCGACGUCAUGGCGCUUGCUAAUCCUAUAUAAUCAGACUGCAUUUCCAAACAAAUCAUCUCAUCAGUCACGUUGUUAUGAGCCAAAUGCAGCAUCUUUCACACACUGGUAAACAAACCAAUACCAGAUUCUCUCGAAACUUAAAUUAAAACUAACACACACAUAUGCAUAAGCACAUUACUUACACUCUAACCACUAAAUAAGUGCAAUUUAACACUAAUCCACAACUGCUUACAGUCCCGUAGCUAACAAUAUAUACACAUACAUAUCUAUAUGCACAGAAACAUGAAGAUUUCAGAAAAUGAAACAUAAAAACAAAGAUGGACAAUGUAGGACAGUGUAGGACAAAGUUUUGGUAGCUGGGUGAAAACAAAAACAACCACUAAUACAAUCAAGUAAAAUAAAUGCAAACCAAGAACAUGUAGAAGUAUAUAAAUGCAGAAAAGAAAACAAACCUCUUGUAGAAGUGAUGAGAAGGAAUGAAAAACCAGAACACCACCUGUUCAAAAAUACAAAAAUGAAAAGAAAAAAAAUCAGUCUUCAAAACUCUGUGCAAAAUAGUGAAUUUGUGUUAUCAUCAUAUUAUCCUCACCAUUAUCAUUAUCACUACCCUCCUGCAAUUCCUUGUUCUCCGAUUUCAAAUCACUCUAAUUCUCAUCCCAGUACUUCUAUAAUUCUCAAAUCACAAAAUUCCAGUAAGAGUAUGCCGAAACACAAAAUCAAAAUUCAAUUUCAUUUUGCACAAAGCAACUUAAAGAUUGAGACUUUUAUUUACUUCUACAAUUAUACACACUUUUGAGCCCUAAAUUUUCCCGGAAACAAAAGAAAGUGAAAGAAGUCAUACCUGGUUCGAGAGGGCUUGCAAGCUUCUAUACAAAAACCCUAAAAUUUGAACAACAACGUUUCCUGAAAUAAAAAACUAAAUCAGAUCAAACACCCACACACAAAAUACCAAAAAACAACAGAAUACUCAAUACAAAAAGGCAAAGGCUUGAAUUUUAUACUAAUCUAUUUGGAAAUUUUCUUCUUAACCAAACAAAUGAUCAAGAAGUUAAUGAAGCAAAGCACCUGAAACGCAUGAUUGGUUCCUGGAAAACGGCGGAGAGAAAUAGAGAGAGUACGUUUUUAGAUGAUCGGAUUGGAUUUGAGGCAAGAGAGGGAGAGAAAGAGAGAGGAAGAGAAGCAGAAAGGCGAUGGAACAAAAUGGAAGACGCUGGAAGGGUCUUCCUUACCAACAACGAUGACACGCGGAGACUACGUGCAAAGGGUAGCCAAAACAUCCACCGAUGACGGACACGUGGAAUCAAUGGGCAUAAGCGGCAUUUCAGUGCCCCAAAAACCAAAGAGAGGAACAAUCGGAGGAAAAAGCCAGGGACAAAAGCGUCCCACCACUGGUCAUCCACAGUACUACCCUGAUUGGGUUUUAGUAUAUAGUGAUAUAUUGAUCAGUUCGAUGCAUGUGUUUAGCACAUGCGAGUUAUGAUCAUUUACAAUGAUUAAGUACUGACUUUCUGUCAGCACAAUACAUUUAAUAUGGUGUUACAUGGCAUAUAAGUGAUGCAUUUGUAUUGCACUACGCAUACUGAUAUUGGUAUGUGCAUAGCAGACUUAAGUUUACAACAGCAUUAUUUAAUAAAAGCACAAGCACGCGGCAUAUGCGGUUGCAUUCUAGCAACAAGUAUAUAUAUAUAUAUAUACUGUUGUGAUGCCAACUAUCAUUAUAUACUAAUAAUGCUUUCUAGCAACAAGCACGGCAUAUACUAAUAAUGUUUUUGUGAUGCCAACUAUCAUUAUAUAUAUAUAUAUAUAUAUAUACAUAUAUUAAUUAUGCUUUUGUGAGUGCCGAUUAUAAUGAAAUACUAUUGAUAAAGAACGAAGAUGCCUUAUCUUUAUCCCGACAUUGGCGGUCGACAGGAAAAAGUGGAUGGAGACCUAACGCUUUUUGUUGUUGUCCAAGCCCUUUUGAUGAUGAUUAUCAUCCAUUGGAAUAUCCUGCUGUAACAAACUCAAUUGGAGUGGAGCAUAGUGGCGGGGCCCAAAUAAGGCUCAGGGUUCCACUAAUAGUUAGGGCAGGAUGUGCAGAGGUGAGGUAAGUGGAGAAAGCAGGGACGGAGUACUGGCAUGGUCUUGGAGACAGGUUGGACGAAAUAGUUGUUGACCCAGUCAUUGCCUCCGAGAGUUAUGAGCACAAGUGACUGUUCACUAGCCGUGUUACCUGUUCUGCUCCAACAAGCGCAGUCAGUCGUUGCUGGUAUUGUUGGAACAAUUCAAACUGCCUGAAGAUCCUGAUAAUAGUAAGCAGGAAGAGGAGGAGGCCCAGAUAUGAUGGCGCCAUGAUCUGGUGGGCGAUGCAAGCCUUGGAAACAUAGACCUGCUUGAUAAUAUGCUCAUGAGGUCACCAACAUAGACCACCGGAUCGUGAACCAAUCGGUUCUCUCGAAAAACUUGCAAACCAUCGAUGUUGAUCUGGUGGGCGAUGGAAACGAGGCUCGUACCAGUUAGGGGAAUAAGGUUUGGGGCCCGAUCCGGAUCCGGACAAGAUGGGUAAGAGUCGAGCCGUGAAUGAACAGCGUUGUAGGACAGUGGGCUGACCAGGAUGCAUCUUGGAAGAUCAGCGCUCCUCAGAGGCCAGCGUUGUAGGACAGUGGGUUGACCCGUGAAUGAACUUCUAACCAACUCUAGGACAGUCGAUGACUUUUAAGUUGCCGUCCUGGUCUAGGAGAAAGUUCUCCGGCUUCAGAUCCCGGUGGUAACGUCGCGGCUGUGGCAGGAAUCUAUGGCGGAGAUGAGCUGCCGGAAUCUCUGGCAAUUUCUUCCCUUAGCCGGCCCUUGACGAUUUUGGCAAAAGAGCUCGUCGCUGCAGACCAGAUCCAUAGCGAAGUCAUGACGAAGAUCUCCCUUUUGAUCUGUUCCACCAUCCCCACCCUAAUCACCUUCUUUUUCCCCCACAACUUUCAUUGCCACGUUGUUCUCGCUCUGUAGGUGGUGGGCGUGGUAGACCUUGGUGAAGGUCUAAGCUCUUCCAACACAUGAGAAGCAGAAGGGAACUUUUGGGAGCAAAUAUCUAGGUCUUUAUUUAUUUAUUUUUGUUUAGCUUGUAUAAUCUAGAGGUCGCACUUUGUGCGAUGGCAAGUGCCUUCGCCCAUGAGCGGUAGGUCUCGGGUUCGAGACUUGGGAGCAGCCUCUCCAUAAAUGGGGGUAAGGCUAGCCGACAUUCACCUCUCCCAGACCCUGCGUAAAGCGGGAGCCUUGUGCACUGGGUACGACCUUUUUUUUUAGCUUGUAUAAUCUGCGUUUGCAGAAACUGAGAGAUGAAGUAUGGAGUGAGGGAGGGGAAAAGUAGAAGGCUUAAAAUGCAGAUACCAGAAAGAAAUAUAGAAAUAGUGAGAUAGAUAGAGUUUUCAGUCACUCCGUAGGUGUUUGGUUUCUUGGGUUUUGCAGAUUCACAGUGGAUAUUGUGGUGAGGUUUCAUGGUGGUGAGAUGAAAAAAUGAAAGAGAACCGACAUAGCUUUUCGUGUCGAUUCCCACAGACGGCGCCAAAUGUUGAUGCACAAAAUCAGCGAGGAUUUUGGUACAACAGAAAGUGUCAGGUUUGUGACCUUCGCUUGGUUGCUUUGAUCACUAGUGAAGAUAAGUACGUAAAUGAAUAGGGACAGGGAAGCAAACACAAGAUGUACGUGGUUCACCCAGAUCGGCUACGUCCACGGAGUAGAGGAGUUCUCAUUAAUUGUGAAGGGUUUACACAAAUACAUAGGUUCAAGCUCUCAUUUUGUGAGUUCUAGUGAAUAGUUUAGUACAAAAUGACAUUAGAGAUUAUUGUGGGAGAAUGAUCCCUAUUUAUAGAGGAGAGUUUCUAGUUUUGUUCUAACAUCGACACGUGUCGUGUUGUGAUUGGCUUCUGAUGUUGACACGUGUCGAGCUGUGAUUAGCUUCUGAUGUCGACACGUGUCGCAUUGUGAUUGGCCUCUUGGUUGAAGGGAAGCUCUUCUAGGUCAUUGACGGUAUAACGUUGACCGGUGCUCAGUAGUUUCGGGAUUGGUCAAGUAUGGUACAAACGUUGAGGUCUUUUCAUUCGGUUGGAUCUGGCCUCCACUCCCUACUUGCUGAUAAGGGGUGACUGUAGGGGGUUUCCCUUGAUAUGUCCUUACCUCGGCGGAGGCAUGGUUGUAAGCUUGUGUCAUCACCUCAGAGUAAGUCUUCCAAGUGUUGGCAUUGAUCAUGUACUUGAAGAAACAGUCACGUAAGCCUGCAGUGAAAGCCUUGAGGGCGGUCUUGUCAUCUGCCUCAGCGCAGCGAGAAUACUCAUGGCUGAAGCGGCCAGCGUACUUUCGUAAUGACUCGUCCGGCUUCUGGCGAAUAGUGUACAAGUCAUCUGCGGAAUGCAAGCGAUCGGUCUGGAAGAUGUGUUGAGAGACAAACAGCUUUCUCAACUCUUCAAAUGAGUCUACUGUCUCAGGUGGAAGAUAGCAAUACCAGUUUAAAGCUCCGCCAGAGAGGGUGGAGGGGAAGAGAAGGCACCGUUCUUCGUCGGUGUGUCCCCGGUAUACCAUGGUGGACUCAAAGAGGUUAAGGUGUUCAAUCGGGUCUUCCCUUCCAGUAUAGAGCUGUAAGUCAAGCUUCUGCUUUGUCUUCGCUUGGAGGGGAGUGUUGAGGAUCCUUCUUGUGAGAGGGCCAGGCCUGGGUUGGUUCCAGUCAGGUAUCUCGGCUUGACGUUCAGCCUUCAACUUGUUUACUUCCUCAAGGAGCUGUAGGACAAAGGGGUCCUGAGCGGAGUCGUGCACCACCGAAGUUUUCUUCUUUAAGUCCCCAUCGCCUCUUGGAAGUAGGAAAGUUUGAUCAAGAUAGCGUGAUCUUUCUCUGGACUCGCCACACUGACUUCUAGAGUGAGUAUGUCGGAAUGUUUCCGAGUCCCCAGUACCUUCAUAUUCUUCUGGGACUUGUUGCCCCUUCUCUAGAUUGGCGGCUGGCCUGGGUCGUGGAAGAGGACCGAGUCUUUCAGAAACCCUUGGGUCAUUGAUCUUCGAGCUUAUGUGGAUGGGAUUCUCUCGACGUUGCUUUAGGAAGUCUCGACAAUCGCGAUAGACAGCUUUUGAUCCUUCCACACCCUCUGUGAGGAGGUGUUUUCCUCUACUUCUCCUGCUUCAGGUUGAAGCAGCUGGGUUGAGAGAAGUCUCAUGUUGAUUAUCACAUUGGUGUGUAGCUCGAUCCCUAUCAAGGAUGUCCGUGUCGGAUAUCGGCGACCCUCCGUGUUGGGGGGCAUUCAGUUGAUUGUUGACCUCGACAGGGGGCGACGAGCUUAUGUGUUUGAGCCUGCCUAGCCUCGUGAAGCAUCUCGAAAAGUUUUUCAUAUUUUUCCUGGAGGACUUAAUUCUUCAUCGCUAUCUUGUUGUUCUGAACCUCUAGCUCAUCGACUUUAGCUUGAAGAGUAACUCUAUUUCCUUCCUGCUUUCGUUGCUUCAUACUAGGUCCAGCAGGGGUGUCAUUCUGUGUGCUGUGGCUUCUUUCGCUCCCCAUAUCGGAGAGAGAUGCUUGGCCAAAAGAGAGUGUACGAGCGGUGGAAACCAGCUUGACAAAGCUGAAGAGAGUGGGAAUAAGUGUCGUUUCCCACAGACGGCGCCAAAUGUUGAUGCACAAAAUCGGGGCGGUCUUGGAACAACGUAAAUUCGACCGUGAAUCUGCACAAACGCUCAAGAACACAAAGAACACAAGGAUUUUAUCGUGGUUCACCACAAUGUUUGGGCUACGUCCACACUGUAGUUGAUUCCGUUUCUCUGUAAUUGUAUGGAUACAAGUGUUUGAGGGGAAGUCCCCAGAGAGAGAAAAGAAGGGAGAGGAGAGCCUCGGUGGUGUGAGGACUCUCUCUCAAGGCUUCUAGCCUUUGUUUUCAGCUCUAGCCCUUAGAAAUGAGGACUUAAGACCUUUUUUUAGAAUGAGGGGGAGUCCCCUUUUAUAGAAUAAGGGGCUCCUCCUCUUUUACAUUUGUCGUGGGCUUAAUGUGUGAGGCCCAAAUACGAAGCCCAAGGCCCAAAUACGAGGCCCAAAUAUAUGGUACCAACAAUCGUCAUGUGGGAUUGUUAUGUUGGAUAUCAUUGUUACAGUUAUGAUUAGACUUGUUGAUAAAUAUGGCUAGAAAGUAUGUUGUGCUUCGUCGUUUGUUCUUUGAAAUAUUGCAUGAUAUGCAUUGUGGUAUAUUAUUGGGACAUAACGAUUUAUGUGAUGAAUAUUCGAGUAUAGUGAAAUAAUGAACUACGAAUGACUUGAUCCUUAUUUAGGGUACGUAGGCAAUCUAACGAGGAUGUUAGAUGCAGCCAUAAAGUUACGAAGAAUUAUUACGCAUUUGAUUAUCAAGUUGUGAUUUGCCAUAUUCCAGAGGCGGGAUCUGUUAAAUAUACGGAUGCUAGGUGACGUCACGUGUCGAUCAAAUGUCGGGUUCCGGGCGUGACAAAUUUUAUACGAUACAUUUUACAUAUAAAAAGUUGGUACAUUUUGCAGAAAAAAGGGUAAUACAUUUUCUAUAAUGGUUACAUGUCAUAUAAAAAAACAAUAGGUACAUUUUACACAAAAGAGAUGAUAUGUGACCACCCAUCCCUAUUUUGUUGCAUUUUAUAUUUUUAUAAAAUGUUUUUCGGAUAUUUUCACUCGUCUUUAGUGAUCUUAAUUUAAAAUUCAGAGAGGACCCACAUGUCUUCUCCUGUUCUUUUCCGCGUGAAUCUCUCUUUCCUAUCUCUUUCCUUUUUCUUCUCAAUUAUUUUCACACACUCUCUCUCUCAAUUAUUUUCCACAUCUCUCUCCUUCACACACUCUCUCUCAUCUUCUCUCUUCUUCUCCCUCAAACCGAAGCUCUCACUUCUCCUCUGCAACCUAAGACAAAUCACCAAAGUCGACGAACCGACGUUCAAAUUACCACCAUCGUACUCCUUUCAUCCUCACGAACUCAACCAUAUAAACGGAAUCAAGAACAAGUGAGUUUUGGACGUCGAACUCGGAGGCUCCGACUCGGUUCGAAAUUUUCCCGACGAAUAUCCGGGCCAGUUACAACGUUUUAGAAGGUUUAGAAGUCACCACACGACUCCCCAAGGUCCGUAGUACAAGUUUGAAGACAAGCUAAUGUGAAAAAGCACGAGUUCAGAAAAUUAAAGUUUGUGCCGUGCGCUUCGAAGCCAUUUUCAAUCGAUUUUCAUCCACUUUUUGGAAUUUUAAAAGGUAUAGACUUGUUCUACUCUUCAUAAGCUUCAAUUCCAUAUAAGUUACGUCGAAAAUGGUUGAGAAAUGAGCAAGAUAUGAAUUUUUGAAAAUUUUCCAGUUUUUCCUGCGGACCGCCGAGGGAGGUUGACCGGAGAAGAAGAAGGAAUAUUCCGUUAAAGUUAACGGAAUAUUCUGACACUUUUAAGGUAAUUGAUGCUGUUAUUGUUAACAAAAUAUUCUGUUAAAUUUGACGGAAUAUUCCGCUGGCGUCAGCCACAUGUCAGGCUCGUGGCGGCACGUGAUCUUGGCUGCGAGUGAUUGACACGUACGGGUCCAUGACGUCGCGUAGAAUGUUUAAACUCUCGGUUUGAGCAAAAUAUAAGGGGUUUUUCCUAGUAUUUUGUAUAUGUGUUAAUUAAUUAGUUAUUAAAGUUAAUUCUUUUUAUAGGAAUUAAUUAUUCCGGUGACGUACGAGGUCAAACAAGGCAAGGAAAGCUACGAUCCGACUACAUAUUUGUGAGUGGGCAUUUGUUUUUAUAUAUUAUAUAUAAAGUUUUAUAAUUUCCACAUAUGCUUUUAAGAAUUAAUAUUAUGCCUAUUAUGCCAUAAUUUAAUUCGAUAAACUAUGAUAUUAUAUGAUUGAGAUAUAGGAAUUGUCAUGGCAAAAUCAUAUGUUACUACUCAAGCAUGCUACACAGGUGUAAGUACUAGCCCCACAUUAAAUGGUUACAUCACCUUUGGAUGUCAUGUCUUUGACUCCGUCAGGGUGUGUCAUGGUACUUACAAAAAAAUGGGUACAUUUUACAUAUAACAAAGUGGUAGAUUUUUAAAGACAAAUGGGUACAUUAUUAAUAAAUUAUGGGUACAAAUAAAAGGUCAAAAAAUAUGAGUACAAAUAAAAUUUGAAAAAUAUGGACAUAAAAAGAAAUUAAUAUAUGAGUACAAACUAAAAAUAAAUAGAAAAUUGGCACAAUUUAAAAAAAGGGUUGCAAAUUAAAAUGGGUACAAACUAAAAAUAAAAAUAUAUGAUACAAAAUUUAACUAUAAAUAUAAAUAUAUCAAAUGUAACAUUUCUAACACUAAAUGAAUAAUUUAGAAAUAAAAUUUAAUUAUCUUGAUAUGUAAAAUAUUUUAUUAUUGAAAUAAUUAAUGAUGUUUAUUAAAAUCAAGGAACCUUAAUUAAAAAUUAAAUUGUAAUAAGAUUUCAAUCAAUGAGGUUGAAAAAAAGAGAGAAAUCUAAUUUCUUUUUUAUUUUUAUUUUUAUAUUUUAUUUUUAGUGUUGUUAGGUGAGUUAACAGAGUUUAAAGGGUAGUUAGUGGUAAAACAGGCGUCAAGAUAUGAGAGAGGUCACACAAAAUUUUGAAUGCAAAAGAUUUGAAUUUCGGAAGGAAGGUGAGGUGAGUGGGAUAAUAAAAGUAACGCGCUUGGAAAUUGGUUUGGUCACUUCUCUCUCUUAAACACUAGUGUUUGUACCCGACCCCAGCAUUCUCCCAACCCCCCCCCCCCAGCUUUUAAACCUUUAUUUCGGAAAAGGAUUCCCACGGGAUCCUCUUUACGAGGAUCAAGCAAUUUUAUUAUUGAGUGAUCAUAAAUUAUUUAAAAUUUAAAAUUACAAUAAAUAGUAUAUAACGAAAACUAAUCGUAUAAUAUACGAUAAACGAAUAUAAUUGUUUGAUCUCCGAGAUUCUUACAAAAAGAAAUCGACGGAAAUCAUUUUUCCUUUAUUUCUUUUAUUUGGCCGUCUCUUAGUGCGCAGAGGGAGGUCCCAUCCCACGUGUCCCUUUUAUCACCAUUUACCAUUGUCCUCCACGCACUAGCAAACUUCCUUGAUCUGGAGGAAAUUCCACCUUUCUCUUUUUUAAGUCCUCCACUAGGGAUAUAAUUAUAAGAAAAAUUAAUAAAAAAAAUUUGAAAGAGUUUUAACGAUAAAGAUAAAAUAAAAAAUGAAAUAAAUAAUGUCAAAAUUAAAUUUUUAAUGUAAAAACAUAAUUUUUAAUUAAAAUAAACAGCACCAUAAAUUUUUCGUUAAAAUUUCUAUAUUAUAAACUCUCUUCCGUUUGAAUGCAGAUUGUUUCUGCGCUGAAAGUGUGCGCAAUUUCGUCUGUAUAUUUUUUAUUGUUUAAUCUCUGAUGAUUUUCUUGGAACAUGCGUAUAUUUUUUAUUGAAAGAUGCUUUACAGAAAGUGCUUUUGGACAAACUUUCCUUUAAUUAAGCAUAUUUAAAAGAAAAUUUUAAAGUAGCAUCAUUAUCAAUUAUAAAGUAUUUUUAAGUAUGUGAAAGUGACUAAUCCUUGUUUCUCCAAAUUUUCAAUUUUUGUUCUCCAUGGAGCCUUUGUAACUUUGUGCACAGACUACAAUUUCAAUUUUUCUGUGGUAAACUCUAAUCUAGUCUCAGGUGCGACUGUAGUUCAGAUUCUCCUUCUGCUAUCUGAUCCAUGAAAUAGAGAGAUGGAGUUGAUUGGCCUCAUUCAAGUUUUCAACAUCAUCGUCAUCGCCAUCGGGACUCUGUUUUACAUGUGCUGCAGAUCUUUGACAUUUUCUUCUUCUUCGUCUUCUGCGGUUAAUUCUGCUGUAGCUGAUUGUGCUGCUGUUGCUGAUGAUGAGGAUGAGGAUGCUGAUAUCCCCCCACGUCGAGAAAAGUAUGAUGUGUUUAUCAGUUUCAGAGGUGAGGACACCCGCCUUGGUAUUACCAGCCAUCUUCGUGCUGCCUUACUUCAGAAGAAAUUGGAAACAUACAUCGAUAACAGACUAAAGAGAGGAGAAGAAAUCAGACCUGCCCUUCUAGAAGCAAUCGAGAAAUCCACCAUUUCGGUGAUCAUUUUCUCACAAAACUAUGCUUCUUCCACAUGGUGUUUGGAUGAGCUUGAGCAUAUACUCGAAUGCAAGGAAAGAUAUGGCCAGAUGGUUAUACCCAUAUUCUUCGACAUCAAUCCAUCUCAUGUACGAAACCAACACGGGAGUUAUGCGGAUGCAUUUGCUCAACUUGAAAAGCGUUUCCAUAACAGUAUCCACAAGGUGCACAAGUGGAGGGAUGUCUUGACGACUGCGGCCAAUCUAUCUGGCUUUGAUUAUUCAAACAAAUACGGGUAACUAACUCAUCCUUUAACUUGUAUAAAAUUGUAAAUUUUCUUUAAACUUGUGACAAUUUGAUUUGGGCUAAGACUUGGUAAAGCGUAUUUAGGACUAACUAUUGCUUUUCUACCUAAUCAUAUAUAUCUAUAUGCCAGGACGGAGGCAGAUCUAAUUCAGAAGGUUGUCGAUCAUAUUUGGAUACAACUGUGUCGCGAAUCAUCCCGCGAUUUAAAUGGGUUUGUUGGAAUCGAAAGCCGCAUCAAGCAGAUCGAAUUGCUGUUAGGCAUUCAUUCACAGGACGCUUGCAUCACUGUCGGUAUUUGGGGCAUGGGUGGUAUUGGCAAGACCACCCUUGCCGAGGCUGUAUUUCGCAUACACUCUUCUAAAUUCGAAGCUUCUUGUAUUCUUAAGAAUAUUAGGGAGAAAUCAGAACAAGAAGGUGGACUAGAUCACUUGGAAGAAACACUUCUUAAGGAGAUAUUAAAGGAAGAAGUUUUGCCGGUAGGAUCAACUUUGGUUGGAGAAAGGCUCAGUCGUACAAAGGUCCUCAUUGUUCUAGAUGACGUGACUGAUUCAUGGCAAAUGGAACGUUUAGUUGGAGAUCGUCUCCGGUAUGGCAGUGGAAGUAGAAUCAUUAUCACAAGUAGAGAUAGGGGCACACUUGGGCAAACUGUUGAAGAGGCUAAGAUCUACGAGGUUGAGGGAUUAAAAUCGAAAGACGCUCUUCAGCUCUUCUGUUUGCGUGCUUUCAAGAAUAACGGUGCUCGUAGAACAGAUUUUAAGGAGUUGGCAGAAAAGGUGGCGGCUUAUGCUGGGCGCGUUCCUUUAGCUCUUACAGUUCUGGGGUCGUUGUUCUACAAUUGCAAGAGCGAAGAAGAAUGGGUAGAGGAAUUCAACAAAUUGAAACAAUUUUCCCGCAAAGAUAUUCAGAAAGUGUUGAGAAUAAGUUAUGAUGGAUUGGAACAAAAUGAGAAGGAUAUAUUUCUGGAUAUAGCAUGUUUUCAUAAAGGGAAGGAUGUGUAUUUGGUAAAACGAAAGUUAGCUUCCUGUGGACGCUUUCCGAAAACCGGAAUUGAUAUUCUCAUUAAUAGGUGUCUCAUAUCAAUUGAUUCAAAGUGGGGAAGCGAAAUCAUAGAGAUGCACGAUUUGCUACAAGAAAUGGGAAGGACAAUUGUUCAAGAACAAUGUAUUAAAGAUCCUGGUAAACGGAGUAGGUUGUUCACUGCUGAGGAUGUCUAUUGUGUAUUGAAGAGUAACACAGUAAGAGCCAAAUGCAUUCAAUUUUUUUCUUUUCUUCUUUUUUUAGAAAAUAAAAAUUACAAACUUGAGAUGAUAACACAACAAAGUAAAACUAAUUUAUAAUUAAGAAGUGAGAUUGUUAAAAGAUGAAUUUGAUUGAAUAUUUAUUGUGUUAGGAAGUGUUUGGAAUAUGAACAAAUGUUUGUUUAUUUAGACAAGUAGAGGAGGAUACAAUUAUGUUGGAUAUUUGACUAGACUAAGACACUUGUACAUGAUUACCAUCGCAAAUACUCUUUGUUUCAAAUGUGCGUUACAUUUUAAUAUGUUUAUAUUCACAUUUAAACUUUCUUCUUAUUCCCAGGAAACUCCAAAUGUUGAAGCCAUACGGGUUGAUUGGUCUUACAUUGAAAAGCGAGCAUUGAAACGUGCAGACUUCAAAAAGAUGUCUAAACUAAUAAUGCUAAUUGUGGAUGGUGGCUACACAUUCACCGCUUCUCUAGACCUUCCCGAUUCUCUUCGUUAUCUUGAGUGGUGGGGAUAUCCACUGGAAUCUUUGCCGUCAAAAUUUUGUUCGGAAAAUCUAGUUGAGCUUCAUAUGCCAUAUAGCAAAGUUAAGAAGCUUUGGAAAGAAGAGCAGGUAUAUUAUAUUAUAUGCCUAUUUCAAUUCUUGUAUAAAAUAAAGUGUAGAAAUUAUAUCAAUUCUUUAUAUUUCUAUUUCAUUUGUUGCAGAUACUUGUCAACUUACAAGUUAUCAAUCUGUACGACUCCAGAUUACUAACUGAAAUUCCUGGGUGUUUUCAACAUCUCCACAAGUUUACUCGUCUUGAGCUUGAAUGCUGCAUGAGUCUCAAGUAUCUUCCAGAGGUGUCAGGAAAUCUUCAACACUUAAAUUUACAAAGCAGUGGUGUAAAGGAGUUGCCUGAAUCAGUUUGGUCUAACGAAAAUAUUUCCUACUUGAAUAUAAGUCAUUGCAAAGACCUUGAGAAACUUCCAAGCAACAACUGUGAGCUAAAAGUCUCUAAUGUUUUGGGUAUUGAGAGCUGCACAUCUCUUGGCGAGUUUUCUGAGCUUCCCAGGGAUAUAACUAAAUUAUCAUUGGUUGGUUUCAAGAGACUUGUGAGUCUACCAACCCACAUUUGUAAGUUGAAAAAUCUAAAGGAACUCAAUCUCUAUGGCUGCUAUGAACUUGAAAAAUUCCCAGAGAUCUUGGAGCCAAUGGAACAUUUGGUGUCUCUUCGUUUGCAAGGGACAGCUGUCAAAAUGCUUCCUUCGUCUAUUGGAAAUCUAAUUACUCUUCAAACUUUAGACCUUAGUGGCUGCAAGCACCUUGUGAGUCUACCAACCAACAUUUGUAGGUUGAAAAAUCUGAAGGAACUCAAUCUCUAUGGCUGCUUUGAACUUGAAAAAUUCCCAGAGAUCUUGGAGCCAAUGGAACAUUUGGUGUCUCUUCGUUUGCAAGGGACAGCUGUCAAAAUGCUUCCUUCGUCUAUUGGAAAUCUAAUUACUCUUCAAACUUUAGACCUUAGUGGCUGCAAGCACCUUGUGAGUCUACCAACCAACAUUUGUAAGUUGAAAAAUCUGAAGGAACUCAAUCUCUAUGGCUGCUCUGAACUUGAAAAAUUCCCAAAGAUCUUGGAGCCAAUGGAACAUUUGGUGUCUCUUCGUUUGCAAGGGACAGCUGUCAAAAUGCUUCCUUCGUCUAUUGGAAAUCUAAUUAGUCUUCCAACUUUAGACCUUAGUGGCUGCAAGCACCUUGUGAGUCUACCAACCAACAUUUGUAAGUUGAAAAAUCUGAAGCAACUCAAUCUCUCUGGCUGCUUUGAACUUGAAAACUUCCCAGAGAUCUUGGAGCCAAUGGAACAUUUGGUGUCUCUUUGUUUGCAAGGGACAGCUGUCAAAAUGCUUCCUUCGUCUAUUGGAAAUCUAAUUAGUCUUCAAACUUUAGACCUUUGUGGCUGCAAGCACCUUGUGAAUCUACCAACCAACAUUUGUAAGUUGAAAUAUCUGGAGGAACUCAAUCUCUCUGGCUGCUCUGAACUUGAAAACUUCCCAGAGAUCUUGGAGCCAAUGGAACAUUUGGUGUCUCUUAGUUUGCAAGGGGCAGCUGUCAAAAUGCUUCCUUCGUCUAUUGGAAAUCUAAUUAGUCUUCAAACUUUAGACCUUCGUGGCUGCAAGCACCUUGUGAGUCUACCAACCAACAUUUGUAAGUUGAAAUAUCUGGAGGAACUCAAUCUCUCUGGCUGCUCUGAACUUGAAAACUUCCCAGAGAUCAUAAAGCCAAUGGAACAUUUGAAGUACUUAAAUUUAAGUGGAACAACGGUUAAAGAGCUACCAUCAUCAAUCGAGUUUCUCUCUGCUCUCAAAAGAAUUAAACUACAAGGUUGCAAACGGCUUUCAAGUAUCCCAAAGAGCAUUUGUAAGUUGAAAUGUCUCGAGGAACUCAAUCUUUCUUGGUGCUCUACACUUCGAAACUUCCCAGAGAUCUUGGAGCCAAUGGAAAAUUUGAAGUCCUUAAAUUUAAGUAGAACAUCAGUUGAACAGGUAUACACAUCAUCAAUUGAAUUUCUCCCCGCUCUCAAAAAUAUUGAGCUAAAAGGUUGCAAUAAGCUUUCAUGCAUCUCAAAAAGCAUGUUGAAAUAUGUUACAAGACCUGAUGCGUAUGAAACAAGUGAAAGUGAUGAUCAUGGGUCUGAAGCCAGUGAAAUUGAAGAUGAUUCGGACUUAUAAUCCAACAAUCUUAAGCAUCGUUAUCCAAUAGAAUUAGGAAAAACUUUACAGCAAAUUUUGUACUUUGAGAGCUCACUUGUCUGUCCAAGAAAUAAGAUGACAAAAUAGGCAAGGCUUUUAGUAUUUUAGUAUUGUUUAUACUUUAUACAUUAUAAAGCGCAAGUUAUGGACAAGUGUCUAAUAUCCUAUUUGUUAUCUUUUAAAACUUGAUUUACAAGUCCAGCGGCAUCUUGAAAUUCGCUUUUAUAUCAUUAGACAUGAAUUAAUACGCCAGGCCAAGGCAAAGUAAAAAUCUCACGACCAAGAGCAAUAGUUUGGAUAUUCAAUACUACAAAAAUAUGCGAUAGUUCGAUGGCUUUACUACAAUGAGCAAAAAAUAUGAAUGGCCCGAUUGGACUAACACCGGCAAACUCAGUGUUCUUGUUUAAACUAAACAAAGAUCAGCGAAACAAAUUUUAUUAGAGAGGGUAAAAAAUUACAGCAAAUUAAGGCUGAAAAGAAAAAAGCACAGCCCCAAUUUAAUAAUACAAUCAUCAAUUUUGUAACAAUGAUAAAACUAUUAAAUAUUAUCUCUAGCAUCCAAAAUUUCUUUCUCCAAGUUUGGCAUAUUUGUUAUGAUUUGAAACUUAUCAGGAAGUAACUUGCACACAUAACUUUACUGCCCAAGAUGAAAAAAUUGGGGAAACAUUAAAGUUCUAGUACCUUUUUAUCAGCUUCGGUUGCUUGUUUGAACUUGAGUUCAGUGAGUUAACCUCCUCUGUACUCGGUUGAUUUACAUGACGUUUCUCCAAUUCUGGUACUCUGGGUGUCUGCUGAUUGGCCUGCUGCUUUUCCUCACUAACAGUAGUAUAAAAUCUGCCCGACCAAGGAAACCAGUCUGCCUCCGGUCUGCAUGUGCCCAUGUCUGCCAAUAAAUAUAAGCAACCAAUAUAAACGGAACAGAUCCAAACUUGUGUUACAAAAAGAUAAUGAGAAAGUGCAUUCAUAUAAGCAAUAUUUAACAUAAUAUGCCCUCGGUGAUCAUUUCAUAAGCAAGUAUACUGCUUCAAGAACCUAUUUGUUGAUACGAUCAUGACCCAAGAACAUUUCCCCUGUAUGCGACAAUCCUAAUUAUUCCAUAGUCAUCUUAUGCUGCAGGUUUUCACUACUACACACUUGUAAUGUAAUAAACAAUACUUGGUCAAUCCUUGGGUCAUAUAACACAUUUCUAAAGUCUGCUUACCACCUCAGGUCGAACGGAUACACCAGAAAGUAAAUUAAUCACCUGAGAACAUAACUCUCUCAACCUCACCAACUAUAAAUCCUUCAUCUACUUAUUUUCUACCGUUUGAACAUCAAUUCCGCAUUUAUACUAACACGAAAUAAAAAUCUCAACUUAGAUAAGAGAAUUAAGACAUCCCGAGCUCACAUUUACCACUUCAACUACAAUAAGACUGAAAAUUCAAAAUCAAUCUGAUUCGGAACACAUUUCCACGAGUAUCAAAUCCCGAUCAACCACUAUAAUUACACAAAUAUAAUACACGUCCAAUUAUACAUAAAUCACAAGCAUAUAAGGACCUGUUUGGGGAGACCGGAGCCCUGGAAGAAAGCGACGGCUUCAUUGCCACUAAUCUGGCCAUUGCGGUCCAAAUCGGCUCGUCAUAAAUACGCAUCGAAAAGAUCCAAAUUCGAUGAUUGGCCCUGCGCCGACGCCAUCGCCACCGUCGGAUUGCGAUUCGCGGAAGAUCAGACCAUGGAAUCAAUCGAGAGCGCCACGCGCUCAGGCUGCCGUAAGCUUGAGGAGCGCCGGGAAGAAUCACAAAACCACGAAUUCUGAGGACCAAGAUUUCGAUGCCCUAGAAAACGACGACGUACAACCGGAAUUUGGUUGCCUUUCUUCUCCGAUUCGGAGGAAAAUCAGAACACGACGGAGAUGCUAAUAUUUUGAGGUAAAAAAGCGACCGUCGUUAAUCGAUUGUUUUGUUUAGAAUUUUUGUGACAAAAAUGGUACUGUAUUUGUUGUGAUAUUUCAAAACUGCCACUGGUUCUAAUGAGCCCGCCCCAUUAGGCAUUAUUACAACAAAUACAAUUUAGAAAUCAGAGUUGAUUGGCAAGUUUAUGUUUUCGAUUUGUCAACUUGUACAUAGUGGGGAAACAAAAGCGUGCACACAGAGAAAGGUACAAAUUAAUGCGAGAUUGAGAAGGAAGUUACAAUUUAGAAAUCAAAGUGAUUUGUUUGCCAGAUAUUUGAUAUACUAUGUUGUGGCUGUAAACUGUAGCUGCACAUCGUUCUGUAAAUUCGGUUAAAGAGGAAACCUAAUUCAUAAUCUAAACACCCCCAUAGAUUAUAUACUGUUAUCAUGACCAACAAGCAGCUCAUGUCCACGACAGUGUUGUGUUGCGUUUUGUCGGUUUCACAUCCUCUUCUUAUUUAACGAGACGAUCAAUGAUUUAUUCUAAAAUAUGAUUAUGAACCUUUUAAAUAACUCCAUUAGUUGGUACAAUUAAGGCAUUUGGAGUGAUCCCUUUUGAGCAUCAUUUUCGCUAUUUAAUUAGUCCCCAAACUUCUUGUAUUGCAUGAUGUGCAUGGAAAGGUCCAUUCAAUAAAAGAUUAGGGAUCUUUGAAGUAAUCAAAAUCAAAGAACCGGCCCUAGUAAUUGAUGUAAUUGGUAAACAUCGACAAAUAAUGUAAUGCAUUCUUAAUUGGAGCUACAACCAUGUCUAGUUUCUAUUUUUUGUAAUUGUAUAUUUUAGUUUGGCAUAUGUUUUACAACAUAGAUUUUAAAUUUGAGCAAUAUUCUUGUGGUAUGUGUGACGAAAUGGAUUUUUUUUUUCAUGGAAAAGAGUUUCCAAGGAAGCCAAUAUAACUAUGUCAAUGGUGGGACAUAGCAUCUUUACAAUGACUGGGGUAAAAGUCAACGUUAAAGGUUUUUCAAAGGAGAUGUCAAAAUGUAAAUGUCAAAUGUUAAUUUGAUAGCUGACGUGACAAUGUUAAUUUUUUUCUUUUUCCAACCGAUAUGUUUUUUUUUUGUUAUAAAUGAUAUUUGUAUGACUCAUUUUAAAAAGAAAUCAAUUAAAAUAAAUUUUCAAGAUCUAUAAUUAGUGCAUUAAAUAGACCCACACAAUAUGUAACAACCCGUCCCUAAUUAUAUGGCUUUAUGAAUUUUAAGACAGUGAAUUGACGAAAAUGCCUCUAGAGGCGAGAUUGUUGACCUUUGUUGACCAGCGUAUAGUGAGAUGUAUGAAACAUUCUUUUAGCGUAUCCUUGUAGUACUCGAUGGUAGGAACUCGUGGACGCAAGCAGAACCGAAUUCGAAGUCUUAGUUACGCUACCUUUUAGAAGAAACAAAUUCGAAAUUUGCAUUUGUCUACCUAUUGAUAUAAUUAAGUGGUGUGACCCACGUUUAAUUUUUAUAUGGGAUUGGAAAUUCAAAUCGUGAUUUCUCUUUGAAUGUUGCAGACUUUCCUUAUUUUUAUAAUCAUCAUAUUGUUGCAGUCAUAUUUAGAAUAGGAAUGUAAUUGUGUAAAUCCUAGAGAAUAUGGGAAAGUAUCUUAUAUUUCUAUUAGGAGUUGAUUACCUAUUGAAUAUUGUAAUCCUAAAGGGAAAUGUUUUCACCUAUCCUACUACCAUAAAUAAAGGCAAAAUGGGGUGAUACAAACACACCUCACAAUUAAAUCACUCUCUCUUCUCUCUAAUUGUGGCUAGCCUCCUCUCUCCCUAAUCCCCUGGAUUAGUUCAAUCAAAUAGGCCUACAACACAUUAUCAGCACGCUCUUGCCAGAAGCUGAGGAAUUUGACGGAUCGUAGGAGGAGGCUAUCUUCUACAAAAUUUAAAGGCUUAUAUUUGUUUUCUGCUAAUCAGGUACACUUAAAAUAAAGUAAGAUAUUUGAAACAUCCACGAAGUAUGAAAACAUUCCCCAUGAUGCAUGAACCCCUCUAUGUUUAUAUUUUCCUUACAAUAUAUAUAUAUAUAUAUAUAUAUAUAUAUAUAUAUAUAUAUUGUAUAUGCUUAUAUAUUUGUUUCAUGCAUUACGCAAUUAAAUUGCUAUGUGAAAUUUGUGAGUCAAAGUAUAAAAUCAAUUAGAAGCAAUUCUAGGAUUUCUUAAACCCUAACAAAAUCGAAAAGAAAAAGGAAACAAAGGGGAAAUCGGGCCUUGUCUGCUAGACCCAGCCACGCCAAGCUUUGAUUGCUAGGCUCUUGUCCCACGCGUACCCAGGCUUGAAGCCUGCUCACUUCAGUGCUAGCCCACAUGAUUGGGCUUGGUCCCCGCGGCCCAAUAUGACGCCAGCCACAUGGUUGGGCUCCUAUGCCUCAACCCACAUGCUAGCUUUCGUUGGGCCUUGACCCGCACCCCCUUGAAGCCUAAACCAGCAACUUGGGCUGCUGUUUUUGUUUCCCACGCAGACCCGUGGCCUGCAACCCACUCCCGAGGCCUUUAUUCACGGCACCCAGCCCAAUUUUUUGGGCUAUGGUUUUUCGACCUAAGGCUAUUAUUUAGCAUUCUAAAUAAUUUUAACCCGCAUGUUAUUAUUAUUUUUGUUUAUACAAUCGACUAUGUACGGCCCAAUUUAUUGAAUUAAUUAAAAGUGACCUACAAUCCAUUAAUCUGAUAAUGAAUCCAAAUUAUUAACUUGAAGAUCACUUUUGGACAUUAACGAUUCAAUAGUUUAUUUUUAUAUUUUGAACCGUUGACAUACUUUUGUAGUAAUGAAGCUUUCACACUUGAGUUUCUGAAGAACCUCAAAUCCACUACACUUAAAUCAGUAUAUUGCAUUCUAUGUUUCUUGCAGGAACCUCUCAUUAUGAACUAAUUGUUCAUAAAAACUAAUUUGAACCUGUAAUUUCAAAAUUAGUGCCUUUGAAACUUGAAGUUUUCAUUCAAAACAUACCACAUGAAACCUGUAGUUUUCAUGUAUAAAUUAAACCAAUACAUGUUUAUAGAACCUGUAUGUUCAACGAUAUAUGCCUAUGGCUUACUAUAUGACUAAUCACGUUUUUUUACCCUCUGUUUAGGGACAUGUUGAACUUGAACAAGCUCGAUGUCACCGCUCUAGAAGUCUUCGGAAGAAACUAUCUGAAGUGGGUUCAAGGCGUGCAGCUCCAUCUCACUGCAAAGGGAAUUAGAGCUACCAUCGAGGAACCAAACGACGCUAAACCCGUCGAUGAAACUUAGAAAGCUACUACAAUGAUCUUCGUUUGAAGAAACAUCCAUGAUGCCCUGCAGACCGAGUGCCUCGCUGAGGAGGACCCACGCACCCUCUGGCUUGCUCUGGCCAACCGUUUCGAUCACCAGAAAGACAUAUACUUGCCUGAACCAAGACACAACUAGCAGCAUCCACGCUUCUAGGACUUUAAGUCUGUGAAUGAAUACAACUCUAAAGUUUGUAAAAUCCAUUCACUGCUGAAAUUCUGUAAAGUGGAACUAACCGAAUCAGAUCUCCUAGAGAAGACCUAUUCGACCUUCCACAUCACCAAUAUUGUCUUGUAGCAAUAAUAUAGGGCACAUAAAUUGCACUAUAUUCCAGACAACUAACUUCCCCAAGAAAUAAAUUGAUUGAAUUAGUCACAUGCAUAAAUAUAAAGUUAGUUGUCUAGAAGAUAGUGCAACCACACACACAAUAUUGCGUGAACGACACUAUUUUACUAACUUAAUACCCAAGAAAGCUCAUUUGACAACUUUCUCAGGCCCAUCCAACCUGAUUGAAGGAUAAGGAAAGACAUGUAUCAUGUUGUCUAAUGGUACUAUCUUAACCAUUAAGGAGGCACUCUAUUCUCUACGUUCUGGAAGAAUGUUGCUAAGUUUUAGAGAUAUGGAUGCAAGAACUCAGGUCUACAAAAUGGAAGGUAAACCAAGAUCCUGCACUGCAUUAAAAUUCUACAUGGUGUGAUGUCUCUGAAAAUCAAAUGGAUUUGUGGAUGUUGUUUGUGAACAUGCAUGCGUCUAACCGAUGCGAUUUUUCUUUUGUGUUUGUAUGCCAUCCAUGUGAUGAAUGCCUAAGCAAAGCACUCGUAUGAAUCUGAGUACUGAGAAUGGAUAUCGGCCUACCUCUGGGCUGCUUGGUCUACCCCCAAACUUGCAUGUAAUUAAACUUUAAUAAAAUGUGAGGGGGUUCAAAGCUGCAUAGAGGCCUUCGCAGCAACCGUACUGUAAGCAUUCCUGAAUCUUUUUUUUUUUCUUCUCUUGUUUCAGCCCUGCCUAAUCUCAUGAAUGUAGAGGAAUGGAUGAUGAAUGCACUGAGUUGAAUGUAUGAAUGCUGUUGAAUGCAUGAUUCAAUCGAAUGAUCGAUUCGAAUUCAACCUGCAAAAGAUCACAAAUUUAAACCCGGAUUAGAAUAAAACCCAAAAUAAAAUACUGGAAAAAAAAAAAUCUCUUUUUGUGCUUUUUCAAUUUUUUUGGGUGAUUUUUGUAAUUGAAAUAAAAGCAAGAAAAUAAAAUAAACAAAAAUAAAAAGAAAAGAGUUAGAAAAUCCCAAUUAGCUCUUUAGUUAACGUCUUUAGCUAGGCAUAGCGGAAAGUUGUUGAUCAUGUCACUUGUUCCUUUAAAGUCAUCCGCUCUUUAAUAGGGUCAUAGGGCAACAGUAGGUACGGAUGUGUAUAUUACAACAAAUACAUUGUGUAAUGUAAUAAACAAUCCUAGGUCAAUCCUUAGGUCAUAUAACACAUUUCUAAAGUCUGCUUACCACCUAAGGUCGAAGACACACCAGAAAGUAAAUUAAUGACUUGAUAACAUAACUCUCUCAACCUCACUAACUAUAGUAUAAAUCCUUCAUCUACUUAUUUUCUACCAUUUGAACAUCAAUUCCGCAUCACUUUAGUCUAAAAUAGAGUUCUCAAAUGCACUAUUCGUGUUGCCCAUGGAACGAGGUCUCAGAUGUUGACUUUAUUCACUCUUUUGCCAUUAUGCAUUUCCGGCUUGGGGUCUCAAAAGUUCGGGUAACAAGUGUAGACUGGAAAGAAACAUACAAAAUGCUACACAGAUAGUCACAGAAAAAUCCAGCAUUCCUUGAUUAUCUAGUACCCACGUAGCAUUGAAAUCAGAUAUUGGGAAGAGAACCCUGUUUAAUGUGAACUUGGUGAGGUUGGCAGGUAGCAUUAAACAAUCAAAGAAGGUAGAAACCGCAGGCAAUUAGCCAUAUUUGUGAUUGCUUAACUACUCAAACCAACAAAAAACUCAACUUUAAAAGUGUGCCUCUGCAUUUCUGCUACACCAAAAAUCGAACUUCGAAUUGGGUUUUUAACUCAAACAAAAAAUGGGAAAUUGAUAAUGCAAUAAAAGAAAAUAAAAAACAUGAAUUCAGACCAUAAAAUAGGAUUGCAGUCAAGGUGUUCGACAAAAGGACUGAAUGAAAAAAUUGGAUUGACGAGAACAAGAAUAUAGUACGAAUAGGACCUCGCGGCGAGAGAGUUCCGCCUUCCAAGCAGCUUCGCGCUCGGCGACCUCGCGUUCCCGCUCUUCGAUGUAGCUCUGCAUCUCUCGCUCCUUCAUGAUUCUAUCUUGGAUAUCGGCAUCCAGAGCUUCCUUGAGCUCCUGGACGAACUUGUCCACCACCAGUUUGAUUCUCAGAGACAUCUCCUAUUACCAAAGGCACGAGUCUAAUUGCUGAACCCUAGCGCACUCACUGAGUUAUCGACACGGUCUCUAGCUCGGUUUCAGGACUGAGGACGACGGUCCGGCUGGGCGGCGAUUGCCGAAGGAGACAAACGAGGAUUUGGAACUUCUUUCGCUUUGCUGUCACGUCUCUAUUUUGGUUGCGAGUUAUGUGAGCACUUGCCCAUUCUCCUUCCCCUUCGCAACUUAAACGGUGUAUUCUUCGAAAGACAAAAAAUAAAACCUCUUGUUCACUUGUAGUAUAUGCACAUUUUUUUUUUCAUUUGUGCUAGAAAGGCCUAAACCUCAACAGAAUACAAAGCCCUACACAACGAAGCAAUACAUAAAAUAGAAGACAUGCUCAAAAAUGAGAGUUACAACCCAAGCCACAAAGGGAGACCCACACAAAUUUAGGCCCAUAGACAACAAAAGAAAAAAUAACAAUAAAACUCUAAUCUCCAGCCACUAAAAACCAAUCACCAUCACCGCUACCUCCGCGAAGGAAGACAUCUCACAAUGCACCCGAACCAAAAACUAGAUUUGAGAGUAUUACGCAUAAUCAAUCAACCAAGAACCAAAGCCUCCACAGGUACAUGAGCAAGAAAAGUCACAAAAACGUAACAGAAGGAGGGGCAGGGCGAAGAGGGUGUGUAAAACACCCUUGUUCUAACGUGAAUCAUUUCACACUUCGCCCAAUUUUUUCAGCAAUCCAGAUCAACAAUGGACUGUGUGAAUUGGGUCUUGUGUCAAAAUAGAGCCCACUUCGAGAUCUAAUUCAUGGUUAUGAGUUGGAAAAGAUGAGGAGUAGCAAGAGGGAUGUAGGAGAGAAAGGUGCGAUGUGGAAGGAGGAGAGGGUUGGCGGUGAGUGGCAAUUGAGUGAGGAGAGGGUACAAAACUGAGACAUAAGCUCUAAUAGUUGAGACAAAAUUCGGAGGAAAGCAUAGAUAAAGAAAAAGGGAGGAAGAGGAUAAGGAA